rnacentral:lncRNA from 1 species
UUUCAUUUUUUAUUUUCUGUUUCUUCUAUUUGUUUCUAUGGAACUCUUUUAAACUUUUUUUAGAUGAGAAGUUCAUGUCGUGGAAGAAAUUACAGAGGAAUUGAAGAGGGAGCUGCCCCACAGCAAUAGAGCAUUUUAAUACUUCAAGGUUAAAUUAAAAGAUAUGCCGUUGAAGGUACGGCUUCAUGACUCAUUGCCGACAAUCCGUAUACAUGAAACAAAGAAGGAGCAGGUAGAGAUGGUGGGUCUGAGAGUCCCAUAAGUCAAGAACAGAAAUUUACACGCAACCCAUCAAAAUAUCUUUACAAAUUCAAACCCUUAAUUAAUUCUUAAAAAAAAAAAAAAAAAAAAAAUUGCAAGCAACACAUAGGGGUCGGGGCUCAUGAGGGAGAUACCCAGAAGAGCAAAGGGGAGUAGCUAUAUCAUGAAGAAACCAAGAAAAAGGAAAUAUAAAAGAAAAGAGCAGACAUGGAAUGAAGAAACUUGGGCAGCAACAGCUGAAGAAUGGGAACCAGCUCUUCCGCUUCCGCUUCCGCUUCCGCUUCCUCUAGCUCUCACUUUUCUCAUGUAAACUCCCAGCUUCCGAUCGUGGAGGUGGUUGUUGUUGUUAUAAUUAGCCAUCAGUUGUUUCUGUUGCUCCAAUGGCUGCCCCAUCAGACCUCUGCUCAAUAUUGCUGAGGAGACGCCUUGAUCAUGAGAGGAUGAAGUUGGAAGAGACUGAGACAAUAGCAGGAGGGCGAUGAGUGGGAGAGAGAGCAAACACCUCUUUUCAGCCAUAUCUUUCUUCUGUCUGAUCCAGUUAGGGUUUUCGGUAGAUAAAAAGGCCAGGAGGUGGACCAUUUAUAGAUAUAGUAAUGUUAGUAAAGAGUAGUGGGUUUAGUUGGCCCCCCCCACCUCAAGCCUGAGUGUCUUGACCAUGUUCAAAUUAUCUGAAAUUAAAAUAUUAAGAAGGGUUUCAAGUAUAAAUGUAGAGGGAGCUAUUGCAGGGUCAACUCGUUAAUGUCGUGUACUCCAGUGCCACCGUUAGAUUACACGUGGCCACGUACUCGUGGAUAGUCAUGUUUGACAGGAUCAUUCAUUCACUAAUUGACCAGACAUGGUCAGCCAGCCAUUUGCUUUGACUAAUGCCACUAAAUUCAAACGUGGAAGUAAGGAGUCACGAAGGGAUUUACAUAAAUAUAGGUGAUCAUUCAUAAGUUCUUAUAAUUUAAUAAAUUUUUACAUUAUAUAACGCUUAUUAAAUUAUCAUAAGAAUAUGCCUCAUUAAAAUUUUAUUAUGAAAAACCUUUAGUAAAGAAAUAAGCUUAUAAUAUUCUUUUGAACUACUAUGACUGUUUCAUUGAAAACCUUAUUAAUAAUAACUAAUGGGAUAAAACGUAGACGAAGGAAAAAAGAGUAUAGUAUAUCUACAUCAGUACUCCCCUCAUAUAUACAUGAUCAUGCUCUCUUCAACACUUUAAUUGAUAGAUCUCCCUGUCUCCAUAUUCCAAUAUCUUCAUGUUGAUACAAAACUUUAUCUUUGAAGUAAGUAGACAAAAUUUUCCUUCCCCACCCUUUCUUUCUCUUUCUGGAACUCUUUAUUUUAGCUUUUGACUAAUUCUGUUUGGGAACCAGUCUUACACACCACCUAUGGUUUACGGGAUUGUCUUUCUACUUGGGACAUGUCUGCUAUGUCCCCAGCUUUAUCUAGGCAAGGGCUCGAAGCAAGGCAAAAAUCGAGCAUCGAAGUGAGCAUAUAAGGAGAAAUGCUUAAAACUCAAUAAAUGAGCGACCACCUUCAACAUGAAUGACUUUUUGGAACCAGGCUAUGCCACCACACCUCCCCUGUGAAAGAGGGCUACACAACUAAUUCGGUUAAUCACAUGUCAGAACAACCACUAGGGAUUUAUUUGUCAUCACCAAGACGAAGGCUCCUACUGUUAACCUUUCUCCAUUUGUUGUGCUGCUUUAAGCAGGGAUUCUGCCUUCAACUAAUCAAUAGAAUCGUUAUAGCUUUUUGAAGAAGUGGCUUCUGAUUUUUAUUGCCUUGCCUUUCCUACCAAUCCGCUAGAACAAUUCCAUAGUCAUGUACAAUCUAUAAUAUAUAUCAGUGCACUAAUGACAUUGAAAUUAAGGUAUUUCUGGAUCGAGUAGUUCUUCAUUACUUUUUUUAGGGUGAAAGAGAUUCUUUUUCACUCUAAGUGAAUAAAUUACAUUAGAGAGCUUAAUGAAUGUAAUUUCCCCAUAUGAAAGCAUUUCAUGACUUUUUAUAUAUGCUAAUUGAUGGACUAACAUUCCAUUUGUAAAGUACUCAAUUUACUAGUUGGGACAAAAUUUUGGCUUUCCAAAAUAUUUCAUUAGAUAAUUAACUACUCUUAUAAACUCUUCAAGAGUUCCAAUAAGAUUGUAACAAUUAUAAACCUCAAUUUUAAUUCAUAUAAGGAUGUAACUUAAUCAAGUAUAUUUUAUAACAUUAUCUAAAAUAUGUUGUCAAAUAUCAAUCCUUCCCGUUGCCUCAAGCAUGUUAAUCCUUUAGGGAUUUGAUUGCUUGAUGCAUUUUGAAUCCUUCUAAGAUUUUAACCCAUAAACAAUAUAUAGUACACAUUAAAAUUUUCAAGGAUAAUCAAUCUUGAUAGUUAGGAAUAUGAUUAAGUCAUUAAAAGAGUCGAUGCAAGGUUUCCAUAGAAAACCUUAUGAUACAAUUUAUUUUAAAUACACUUUUGUACAAUGACUCAUUGGUAUCAAACAAUUUUUACGUCAUUAGAUGCUAAACUUUAGGUCCAUUUACAUUCAACAAGUUUGACAUCUUCUAGAGUCUAAAGUACUACAGGUCCAAAUAAUCUUUAUCUGGUCAACUAGUCUAGUUUGUCUAUAUUGCAUCUUCCACUUUGGUUGUUAAUUUAUGUCAACAUUCUUGCAUAAUUUAUGAUUUAGAAUCUUUAUCAUUCCCCAUGAUGUCAAAGACCAUUUAAAAAUAAAACAGAUGCAUUGUUAAUGACGACAUUAUUUUGAUAUUAUCAUCUCCUAUCAUGUUCAUAAUAAAUAUAAGUCACUUUUACUUUUAGGUAUGAAGAUACCCAUGCCUUUUCAUGGGCUAUUCAUUCAAUUUAUACCUCUUUAAGGGCUAUUCAUUCAAUUUGUACCUCUUUAGGGACUAUUUAUUCAAUAUGUGCUUUUUUAGAAACUAUUUGUUUAAUAUGUACUUCUUUAGGGGCUAUUUGUUUAAUAUGCGUCUCUUCAAGGACUAUUUGUUCAAUAUAUGCCUCUUUAUGAGUUAUUUGUUCAAUAGUAGCCUCUUCAAAGGCUACAAGUUCCUUAAUUUUGGAUUGAUCAAUCAUUUUAUAUAUGGUGUCUUCAAGAGUAUCAAGUUUUUCAUGUAUUUUUCCUUGUGUGUUUCUCUUCCAAGGAAUUACAUCAUUUGAGUCAAUAUAUUUACUACACUUCAAGCAAGCCUUGGAUUCAUUUGUCAUCAUACUAGCUAUGUACUUGUCCUACUAGAACAUUAUUUUUUGCUUAUUUUACUAUAAUUCAUGCAUGUAUCUACCACUAUGUUAGUUAAUUAUCCUUUAGGGACAUUAAUGCUUGUAUAAAAAAAAUUUCAAGAAAUUUCACAUUGUUCUCCUAGAAUCAACUUCUUUCCCCUAAGAGUGGGAAAAUUUGUCUCAUCAAAAUAAUAAUUUGUACAUUUAGAGUUAUAAAUAAACUAGUCAUUGGGUAAAAACUUCUGGUUUUAUAUCUAUAUGACUUGUAAUGAGUUAUGCAUUAUUAUUUAACUCAGAGACCAUGUUGGUUAUAUUAUUUUAUUCUGGAUUUGAUAGAAUAUAAAGUGUCAUUCACAUGGAAUUUGAUGUCAUUAGUAAUAUAUGUUUAUCUUUUGAGUUUGCAAUCAAGUUUAAUUACUUAAUAUAUAUUACCAUUACCAUAAACUAUUACAUAUGUUGUACAAUAUACAUAACAAAUAUCUUGAAAUAAAUUUACUUGAUAUUAUAAGCACAUAAUGAAUGGUGAAAAUAUUGGUUUUGACGGAUAUACCAAUAACUUGAUUUUACGGAUAAAUUAGUGGAUGUUUUGACACAAAAUAUCAUUAACAUGAAAACUAAUCAAAACUCAAGAAAAUGUUGGAGACCCUCCAAGAAAUGAUGUAAGAAGUAAUAAUACACAUAUUAUAAUUGAUAUAUGAAUGAUAUAAUUUAUUAUAUUUUAUAUUAAUAGGUGGUAUUUAAAAAUUCAUUUAAUAUUAAAAUGAUAAUUUAUCACCAUUAUUCGUCCCAAAUUUCAAAAUUUUACUAAAUUAAUUUAUAUAAUUAAAAAGAAAAAAAAAUUGAUUUAACAAAAAGUAAACAAAGUCUAAUUUCAUGGUGACAAAUAAUUGAUUCCAAUGGUUAAAUCCUAUGGAAUUACAAGGAAAACAUGGAGGGUGUUUCCAUCUACCAACAAAAAUUUGCUAACCUCACAUUUCAUUAAAUUUAAAUGUGGUAUUAGUAUCCACCAACCCACUCUUACCUUGAUUUUAGAAUGGCCAAAAAAGAGACGAGGAGAAAACAAAAAGAAUGUUGACAAAGUAGGAAACCAUGAUAAUCCCCACAAAUUAAGGUGGGAUGAUUUUUAUUCAAAGUUUACACUCAUAGAACACCAUACAAUUGAGUAUAUAUAUCUACCAAGAAAAUAGGCAAAAGGGGUGUAUGAAAAAAAUGCCACUUUCCAUUGGGAGGCUAUGACUAUGACAAAAGCUCCAACUCAUAAACAAACACCUGCUUCUUUCCAUAGGUUCAACGUAUAGAAUCAUCUGCAAAGAUUCCUUGGUCCCGACUGCUAACAUGAGUGUUUGCCAUUUCAUAUUUAACUUGGGAUUAAGAUAGGUUGCUAAUUAGUUAUUAUCUAAGAAAAUCAUAGUGUUUGUUUUUAAAAUGUUUUCAAAAACAGUACUAUGUUUUUUUUUUAGGUAGAAAAAUUGUAAAUUUAAGGGUUUAUUUGGUAACUAUUUUAAAAAAGUUGUUCUUUGAUGUUUUGUAAAACAAAAGUAUGUUUGAAAAACUAAAAUAUUUUUAAUCUGUUUUUUAUGUUUUUAAAUAUAUUUAAAAAAUAAAUUUUACAUCUAAUGUUUUAUUAUUAAUCAUUCUCUAUAUUUGUAUAAUUAUUUUUUUAAACAGUCCACAAAAAGCAAAUGAAAACAACUAAAAACAACUUAAAGAUGUUUUUUGAAAACACUUAAUUUUCUACUUUUUAAGAACAAAAAAUUAUUUUCUAUUUUUUGGUUGUCAAAAUAUGUUUUCUUGUUUUUUUUUUUAAAAAAAAAUGAGAAAACUAUUUUGAAAAACAGUAACUAAAUAGGUUAUAAAUGUUUCAAGUUCUACUGUGUUUCCAAAUAUUUUUCAGAAAUAAUUUUUAGGUGUAAUUUUUUAACAUCAAUCAUUUUCCAUAUAUUCAUAAAUAAAAAAAACAUAUUAUUUUUGGAUUAAGUUAUCAAAAAAUUGUUUAUACAAGUACCAAACUGUUNNNNNNNNNNNNNNNNNNNNNNNNNNNNNNNNNNNNNNNNNNNNNNNNNNNNNNNNNNNNNNNNNNNNNNNNNNNNNNNNNNNNNNNNNNNNNNNNNNNNAAAUAAUUUUUAGGUGUAAUGUUUUAACAUCAAUCAUUUUCCAUAUAUUCAUAAAUAAAAAAAACAUAUUAUUUUUGGAUUAAGUUAUCAAAAAAUUGUUUUAUUACAAAGUUACCAAACUGUUUGAGUUUGGAAAUGGUUAAAACACAUAAAACUGUUUUUAAAAACAGUUUCAAAUGGGUGAAAAAGUUCAGGAAAUUAGAAAGGAAUUUGGCUUGUUCCUUAGACUAGUAUUGCUAUACACAAAUUAACUAUUUUAUCAUCAAUAAUUACCAUAAUAAAAAAUAUUAUAUUAUUUUUUCAUAAAAUAAAAUAUUAUAUAUAUAUAUAUAUAUAUAUAUAUAUAUAUAUAUAUAUAUAUAUAUAUAUAUAUUUAUAUGUUAUAUGACUUCACAAAUUUCAUUAGGAAUAUCAACAUUCUCACUUUGACAAGAAAUCACUUAAUUUGAUAAUCAUAAAAGGAACCCAUGAUAUGAUAUUUGUUUGAAUUCUUUACAACAAAAAAAGUGAGAAUUUCUAAAUUCUCAUGGAUUCAAAUUCUUAACACACAUUGUGUCAGUCAAAUCUUUAAUGCAAAUAUGUUAGUUUAAUAAUAUAAAAAAAAAAAAAAAAUCACACAAAUGGUAUAUGAGGUUUUAACGUGAUUCGGCUAAUUAUGUCCAUAUUUACGGAUGAGAAAAAAUCAUUCUACUAUACCAUAGAAAAUAUUAUAAAAAACAGAACCAAAUAUAAUUAUUAAGUUUUCGAAACACCUCAUAUUACCUCAUUUCUUGUAUUCACACCCUAAAUCACAAGCUCUCUUAUUUCACCGAGUGUUUUCAAUUCUUUUUCACAUCUUUAUCCACCUUAUAUGGCUUUUAUAAACACAUCUCUAUCUUAUAACUUUUUCCCCUCAUAACUUAUAAUAUUUAUAGACAUAUUCCUAAUAAUUUUUUUUAUAUUAUAAGAAAAUAUAAUAUUAUAAUAAUAUUCAACUUAGGAAAUAUUUUCUAGAAUAAUCUUUAUACAAAAGGAAUUCACACUUAAUUGGAAUUUGGGGCACUUUCCAACACUAAAAAUUCCAAGUUCAAAUAUUUCCUUGAUAUAUAAUUUUUGAUAAGUUUUGACACGGACCAUCACAAAAAUUUAAAAAUUAAAAAGCAUAAAUGUCACCUCAACUUUUCUUUUUGGCUCCACUAUAAUAUAGAAUCGACACAUUAAAAAAUGCAAUCAACCCUAAUAUCUUACAUAUGUAUGACUUUGUACCUUGCAUUCACCUUAUUCAUAAUUUUUGAUGUUUUAAUCUUGUUUAUUUAUAUCUAUCCAGCAUAUUUAUACUAUAAUCUUAUAUAUUUAUACCAUCAUCCAACAACCUAAAUUUUAUUUUAUACUUCCAACAUUGGAAAUGACAUUUUAAAUUACUACCAAAUCCAUUACCUAGUAUUUUUGCUUUGUACAAAAAUUUAAAAUGAUAUAAAAAAUAUAUGUACAAAGUCAUACAUAUGUAAGAUAUUAGGGUUGAUAUAUUUUAAAUUUUCAUUUUAAAUUUUAAUUGUAUUUUUGCUUUGUUAUCACACAACAAGCUUCUUCAAGAUUUCAAAUUUUAUUCACUUGUACAGGAUAAGCAUCAGACACAAAUCCAAUAUUAUAUUUUUUAUCUUGAUUUCUCCCACUAUGGGUUGUUUAUUCUUCUCCCUUUGUAUAUACCUAUUACAUAAAAAUAAUAGUCUAUUAUAUGAUUGCCUCCAAUAAUGUAGGGAAACAAACCGAUUAAUUAUUAUAUUAAUCCCUUGUUUUUUAACAGUUGUUUUAAAAAUUAAUUAUAUAAAUAUAAAAAAUUAAUUAUUAAAAGUAGAGUACUGUGAAUGAAAGUGGUUUUUUAAAGCUUAUUUAAAAACAUAGAAAACAAUUUAAGUACGUUUCACAUUUCUAAACAUAUUUUUGGUUUACAAAACAAUAAAAAAUAAUUUUCAAAAAAUGUUCUAAAAAACGGUUUUAAAAAUUAUUUUUUAAAACACUUUCCAAAUUGAGCCCUCUUUGGCAAUGAGAAAAACUCUAUUUUAUUUUUAAAACUUAUUUAGAAUAUAGAAAAUAGGUUAAGUACAUUUCAAGUUUUCAAAUAUAUUUCUGAUUUGCAAAACAUUAAAGAAUAAUUUUUAAAAAAUAUUUUCAAAUAUUAUUUUAAAAAUUAUUUUUGAAAAAGCACUUUCAAAUAGAGUCUUCUCCUCUUUAGCAAUUACAAGAACUUGGAUCUAAUUCACUCUCCUUUCUCUUUGGAUUCUUUUCCAUUUGACAAGUUAGUCUUAUAUAUUGAUACUAUAAGCUUCCUUGUAGUUGUAACCAUGUUUGUGACAUUAAAAAAUUUAUUUAAAAAAUAAAUAUAAAAAUACGAUAUUUUUUAUCAAUUGUUUUAUUUUUGUAUGAAACUCGUUUUACCGUAAAUUUAUCUUUUGAAAAGAUGGGACUAAAAAAUUUGGAGAUGCGUUCACUUUUUUUUCUUUUUUAAUACUAAACUAGUCUUUUGGAGGUUACCAAAUUUUCAUUCCUAAACCACAAGUAACGCACAAAUGGAAAACCCCUUUUGCGUUAUGCACGUGCCACGGGUGGUAUGUGUUAUGUACACAAGACACAGCCCAUGAUAUGUGUGAUGAAAACAAACCACAUCGGAUAUAAUCGCGUGUUAACACGCAAUUAGGUACUAAUAAUGUUAAAUAAAUAUAUAACUUUGAAUUACUCAACUCAAGAAGAAAGAAUAAAUUAGUCAACUACUUUUUGUUUAUUGAAAAACUCAUUGGUCCGACUCCGCCAACACUCAUGGACGCCGGCCUCCGCACCACCGCUGCUGCUCUCAGCAAUCUAGAGUAGUACGCCACCGUCCAUCACCGAGAGAUACCUAAUCAGUCAUUCGGUAUUGAUUGGAUGUAUAGUUCUAUAUUAGCUUUACAAACAACAAUAAUGCUAAAUGACUUGUAUUACGGUUAGAUAAAUUCUUUAUUUUUAUUUUUAAAAACAAAUACUCAAUAAAUUAUUAAAAAAAAAUCUAUAAAAUAUAAAAAUUACAAUUUUUAAAAUUCAACUAAAUAUAAAAAACCCUUUUUAAUAUCUUAAAAUUUUGAGAUUUUAGAUAAAGGUAUCCUUAAGAAUACUUUCUAAUAUUUUAAAUCUUACUUUUACAUUUGGAUAAAGGUAUUCUAAAAACACUUUUUAAUAUUUUAAAAUUUUGAUAUUAGAUAAAAAAAAAAAUAGUUUGGAUAAAGGUAAUCUUAAAAAUACUUUUUAAUAUUUUAAAAUUUUAAGAGAGUAAAUAUACUUUUUCAAAUUUAAAAAAUUUUAAAAUUCUUUUGACCAUAUUUUUUUAAACUUGUUUUUAAAAACUGUUUUUAGAUUAAAAAAUAAAAAAUAGUUUGUAAAAACAAGUUUCAUGUUUUCUUUUUGUCUUAUAAACCAGAUGAAUCCAACUUUUAUCUAUUCUCUAAAAAUUGUUAUUUAUUUCAUUUCAUUUUUAAAAAAAGUUUUCAAAAAAUAAUGGUCAAUCAAUGUUACAAAUUUUUAAAAAUAGAAAACUAUUUUUAAAUCAUACAAUCAAAUGACCUUUUAAUUUCUAGUUUUUAUAUAAAAAUUAUUAUAUUUUAUAUGGGAGUUUUUUAUUUUUAAAAAUUUUAUCCAAAUCAUAAUCUAAAGCUUUACCAUCUCAUGUAGUAAAAAAUAUAAUUGAUAUCUUUUUUAAAUAGAUUUUCAAAAUCUUUAUUUUUUAAGAUAAGUUUCUAUAGUACUUCUUUGUAUUAAAGAAAGGUAUUCAACCAAACCUUAAAAAUACUUUUUAUGCUCAACCCAUUAAUGAAUGCAGAGUGAUUCGCUCCUGAUGAUGAUAUUAAACUAAGACCAUAGGCGGAAACCAUCUUCAAGCCUGCUUACCAGACAAAUCAUCCAGAACUUCAACCCUUGAGUUGCUUUGAAUUGUUCCAGUGCUGUUUCCUGUGCUUAAUAAGUAAAAGGAGAAGAGAAAACAAAAAGGAAAAAUCACCUUCUCUCACAACCAUCAAUUUUACAGAUUCAAACCUGGAUUAAUACAAAAUUGGCAGCAACGGAGGAGGACAUACGCAGGCAUCAAGAUCUGGAGAUCAAGAACCAGAGUGUCCAAUGCCAGAUAAACUCGACGCUUGGACUUUACCUACUGAUUUUCCAUUUCUGAUGACAACUAUAAGAAUUUGUAUGAGCAGAUAUAAACUGACCAUAUCCUAAGCUAGAGCAUUUAGCAAAAUACAUUAAGAAAAUGAUAUGGAACCAACUCUUGGAAUUUGUCCUAGUCCAACCUUCCAGGUGCAAAAGGAACUGGGUUUUAUCAGCUAGUUGUUUCCCUGUUGCAAUGGGUGAGCAAGAAAGCUACUGGGUGUAAAGGAGACAGCUACCCGGGAAUGAGUAGAUGACAGAACCCAAAUGAAAACAAAUCCGUUUCUAUGCCAGGACCUCUGUCCUGACCUCAAAAUGGCAAGCAGAUACUUUAACCACCUAUCCAGCUUAGGCCUCGUGAUCCCAUCAUCCACUAGAAUAUGCAGUGACAAUAAUUACUGACAUAAGACGAAGUGGGCAAGAUUAAAUGAAAGAACCACACAGAAUAUCAUUAUAGUUUCUACUGAGAAAACUGAUGAUAAGAGAGAAUGAGGUCCUCUGGUUCUGAAUUUUGUUAAAGGAACAUGAUCCUAAUAUUCAAGUGUGCAGAACCGUCUCUAUUUUUCAAACUAAAAAUAGAUUUACAAGAAAAAAUUCAGGCAUGUGGUUUACAGUGCUGAAAAAUAUGCAAAAGAAUUUUGUCAAUGGAACAGGAUAUUAAUAAUAUCAGGGUUGAGCUCCUGGAGUAGUGAAACCUGACCCACAUGUUUAGCCAACUCCCCAGUCACCCUAUCCAUGUAUAGAACAUAAAGCCCAUUCCUGCUUUCCAAGAGUUCUAAUGCUUUCCGUGCAUGAAGAAUUGAUGUCACCCACUCGACAAACAGCACUGCAAUUUGAAACUGCAUAUCAUUCCACAGUUGCUCAUGUAUGUUUGAAAACUUGGUCUUGAAUCCAAUAUGGACAGUAAUUAUAGAGAAUGUUUUCAGAACUACAUAAACUCAUGGAGGUAUAGUAGUAUAAGAUUUUGUUUCUUAAUUAUAAACCAGGGAUCAUAUUGCUGGUGAUUUGGUGAUAAUGAAGCAAGACUGCUACAAUAGAUGUUAAAAGCUAAUAGACAUGUGCAGAGGGUGGGAAGGAUACUUACUGUUGUCAAAACCUUCAUCUCUUGACCAAACCAAGAAGUAGUCUGAUAUCAGAAAUUCAAUAAGCUGGAUCCUGUCAUCCAUUAUAAAAAAUAAGACAAGGCUAUCUGAGAAACACCACAGGGCAAUGUAUUGUGUCUAAAAUUUUUCAUAUGAUUUGAAUUCUAUUUAAUGGGUGAGGGGAACAUGAUAAGAUAGAAAAAAGGAAAAUGCAAGCAAAGAAACAGUUCUUGAAAAAAGGAAAAGAAAUAAAAAAGAAAGAAAGAAAUUACUGCAAGAGAUUUCACUACUUAAGCCAAGAAAGCAUAUAAAUACAAGUACUGCAAGAGAUUAGUAUUUUUUUUUUUUAAAUGUUAAUGAACUCAAGAUCUUCCAUUUCAAAGGAUGAUUAUUAUUUGCUUAAAUGGAUAGAAUGAAUAUGAGACAGUAAUAAUCACAUUGUUUGACAUAUACCACUCAAGCACACUUGCUAGAAAACUACUGUCAAUAAAGCCCAUUCGGGACCAUAAAUGGCAGAAGGAUGCUAAGGAUGAUUGAAGGAACACCAAGCAUGCCGAAACCUCAUGAAGAUCAUCAUGGAGAAAUGCACUAUUCAUAUCUUACGCUGAUAAAGGGAGAUAUCAUUGGAGAGGCACAGCCACAAGCAAAAAAUAAAAAUAAUAAUAAAAUUAAAAAAGAAAGACAGAAUGAAGAAGAAGAAAGAAAAAAAAGCAAAGAAGAGGGGAAAAAAGGCAGAAAUAAGCUUUGUAGAUCUUCAUAAAGUCAUCUUCAGGAAAAAGGCAAGGCCACAAGUACUAGCGCAUCAAAGAGCACUGAGCUCCUGAGCACAGCCACCUGUCAGCAAAUUCUAGCUGUCUCAUUAUAACUAUGGAAAUCCUAAUGACACUAAUGAGAUGCAAAAUAAAUUGAAAAAAAAAAAAAGGAAAAAGGAAAAAGAAAAGAAAAGAACAUUAGUGAUAAGUAUAGUUAAUCUUUGGGGAAAAUGGUCAUUCCAAAUAUUGAAUUUAACUAACCUAAAUCAGAAAUAGUGGUUGUUAACAACAGAACAAAGUAUAAAGUAACUAUAAUGACCUUCAAAAUAAUUUAACUCUUCAAAUCCACAGCAGGAGCCAAUCCUUAGAAAUCUAUUUAGUAAACUGCACCUAAAAUUUCUUCUUAGAAUUUUUUGUGGUAAACUUACUUUUUUAAUGUAAUAUUUAUGCUAUUACCGUAGGGCACUAUAACACCAUAUUACAUAAUUUCAUGUUAUGGACUGGCAUCCAUGAGAAGCACCUAUCAAGCAGACAAUAAGAUAGGAUUCUGUUUCAUAAUUAAGAUAUAACAUACAGCUAACAACUAAUUGACUUCAGUUUCCAAAAGAUUGUGAUUUUGCAAUAGACAAUUAGAAUCAUACAGAUGAUUAUAGUUCUAAACAAAUUACACUAGAAUACUUACAGCACAAACAUACAACCAUGCAAAUUUGGAAAAGCAUCAUCAAAAGGAUCCAAGAAAAGCAAACUUUCAGCUAUCAAAGAAAUUCUUUGAGAAACUGAGAGUAUUGCCCGGUGUCCAACAAAGGGAUCACUUCCAAGCUUGCGGAUCAAGUGCUGGACAUAGAACUGGUGAUCAGCAUCCAAAUGAUGUAACUCUGAAAUAAAAUGUAAAAAACAUAGGAAGGCAAUUGAUUAAGAGAAAUAAAACAGGAGAAUAAAUGGUAGUAUCAUUAAGGACUUCAAAGGAGAGCAUGCCAACAAUGUUAUAUUAUCACUAUCAGCAAAACAAUGUUAAAUUAUUACCAUCAGCAUAUUUUUCUAUAGAAUGGCAAGCAUAUUUCCAAUGCAAACAGUAAAAUGCUCCAACCAGAAAAAUAAGGUGUCACUGUUGAUGAAGACCACCCAAUAACCGGUCACUAUCAAAUAUUUCUUCUAUCUGGAUUUGUUUUCUUUGUUUGAGGGAAGAUUCUUAUUUUGGACAAAUUUGGGUGUAACAGUAGGAAUAUUAGCCAAUUAGUGGUGCUUGCAUAAGCAGAAGGAAGAGUUAGCUAACCAUUUACUUAUCAAUUAUGGGAUUGCUCAAAGUUCAUGAUGUUUAUUGUUUUCAACAUUCAGUAUUCCUUGGGGCUUCUUGAGUAAAUUAAGGAUACCCUGAUUAGUUGGCAAGCUGUGAUACAUGGACAUGUUAAUUUCACCAAAAUACCCAUGUCGACACAACACAGCAUGGGUGUAUGUGUGAGAUCCGUGUCAUAUUCAUUUAUAUACAUCUGCAUGAUUGUUUUAUCUCUUUUUUAAUUUUUUUUAAUUAUAUUUAUAUUGCAUAAGCUAUUUUGCUACUUAUAAAUUGUAAAAAAAAUAAAGAAUUUUUUAAUUAAUUUCUAACUCUUGUAAGUGAAGAAGCACGUUAUCUCUUUCUUAUUUUUUAAAUUAUAAUAGAUAAAUUUUAAAAUAAAUAUAAUAAUUAAUAGCGUAAAAAUAUUAAAAAUAAAUAUCAAAAUUAAUAUCUUAAAAAAUCUAGAUAUAAAUUAUAAUAAUUAAUAUAAAAAAGUGGCAUGAUAAGAAAUUAAAUAUGAAUUAUAUUUUAUCAACAUCUAGUAUAUUAGAAGAUUUUUAUUACAAAAUCAAUAUAAAUUUUAAAAUUUUCAAACUAAUUAAAGUUUACUAAUAAUGUGGCAUAAUUUUUUUUUAAAAAAAACUUUCCUUAGCAUCUCAUUAAAUAAAAGACCUAUAAUAAAUAGGUUCUUCAUGUACAAUUAAUAGUAAUAUCAAAGGAAAAUAAUAAUUAGCAUCUUGUUAAAACAGAAAAAAAUAUAAUAAAUAUAUUUUCUAACUACAAUUAACCAUGUAGGUAACUUAUACUUAUUUUACUGUGCUUAUAUUUAGUGUUAAUUUAUUUCUCAUUAAGAUCAUAUCCAAGUACCCACACCUAUGGUUGAAAAUUGAAAUCCUUUUCAACUGAAUCCUCAUGUCCUAAGUGUUUAGGAUGCAUAGGAUCUCACAACUAGACAUGUUCCUGCACUUGACAUUUAUGCCCGAACCCAUGUAACAUAGUUGGGAAGGAAUUUUUGUAAGGGGAUAGAAAAGUAUGGAAUGCAGCUCUACUAUGUUUAAUUUUUAAGUAUAACGAAUGAACAUAAUAUAUAUAUAUAUAUAGAGAGAGAGAGAGAGAGAGAGAGAGAGAAAUUUCUAUGGUUUAAACCUAUCAGAAUUGGAGCUGAGAACUAUUCUUUUGAACCAACAAUUUGAGUGGUCCGAUGAGUUAGUGAAAAAGAGGCUAUUCCUUGUACAUUUUGUUUACAUUUUGGUUGUCUUCAAGAUGUAAGGAGUCUUUCCUUUUUACUUGUUUUUUUGUUUUUAAGUGGUACUUGUAUACAUGCCAUGCAUAUGGGUUGCACCCCUUUAGGUGUUUGUUCUUAUAAAAUCUUAUUUACUUAUCAAACAAAGGCACUUAUCAUUCUCUCCAAAACAAAAUCUUUCUUUGCUUAGCACAAGGUGAGAGAUUGCUUUAGAAGUAUCUAAAUCACACAACUAUUACAUCAUUACUUCUAUUUAUUUCACAAGUUCAAGUAAAUUGAAUUAGAGAUUGUCCUUUCUUUCAUAUCCAAGAUGGGCAAUUUGUUUUUCCCUUAUUUUUGCCUCAGUUCUUCAUGUUCAUAUGAUCAAUUUCCAAGGGGCAAUAGAAAAAUGGGAAUUAAAAGUAGCAAGCAUAAUCAAACCUUUUCACAUUAGAAAACAUCACAAACUUCAGUGUUUACAAUGAUUAGAAAUCAUAAAUCUUCUUAUGAAACACUGUUUCUUAAAGAUUUAAGACACAUCUCUCAUAAAUUUUAGAAAGUCAUACCAAGAGAGGCAAAUUUCCUACAUGAGAAAUGAAACUCAGGUAAAUGGAAUGAACUUUAAACAUUCAACAUCCUAGAUUAUUUUUGUUAUUGUGUGAAAUGAAACAGCUCCUUCUCAUAAGAUGCUAGCAAAGAUGAAGCUUUCUAGAUCACAAACUAGAAAUAACUAAGAACUUAACAAUCAAAGCACAAAGAUUCACCAAACAUAAAUUUCUAAAACAUGGAACUAGGAAUGGAUUAAAUUUUAAAUUUCAAGCACAUCUAGCUAUUUACCAUCUCCUUUUAAGGGCGUACACAACCUUCUGACCAAAUGCUUAAUUAAGCUGUUGAUAAUUCCUUUAAUGUAUUCCACAUUCUUUCUCACUGAUAGCAGAUUCUUCAAUGAAGCUUCAAGUUACAAGCAUAAAAUCAUUAAACUAGACCAAGCAACCAUUUAAAAAGAAGUCAUACAUUAAGAAUCUUGAGAUAACAUGGAAAUAUCUGAUAUUGAAAGUUUGACACUCAAUCAAAGUAAGGAGAAUGGUAACUAGAAGAGCAUAAAUGAAGAAACUUGUAAUAAUAAAUCAUAGAAGUUUCUCAAACUACCUCUCCUAAGCUGUGACUGUAAGGAAAGAACAACUAAUCAAUUGGUAUAGCCCACCAAGCCAAACUAUAGGGAAGUAGAAUAUGCGCUGCAGCACUUCAUAAUUCAUAUAAAGAUGGUUAUGGAAACUUGCUACAGCAUCAAAGUAAAGUACAUUUCAAGAAUGUUUCUAAAAUCUAUACCCAACUCAACCACAUCUUACACCCUGCCCGAAAAAAGUUCUUUUUUUCCAUCCUCUUGUUCUUGUAGAGCCUUCAACUAAAUGACCAAACAUCUUCAAUGACUCUACCUCAUCUAUUUCUCCAUUAAUGUCAUCCUUGGUGUCUUAAGUAUAUUUUAGUUUUAUUGUAUCUAUUCAGGCAGUACCAUACUUCCAUCUCAAAAUCCAAAUGUCAGCUCCCAUGCUUCUAUUAACAAGUUGUUUCUUGACUUUCUGGCAAUAGGUACAAUAUUACUAAAAUUUCAUCAAAUGCCAAACAGUCAUAGCUUGAAAUCACUGUUGAUACUUGACAUUGACGAUCACUUAGUAAAUUCACCAUAUCCCUUUCCAUGUUUCAAUUUCAAUCAUGAUUUGCUAAUGGCUGGAAUAUUAGUUUAGCAAUUGUUUAGCCGAAACAAAUUUUAAUAUGAUUCAAGAAUAUUCCUGUCACUAAACAUUUUUAUUCAACAAUCAAUUUCUUCCAAGUACAAAUUUCAGGGUAAUAUUAAGGCUUCUGAUUACAAUGAUACACCAAGAAGGCAAGAAGUGGCAUGUGGUCUGUUACAUUCCAUUAAGAAUUACAUCAUCUACAAAUGUGCCAAAGAUACUUAUUGAUCCUAAAAUACUUGCUUCAAGGAUAAUAGCAUGCUAAUGAAACAGGUUAUAGAAUCUACCUUUAGGAAGGUUAUAUACAAUUUAAACGAAACUCAAGUGAUAAUAAAUUAAGCACAAGAUGCUACCUAAAAUAAAGUCAACAGCUUGGUGUGACCAGUUUGUGAAGUUACUGUUCUCCACCUGCAGAAUAGGUUUAAAAAAAAAAAUAGAACUUAAAAAAUAUAAUUAAUAUUCAUUCAAAUAAGUAUUCAUUUAUGGAAUCUAAGUGGAAGGAAAGCCUGCAGAAACAAUGAGUAAAGAACACUGACAGGAGAAGCAGUGUCGCAAAGCUCCACCAGAAAAUCAAUUGAGGCCCUAAGUUGUUCUGUUUCAUCCUCGCAGACUAUAUCUGCACUUGUAACCAGACCAUACAUUUAUACAAGACUAUGAAUUUCCAGACACUAGGGAUUGCACAUUGGAUUAUUGAAACUCAAAAGAAAAUAAAAACUAAGUGAACAGCCAAACUAUUUCCAUAGUUGUUUAUAUACCUGAAUAAUGGUUAUGUUUGAUUGAAUCAUCCGUUCUUUUUCUCCUUCGUUCCUUCAACCGCACUGAAGAGCAAAGGCAAUCAAACUGCUGGGAAAACAAAAUUAAAAUACAAAGCUGAUGAUGCUAACGACGGUGAUAAUGAAACCUUGUCUGAGAAAUCUCCGGCGAAGAACAUCAUUGAAGUUGCGAUUAGAGCCACGUUCGAACUGAUUGGGGCUCAAUUUCCCCAAAUCAUCGAAGAAAUGGCACUUGCAAGAAGCGCUUGGCGGGAAGAGAUCAUGUCGUAAACCAUCUGAAACGAAAAAAGCAGCACAAAACCUAAGCACGAUCUGUCCACGACGACUGAAACCGAAACAGAGAGUGAGAAAGAUAAUUCAAGGACCUUCGGCUUCCCUGAGAUCUUCCUUGAGCCUAAGAAGCUCUUGUUUUCUCUCCUUGGCCUGAAACUCCAGGAUAUGGCAAAAGGCAAUUAGGCUCAGUUUGGGCGCCAAAAAAAGAGAAGAAAAAGCAGAGACUAAUACAAGAAUCGGCUGUUUAGGUCAGAGACCUUUCGCUUCCAACGAAGAGCGUCGGAAUGUGGAGGAGGAGGGUUGGUGUUGUGGAGGAGCUUAGAACGGAGGAGAGCCAUGGCAACGGCCAAUUUCAAGGAUUGAUGAGAGUCGGUGUUCGACGUCGACAUUUUGCGUCGGUGACUGUGGCCUUCGGAGCUCUAAUGCCGCCAACCUCACGGGCUUUUUUAACUUUUGCGGCAAUUUUAAAAAAUUAUAAUUAAAAAAUGGUAGUUUUGAAAAUAUUGAUAGAUUUACGGCAGUUUUGGCCACGUGGAAGGUGUCUUUUGAAGAGACACCUUCCACAAUUUUUAAAAUCAUGAAAUAAUUGAAUUUAAGCUAAAGGUAUCUCUUGAAGAGACACCUUCUACAAUUUCAGAAAAUUUGAUUUAUAUUAAAGGUGUCUCUCGAAAAAACACUUUCCACGUGGCAAAAAAUCCAAUAUGCAUUAAAGGUGUCUCUUGCAGAGACACUUUCCACGUGGCAAAAAAUCCAAUAUGCAUUAAAGGUGUCUCUUGAAAAGACACUUUCCACAAUUUGACAAAUUUAAAUGUCUUAUGAAUUUGAUUUUAAAGCUAAAGAUGUCUCUUGAAGAGACACCUUCUACAAUUUCUAAAAAUUUUAAUUUAUACCAAAGGUGUCUCUUUAAGAGACACCUUCUAGAAUUCCAAAAAAUUAGAUUUAUACUAAAUGUGUCUCUUGGAAAGACACUUUACACAAUUCCACAAAAUCCAAUAUGUAUUUUAUUUGUGGAAAUGAUUUUAAAGCUAAAGAUGUCUCUCUUUAAUGUAUGAAAAUUGUGGAAAGUGUCUCUUCAAGAUACACUUUCAGUAUAAACCCAAUUUUUUUAAAAUAAUAGAAGGUGUCUCUUCAAGAGACACCUUCAAUACAAUUCCAUUUUUUGGGAAUUGUGAAAUGUGUCUCUUGAUACCUUCCACAAUUUUAAAAAUAUUGGGUUUAUACUGAAAGUGUUUGUUCAAAAGACACUUUCCACAAUUUCCAUUCAAACAGUGGAAAAUUUUGAAUUUAUGCUGAAGGUGUUUCUUGAAGAGACACCUUCCAUAAUUACAAAAAAAAUGGAAUUAUAUUCGAACACCUUUCAUAAUUUUUAAAAAAUUGGGUUUAUACUGAAAGUGUCUCUUCAAGAGACACUUUCAACAAUUUUUCAGUGAAAAUUUUGAAUUUUGAAAAGGGACAUUCUACAAUUCCCAAAAAAUAAAAUUAUACUAAAGGUGUCUCUUCAAGAGACACUUUCCACAAUUUCCAUAUACAGUAGAAAUUUUCGAAUUUAUGCUGAAGAUGUCUCUUGAAGAGACACCUUCCACAAAAGAAAAAAAAAAUUCUAUCUCUUAAUUAGUAUUAUCUACUGUACAACCAAAUGUUUAAAGUUUAUCACUUGUAUACAUUAUAAUCAGUAUUUUGACAUUCAAUCCAAAACCAAUGAAAACAAGUAAACCAAAUGUCAAAAUCAGCACCUUUCCAAAAUAGUAACAAUACUAUUUUGUGUAAAAUAAGUCCAAAAUAGAUAGAAUACUAUAGAACUUACGUUAAUAAAAAGUUAGUUAAUCCAAAAUAUAACAAGUAAAAACAUACAUCUUGAGUAUUUGUCCAAAAUAAUGAUACGCAAAAUACUAAUAGUAUCCAAAAUAUAAGUCAUAUGUAGUAACAUCCUCAAUGUGUACCGCACGAAGGAGCCUUCCUCUUCCGUAGUGGACGUCUAUGAUGUGCAUGCUCCACUAUUGGCUCUAUGGGGCUAACAUGUAACCCUCCAUGAGCUCCACGACCACGUCUCCUACCACGUCCUCGACCACGAUUAGUCUUUUGUCGUUGUUGAUCAUCAUUUGCUAUAUGAACUAACUCCUCAUGAACCAAUGUAGCCUCUAUCGAUGGUAGUGAUGAUGCAACAAGUGGUACUACAGGUGGAGUGGAUAGCACCUUCAUAGGUGUAAUAGGAGUCUCCUGAACAGGUGGCAGGCUAAUGUCAGUCGAUGGUGCAUCUCUAAGAACAGACGUAUGCCUAGUCCCUCUCAUAUGAGCCCCUCGGCCUCUAGUCCGUACACCUCCUGAUCGAGUAAUGGGUGAUAUCAGCUGCUGAUGAGGUGGUGGACUACUCCUCUUAUGAGGCCCUCCUCCCCUAGUCCGUACACCUCCUGAUCGAGUAAUGGGUGAUAUCGGCUGCUGAUGAGGUGGUGGACUACUCCUCGUAUGAGGCCCUCCUCCCAUAGUCCGUACACCUCCUGAUCGAGUGAUGGAUGAUAUCGACUGCUGAUGAGGUGGUGGACUACUCCUCGUAUGAGACCCUCCCCCUCUAGACCGUACACCUCCUGAUCGAGUGAUGGAUGAUAUCGGUUGCUGAUGAGGUGGUGGACUACUCCUCGUAUGAGGCCCUCCCCCUCUAGUCCGUACACCUCCUGAUCGAGUAAUGGAUGAUGUAGGUUGCUGAUGAAGUGGUGGACUAAUGUCAGUCGAUGGUCGCACUCGGGCAACAACUGGUGUAUGCCUAAUCUCCCUCGUACGAGGCCCUCGUCGUGUAGGUCGUACAUCUCCUGAUGGAGGCUGGAGCUGUGUAGUAGCAUCAACACUAAAUGGAGCAUCUAAGCGAUCCAUCUCAUGUAUGGCCUCUAAUAUAGUAGUACAUAGCCUGCGAAUGCGAAAAUCAUCUGGAGGUGCAAUAUCAUAUAUCUGGUGUAUGCUGGUAGUCUGUAAGUUAAAUAAGAGUUGAAUUAAAUUCUUAUAAAAAUAAAAUAAACUUUAAUAAAAAGAUAAAACAUGAAAAUUACCAAUAGCUCGUGGAAGGACCCAGUCCGAGUAAGAAACCGAAUAGCAAUGGAGCGAUACCACACCAUGUAUGGAUCAUGAUACCCUAAUGAACCUAUAGCUAUCUCGCCUCUAGCAAUAUGCUCACGCCUAGAGCUCCAACGUCGAAUGUAGUCUCCAUGUCGAGUAGUCCAAUCAACAUCAUGUCUACCUCUCAAAUCACAUUUGUGUAAGAUUGACUCAUUAUCACAUGGUUGAGGAAUCCCUUGACAAAAACCAAACUGCCGCAAUACUCGAUCAGGUCUAUGCCAUUCAAUUAUGUGGAAACAUAUCAAAGGUGAGAUAGUGCACCAUAUAUCUUUCCCAGCAGUACAAUAAUCAGGAAAACCAACAUUCAUGUCAUCAACAUAAGGCUGCCAUAUAAUCUGUACCCAAGAAACGUUAGAUAUAAUCAGUGGUUUAGAAUUUGUUUAGAGAAACAAGUAUAAGAAAUGAAUCACACUUUUAUCACCUGAUCUGCUGUAAGUCAAUCAAGAUGGUGCCUAUACUGAGCUAAAAUGUGCAUGCUAAUCGAAGUAGUCUGAAACUCAUCUCUCCACCUAUAAAAUUAAAAUAACAAAGCAUAGUUAAAUAAAUAAAAAAUGUUAGAAUUUAAGUUUAUGCAUGUAUCCUCAUAAUAGUAAAAUUUGUCGUAAUUUUAUAAUAUAUACCGAAUGGCCAAUGGAGGUGGAGGCAGUUGGUCAUCAUGUGGAGCUAUACGUAAACGAUGAGAUGCAAUAAAUGGGAACCUCUCCCAUACCCAUAACUGGAGCAAAAUCAGUGGGCCAGAUAUAUCAUGUGUAUCAAUAUGAGAGGCUCGACACAACUGUCGAUAAAGCCAAGCUAAACAGGCACUACCCCAACUAUACCUACCAGCAACCUCAAAAUCCUCUAGAAGGGGUAAAAACAUAAGAUGCACCUUAUCGCUAGACUUUCCUGAAAAUAGAAAACCUCCAAUGAGCUGUAAGAUAUAAGCCCUAGUAUAACGUUGACUAGACUCUUCAUCAGCAUCUGGUGCCAAAGUAGGGAAGCUCUGACUCAACCAUGUAAGAUGAAGGCGCUGGCCAUCUAUGUCUGUAUCUCCAGGAGUGAGUCCUAAUAGAGAAUAACAUACACGCCUCCAAUCUAAACAUGUGCUACCAGUAACUACAUCUCCAUCUACUGGUAGUCCAAUCAACAUGGCAAUAUCCUGUAGUGUAAUCGUGCACUCCCCCUGAGGUAAGUGGAAGGUAUGAGUCUCAGGUCGCCAUCUCUCAACAAAUGCAGUAAUAAGAUGCCAAUCUAAGGAAAUGAAUCCUAAGCAUGCAACACCAUAGAAGCCUGCCUGCUGCAACAAUGGAAUAAUACGCCCAUCGAGUACACUGGUGCGAUGGAAGAUCGCCUCACGCCGUCUACAAUGAAGCUCCUUAGAGUCAACACUUGUCCAUGCUACAGAUGACCUGUGUGUGGCCUGUCCAUGUAGAACUGUCGGAUCCAAGGGUCCCGGCUCCAUCGUACGGUGAUACCUACAUAUACCAAAUAACCAUCAAUUCUUGUUAUCAUUAGUAUGAUUACAAAUUUACAGACAUUACAUAAAAAUAUCAUAUUAUCAAAAUGGAUAAUCUUUCAUACUUUAAUUGUCAUAAGGAAGGGGGUUGGAGAAUUGCCCUCCAUCUUUUGUGGGACAGUUGCGACGAUUAUGACCCGCUAUUUUACAUAAACCACAUCGAAUCCUAACGCUUGGUUCCUUCAAAUCCAUUUCAUUCCUUAUCCUUGAUGAUCUAGGACGCCCCUUAUCCCUCAUUGAAGUUGGGUCAGGGUGGAGAAUAGGAAAAUCAGGAUACGGCCAAUAAGAUUCAUGAGGAAUGGGAUUAAAUUCAAGAGCAUAACAACUGGCAUAGGCAUCCAGCCUAUAGUAUUUUUCAACUAAUUGCCAACUAUCAAUCCUCAUAUGAGCAGAAACAGCUAGCACAUGUGAGCAUGGAAUGCCAAAUGAUUGUCACUUAUUACAACUACAUAUACCUUCAUUAAGCUUAACCACUUGUUUGUUACGUCCUUUAUCCAUAUGAAACCCAUGGAGAGCAGUAAUUACUUCAAAUGUUUCAUGAAUUCGAUGGAAAAUGGUGACAGUGUGUCCACUAGCUUUGGCCUCGGCUCUUCUAAAUUUUUCAAUUGCAUACGUAGUGUACACAUCUCCAACUGCCAUUCUAGCACGUAUCUCUGCUCUACAAGUCUCAAAGUAUGACACACAUCGAUAAAAAGUUAAUUGAAUAAGUGCAGUGAUAGGUAACAUUCGCGCACCCUUAAGCACCCCAUUAAUGCACUCAGCAAUAUUUGUGGUCAUCCACCCAUCCCGAUAUCCUAGAUCAUAUGCUUGAGUCCACUUUUGAGUGUCUAACUUUGAAAACCAAGCCACACUUUUUUCAUCCAAUCGUUUUAACUCCUCCAUGUAUCUCUCAUACUUCCACGGUUGAUGUUGACAUCCAGCUCUAUAUGCCAACUCUUUUAAGACCUUAUUCUUAAAUUUGUCAUUAAAAUUGCUCACUACAUGCCUAAGACAAUAUCGAUGUUGCGCAUGAGGGGGGCUCCAUCCAACUGAUAGAUUUCUAACAGCAGCAUUUAUUCCUGCAUGGCGAUCUGAAAUUAAGCAUAUUCCUUCUCUUUGAGUGACGUGAUGCCUCAAUGCAAUAAGAAACCAAGACCAACUAUCCUGUGAUUCUUCCUCAACAAUUGCAAACGCAAGGGGGAAUACAUGACCAUUUCCAUCAAUUGAAGUAGCAAUUAAAAGCUUCCCCAUGUAUUUUCCAUAUAAGAAUGUACCAUCAAUUUGUAUAAUUGGUCUGCAAUGCUUGAACCCUUCAACACUUGCCCCAAAUGCCCAAAAAACACGCAUAAACCGCACGUUCCCAGAAAUCCCUCCUAAAGGUAUUGUCUUCCAAACAAUCUUUGUUCCAGGAUUAGUUAGCUGAAGGAUGUUCAUCCACUUCGGCAAUGCUUGAUAAGAUUCAUCCCAAUCACCAAAAACUCUAAGCAUUGCUUUUCUCUUAGCUUCCCAAAUUCUUCUAUAAUGGACAUCAUAUCCAAAUUUAUCCUUCACUAUCUGGUGUAAUGUAGCAAUAGAGGUAGUGUGAUCCCUCUAAACUACAUUUUGGAUCUCUCUUGCAAUCAAUGUAGAGUCCAAUUGAGAGUGGUCUUGUGAUAAUUUAGGGUAAACACAAGUAUGAGGACCUGCGUACUUGGUUAUCUCAAACAUUCCAUGGCUUUUACGACGACAUCCACGAAGCCUCCAAUUACAUCCUUCCUGCCACUUCUUACAUCUCACUGCCCACAAUUGUGGUUCUGAUUCACAAACCACCAAAUGUUGAUUCCGACAUAUUACAUAACGUUUUACAGCAUAUUGCAAGUCUUCUUUACUCUCAAAUCUCAAUCCUUUAAACAACUCAUUGGAUUCAUUCCACAAUCCGGUACGUGGUGUGAGAGGCUCAGUAGUCAUGCUAUUUAUUGCAUCCCAAUUCAAUUGUUUGAACAUUGGGGAAGGCAUAAUAUGCUCACCAUCAUCUAAAGAAACCUUAUUUGUUGGAGGUUCAUCAUCAUAAUGCAUCUCAUUAAUCUCGUCCUCAUCAUAAAAUUCCACAUCAUCAUUUUCAUUUGUAAAUGGGAUGUCAACAUAAUUGUUUGUCGCUCCCAUGACUGACUGAGUUACUACUGCCAAAUUCCCCCCCAUUUCGUCAUUGUGUGCUAAAUUCUCAUCCAUUUCAUCAAUCUGCACUGCCGAAUUCCCCUUUGCAGGUAUUUCCACAUCAUGACCCAUAAUUUCUUGAUCAAAUAUGGACUUAACUCAGAUGAAUGAUCCCUUGGACGUGUCUGCAAAUACAUUUCAAUAGUAUUCGAUGGUGGGAUUUGUGCUACAACAUGAAACAUUAACCUUACAUCAUCAUCAUCUUUAAUUGGUAAUUGUAUAUAGUUAAUGUUUCCAUUUCCAAUCGACAUAAGAAUUGGAUACCGAAAUAUCAUGGAUAACAUGAUAUGAGCGCGAUCGAUCGACAUAACAUGACACAGCUUAUCCUCCAACUCAUCAUAUUUGAUCAAAUUGUUCACUAAGACACCUUUUUUAGGAGGACAACUGUAACACACCCCAUUUGGCCCAUCAAUUAUUUCACCAUCCUUAUAACACACAAUUGUAAGCAAACUUUCCAUUGAUUACUAAAAAGAAUCAAAUAAAAGAUAUAUAAGACUAAAUCAAAUUAAAUUUAUUUUAAUUUAUCAUAUUCAAUGUAAUGUAUUUUAUAUAAUUUAAUAAUCAAUACACUUAUCAAAUUUAUAGUUUUUAUUAAAAUGUACAUACAAAAUUGAGCUUUUUUUUGCCACGUGGGGGGAUUCGAAACCCCAACAAAAGGUUCAACAUGCAUCCAUAGCUCCACUAGGGCAAACUUGCCCCAUGACAUAUAAGAUGCACUAAAGAAAUAUAUAUAUCAAAAGUUAGAAUAUAAAUACAAUAUUAAAAAAACACUUUAAAUAAAAAAUUAAUUAUAACUAUUUUAUAAUUGAAUGAAAAAUUUUCAUUUAAUUGAUUAGUAAAAUUAUAUCAUAAUUUUAUUCAUAGUGUUUUUACUAUUAUCAAUAUAUUAAAAUUUUAUAUAUUUAUCAUCAUAUAAUAUAUCAUAAUUUUUUAAUAUUAAAUAUAUUUUAAAAUUAAACUAUAAUCACAUUUCACAAUAUUAUCAUCAAAUAAUAUUUUAUAUAAUCAAUAUUCACUUAUCAAAUUUAUAAUUUUCAUUAACAUGUAUAUACAAAAUUGAGCUUUUUUUUGCCACUUAGGGGGAUUCAAACCCCCAACAAAAGGUUCAACAUGCAUCCAUAGCUCCACUAGGGCAAACUUGCCCCAUGACAUAUAAGAUGCACUAAAGCAAUAUAUAUCAAAAGUUAGAAUAUAAAUACAAUAUUAAAAAAACAUUUUAAAUAAAAAAUUAAUUAUAACUAUUUUAUAAUUGAAUGAAAAUUUUUCAUUUAAUUGAUUAGUAAAAAUAUAUCAUAAUUUUAUUCAUAGUGUUUUUACUAUUAUUAAUAUAUUAAAAUUUUAUAUAUUUAUCAUCAUAUAAUAUAUCAUAAUUUUUUAAUAUUAAAUAUAUUUUAAAAUUAAACUAUAAUCACAUUUCACAACAUGUAUAUACAAAAUUGAGCUUUUUUUUUGCCACUUGGGGGGAUUCGAACCCCCAACAAAAGGUUCAACAUGCAUCCCCUAGUUCCACUAGGGCAAACUUGACCCAUGAUAUAUAAUAUGCACCAAAGAAAUAUAUAUCAAAAGUAAGAAUAUAAUACAAUAUUAAAAAAACACUUUAAAUGAAAAAUUAAUUAUAACUAUUUUAUAAUUGAAUGAAAAAUUUUCAUUUAAUUGAUUAGUAAAAAUAUAUUAUAAUUUUAUUCAUAGUGUUUUUAUAUUAUUAAUAUAUUAAAAUUUUAUAUAUUUAUCAUAAUUUAUGUUAUAAUCACAUUUCACAUUAUUAUAAUCAAAUAAUAUUUUAUAUCAUUUAAUAAUCAAUGUACACUUAUCAAAUUUAUAGUUUUUAUGCAUACAAAAUUGAACUUUUUUUUUUCCACUGUUGGAGGAUUCGAACCCCCAACAAAAGGUUCAACAUGUAUCCCAGCUCUACUAGGACAAACUUGUCCCAUGAUAAAUGAUAUGCACUAAAGAAAUAUAUAUCAAAAGUUAGGAUAUAAAUACAAUAUUAAAAAAACACUUUAAAUAACAAAUUAAUUAUAACUAUUUUAUAAUUGAAUAAAAAAAUUUCAAUUAAUAAAAAUAUAUCAUAAUUUUAUUCAUCGUAUUAACUGAUUCCGCUUACCUUGGAGUUAAGUCUAAUUUUCACUCCGUAUGAAUAUCAGUCUAACCAGAUAAAGGAUUCAUAUAGAAAUACAAAUAUUUCUUCAACUGAUGUAUGUGGAUUGCCUAUUAAAGAUCAACAUACCUUCUUGCAAUAGUUGAGAGCAAUGAAACAAAUAAAAAUAUUUCUUAUUUGUUUUUAAUUUUAACAAAAAAAAAUAGUAUUUUUUAUUUUUUAUUUUUUAUUUUAACAAAUAAAAAGUGAAGAAUCUCCUUGAAUUUAAAUUUGAAUUUCAAUUUCAAUUUCAAUUAUUGUAGGUACUAAUCUAAUCAGGUUAUUAUUUUUUUAUUUUGUUGCAACCCCCGUUUGAUUCCCAAGUUUGUGCAAUCCCCGUUUGAUUCCCAAGAAAAUCCAUCCCCCAUUUGCUUUCCGGGAAAAUCCAUGCAAAACCCCCUAAAAAAACAAAAUUUCAAUUUCAAUUUCAAUUUCAAUUAUUGUAGGUACUAAUCUAAUCAGGUUAUUAUUUUUUUAUUUUGUUGCAACCCCCGUUUGAUUCCCAAGUUUGUGCAAUCCCCAUUUGAUUCCCAAGAAAAUCCAUCCCCCAUUUGCUUUCCGGGAAAGUCCAUGCAAAACCCCCUAAAAAAACAAACAAAAAAAUGUUUUUUUUUUGCUCCGUGCUUUCUGGAUCUGUCCAGGGGUCUCUUUGCUUUUGUGCCAUUGGAUUUAAAUUUCACAAACCCUAAAUCCACGAUUUUUGAGCCACGCUGAAAAACACAACCUUUCCCCUCAAAUUAUGAUCACCUUUCCCCUCAAAUCAUGAUCAGAUUACCAAAUAGCUUAUAUUUUUUUAUAAAAAAAAAUUGGACAAAUACCAUGUGCGCUGGCUGGACUGGUAGAAAAUAUUGGGAAAAAAAAAUUUUCAACUUUCCCACACUUUCUUGGCAACCAAACAGAAUCACAACAAGCCGAACCACAAAAAAAAUUAAAACUUUCUCCAUUAUUUUUAGUCUACUCAGUUUCAUUGUAAAAAAAAACAAAAACUUUAUUUUUUUUACAACUUUCCCACACUUUCUCGGUGACCAAACACAACCACACCACCAAAUAUAACCACAUAACUUACAGAAAACACCGGGGGCAAUGGUUUCUCAGAUCUUCACUUCACUUCCUUCCUAUUGGUGUUGAAGCAAGGAUCUCCACCUCAUGAUCAGCGUGCGGGAUAGUGGGUUUUCGGGCAUAGGAGUUUUGAUGCAGAGAAGAAAAACGGGAAGGGAAGAGAAGAAAAACGAGAAGGGAAAUGGAAAGGGGGGAAUGGGUUUUCAUAUCUCAUCCUACGUGUUAUCCUAAGUGUUCAAAAGUGCCGUAGAAUUGCAAUUAUUUUCCAAACUAUGGUAUUUUAAAUAUUAUUUUUUUUAAUUGCAGUAUAUUUAUCAAAAAUCCCCAACCUCACAUUUGCAUCAUUUCUUGAACGUGUCAACCUGCUUUCAAACACUUCCCUCAAUGAUACGCUUUGACAAACACAUGUUUCCAUUCAAUAGUAGGUUUUCUUUUUAAUGAAUGUAAUAUUGCAUUCUACAGUAGAUAUAUAUAGUUUGUGAAUAAUAUAAAGUAACAUCAUCUCAAAUAGUUAUAACAUUUGUAAUUAAACAUGAAUCAAUUGAUAAUAGAAACUUUUCAUAGCAUAAAUCUGUCAUUAAAUGGGCAAUUACAUCAAUUGGAUGGUAAACUCAAUUAAUACAAUCAUGUUUGAUUAACAUAGUCAUUCCUACCUACAACUAUGAUUACUCAUGAAUGAAUUAACAAUGUAAACGCUAAAUGGGGCAAUAUGCCAUUCGCUGAGCAAUAACAUUAAUUAGGUUGUGAACUUGAUUGAAGCGGUCGUGUGUAAUUAAUAUGAUCAUUCACGAUUAUAUUUGUAAGUACGCUUGAUUGAAUUAAUAAUACAAACUCUUAGUGGAUAAUGUAUCGCAAGAUCAAUAAAAACAUCAAUUGGACAAUAAACUCGAUUUAGGUGAUCAUGUUUAAUUAAUAGUCAUUACUCAACCACAUCGAAACUACAUAUGAAUGAAUUGACAAUACAAAUUCUUUAUAAGGUAGUAGGUCCUCAUAUCAACAAUAACAUCAGUUGGGUUGUAAACUCAAUUCAAGUUAUCAUGUCUGAUUAAUAUUGUCGCAUGCUAGCUAUAUCUACAAUUGUACAAGAAAUGAUUGACAAUUCAAGCUCUUUACAAGAUACUGUGUCAUCAAAUUGAUAAUAACACCUACAAGCAAUAUAGGUGAUAAUUGUGGGAUGCUCGCCUCCGUCCAACAUGACUUGUCCUGCACUUGCCAUGUAUCAUCGUCUGUCCACCAAAUAUCCUUGUCUAUCCAUCUCACCAUGUAGAUCGAUAAAAACUGUUUGGAUACUAUUCAUCGCCACCUAUCUAGCAUUAAAUACAAAAGACAUUAAGCGCAUUAAAUGUCACAACCAUUACUAAGCAUAAACACCAAACUUCAAGGUUUAAAAGCUAUUAUUAAUAAUUGGCAUUAAAGACAAUAAAAGCAUAAUCAAAGACACAAUUAAAGUAGAGAGAGAAUGUUACUUUUAGGCAAGAAUAAAUAGCCAUCAAUCACCAUAAGAAAGGUACAUGACCAGUUCCCAGUGUUCUCUUGCUUAACUCUUCCUCACCCAACUUAAGUUUCAGAGGAGUGUGCUUGAAAAACCCAUCCGGACACUUCUUAUUGCAGAUGAAUUCUUCGUUUACUUCAAGAGGAGACUAGUCAAAUACAUACAUUGUUGGUCAUACACCAAUAAUAAUGAGCAAUAUGCUAACAAGAAUAGCAUCUACAAUGCACUUGAAUGAGUUGACAAUACAAAUGCUUUAUGUGGGGAUUAAACUCUAAACCCUACAUUGUAUGAAGUGAUGUCAUGAGCAUGUGUUGCCUAUAACAUGCACUUCUAAAUACAUUGAUAAUAUUAAGAGACUCCAUACAAUGCCUAACUCAAUAAAAAAGAGCAUUGCUACACAUAAAAGAACAACUUUGGGUCUUACCUAGUCUAUAUGGUUAUGGUGAUAUAUGAACAUCUAAUUAAAAGGAAUACUUUGCAAUGUUGAGAAAUGAAUUAAUGUAAUGAGUAAAGGUAAAUAUGUUUGUUGAGGAUCUCCAUGCCUUACAUGCCAGAAUUCUAUGUCAUCGUCCAUUAAUGAUGCCUUGAUAAAACCUUUAAAAAUAGAUAAUAGCAAUUCUACAAAUGUAAGAAAAGAAUAAUUGAAGGCUUAUUCCAAAAGCUCACUACUCUAUGGUCUAUGUUAAGGAGGGUAGAUGGUGUAGCAAUCUUUGAUAAGAGUAGGACAUAUGCUUUGAACAUGUGGGGUAAAGGGUUUAGUAUGGAUGUCUCAAGUGAGAUUCAAAUUGAUGAUGUGGAUAGCUCGACUAAAGGAGGGCAAAAGAUGUGGAAGUCUUUAGUGGUAAUGAACAAGUUAAUAUAAGUGUCUCAAGUAAGAGUAGAGUCAAUGAUGUGGAUAACACACGUGAAGGGAUUGCAAAUGACGUAGAUACCUCAAAUGGUGGUAGGGUAGCCAAUGCUAGGUGGAUAUAUGGAUGAUGCUAAGAUUAUCUUAGAUUGAUGCACAAAUGGUCUAAGUCUCAACUACUACCUCUCCUUAAACUCUAAUGAGUUGCAACAUAGUAGUGUUGAUCAAUUCAAAUAGUCUCAUGGUUGGCAUUGAUGGUGUAGAUGACUCACAUGAUGGGUUUGUGUGGUGAACCUUUCCAAUGGCAUGUAAAAAAUCAUUAACAAUCUAAUGAAUGUCUCUCAAAUUAGCUAAGGUAACUCUAAUAGAUCAACUAGCAAUUUGCAUCAUGUGAUUUGUAGUAAAAAAUAAAAAAUAAAACAAAAUAAACGCAGCAUCAAUACCUCGAAUCUUCUAUUAACCUUAAUUUAUAGUAAGAUUUUUUAAUUAAAUUGAAUGAUCUUAUUAGUAAGCGAUGACGGUCACUAUAUUAUGGAACCCCAUUUGAUCUCUAUGCACAAUGGGUGUGGUCAAUAAUCAUGUAAUCCUAUAAUAACGUACCAUCUUUGGAUCGUGAAAAUCUAUGAAAAAAAUGACAAAUGGUGUCAUCACAAUAUAUUUGGAGCGAUUAACUUAGUGUGAUUAACAUGCUAGGCAUGGAAUGCGAACUAAUUGUACCAAUGUUGUCCUUGCUUGUCUACUAAAUAUAGGUCUAGCUCUAUAAAUAAUGCAAAUACAUUCCUUGUUGAAAACCCAACUAUCAUAAAACUCAAUCUAACUUAUGCCACAUAACAAUGUCAAAGAAAAUAUGAGGUAAAACAUCAUUUGAAAAAUCUCCCAACCAACCACAAAUAUAAUUGAAAAAUAUUUAAUCAAAUAUCUUAUUUAAGGCUUCCAUAAAACAUGUGAAUGUCAAAACCCAUCAUUAGUAACAUUGUUGCACAUGUUAUCAAUGGUAAUGCAACGUAUCCAUAUGUUAUCUAUCCAAUCUCUAUGUGUCAAAUUGAUCUUAAUAGAAUGUCAAAACAUGAAAAGACAAAUUAAAAUCUUAUUAUACAGAUACUAUGCAUUUACAUCCUAAUAGAUCGAGCUACAAUGCCUCGUGUGGCAAUAGAUCAACAAGCAUAACCUUAUUUGUUGUUACAAAUGUCAGAUUUCUGAUGAAGACUAUAUGAUAAGGAAUAAGGCAAAGAGUGAUAUGGAUUGGAAUACACUAAAAAAUAGUCCCAUGUUGCAUAGUAUACUAUGGAUCCAAAGGUUAGAGACUUACAAUUCCUAUGAUUUUAAGUGCACCAAUACCUCAUUAUAGUGGGAAGUUUAUAUCCCAUGGAUUAUGAUGAAGUAGUGAACGGUUUUCAUGUUCAUUCUUGACUAUGAAAGGAUAAUUAGAAUAUUUGUAUUCUAACAUAGUUUGAGUUCUUGUAGAAGCACUUAAAGGGAUAAAACCCAUAAAUGUAAGAUGGUCUAUAAAAAAACAAAAGAGUAGAUGGAAAGUUUGAUUUUUGUGUGGCUAGACUGUAGCUAAAAGUUAUAGUAUGAAACUUUGUUUCAACUAUGGAAAACUUUUUCAAUAGUAACCAUACUCCAAUCCAUCAAAGUACUCCUAUCUAUUGCAAUGCAUCUCAUUUAUGAGAUACUACAACUAAACAUUUUUAUAGCAAAGAGCCUUGUAUGUACAAGAAGGAAUAGGGAAGCAUGAUAGUGUUCUUAGAUCUUGUAAGUAGAUGAUAAUUUACUCAUUUUGAAUGAUAUAGGUAUCAAUCAAGAUCUAUUUGUCUACUUAGUUCUCAAUGAAAAUCUAGAAUGAGCCAUUUAUAAGUUCUUUUAAGAUUACAAGAAUAGGAAAAUUGUACUAUAUCACCUACAUUGAUGAGCAUUUAGUCAAGUGCAUGAUGUAGAACUCUAAGAAAGGUUUGCUACCCUUUGGGUUUGGAGUUGUCUUUCUCAUGAUCAAUGUUCUUAGACAUUUGAGGAGAGAUCGCAUUAAGGCGGUAUCCUAUGCUUCUAUAAGGGGUAGCCUUAAGUAACAUUUGUUUUGUUAUAGGAAUAGUGAGUAGAUAUUACUUCAUAUCAUGAUUAGAGAUUUGGGGAGACAUCAAGCACAUAUGCAAGUAUCUUAAGAGAACAAGAGGAUAUAUGCUUAUGAGUUUUUGUGACGAGUUGGUACUCCUUGGGAACAUGGAAUUAGAAUUUCAAUUUGAUGAGGAAUUUUGCAUUGUACACUUUAAGUGGUUUUUGUUGUUUUUGAAGUAACAAAGGAAGUCAAAUGGCUUAAGAUGUUUCUUAUAAGAACUAAGGGUAGUUCCCUUUGCUAUAUCAUCCAAGAUCCUAUUUUUUAUAAUAGUAGGAUGGUGGCACAAUCUAAAGAACCAAGUUACCACAAGAAAAGAAAACAUAUGGAAAAGAAAUACUACUUGAUUUAUGAGAUAGUUAAGAAAGGUGAUAUAAUUGUAGAGUAGAUUCUUUCUGCAGUGCCUAGUCUACUUUUAGGGCUAGUGGAAGUUUGUUAGGAUUGAUCCCCUAAAAACAAGAUAUAAUGUUACAAAGUUAGACUUGACAAUCCUCUUUUUAUCCCUUUUAUACAUUGACAUUGAAUUGAACAAUAAGUACAUACCUCUUACAUUGUACAUGACUUGGGUACAUUAGGAGUUGCAUAAAAAAUAUAAGUCACGGGUUGCUUAUAAAUAAAUAAGUUGUCUACAAUCAAUUCAUAGAUUUGGGCAAUCAAAUAGAGACUAUAGUGCAUCACUUCAUAAUUGGGGGGAUGACUUGUCUUGGUUGUUGGAAUGGAUUUCCAAUGGUGAGUGCACUAGUGUAUGUGAUGCACACUGGACAAGGACUAUGGUGAAUCAUGACACAUAACGCAAGGCUAUCAAUUGUCAUUAUUCACCAAAAUACUAUAUUGUAUGGAUUCUCAACCUUAAGAGGAUAUGGAGCCUAUGCUGAAAUCAACAUGAGGCAUUAAUCUAUGGCUAAAACCCUAAAAUCGUCAUAUAUCCCCAUGGAUUAGGUCAUUAUUGAUGGAGGUUGAUGACAACGAAUAUUCUCAAUAGAAGCACCAUGAUAUCUCAUGAAAUUGAGAUAGAGUGUCUCAUUGGGUGAUUCAAAGGACAUGUGAUCAUGAAAUAUAUGGUCACAAUAAUUCCUUUAGUGGAAUUUGACAUAUACUCCUUAGAGUUAGAGUAUGUUAGUUGAUCACAUAAUAAGUGAGAUCUAUAACUCAAUGAUUUGAGAAUCAAUUUUAAUAGGUGAUAGCACUACCUUGUUAGAUUACGGACACAAGUUCAAGGAGAGUUUACAUGCAAUGGAUAAUAGUGAUGUGAUAGCAUUACUGUUGGCAGAUUGGAGGGUUGGUCGCGUCCAUCAAUUCUCCUUGUGUUCGUUGUGGGCGCUUGGGUGAAUGCACUAUAAGGUUAGGGUAUGUGUCUUUCUUAACAGCAAUUGCUUUUAAGAAAGUUGGUAGCGCUUGAGGUCUUACAAGUGGUAUCAAAGUCGAGGUCACGAGUUCGAACCCUAGGGGUGUCGUUGGGAGAGGGGAAAUUGUUGGCAGAUCGGAGGGUUGGCCACGUCCAUCAACUCCCAUUGUGUUCGUCGUUGACACUUGGAUGAAUGCACUAUAAGGCUAGAGUAUGUGUCUUUCCUAACAUCAAUUGCUUUUAAGAGAUUUGAUAGUGUUUAAGGUCCUACAAUUACCUUGUUAGAUUAUGAACACUAGUUUAUGAGGGGUCUGCAUGCAAUGGAUAGUAAGUCACAAACUUGAGCUUUGUCUCAUUAUUAUUUACAUAAGGUACUAGAGUGCAAUUGAUUUUUUUUAGUAGGAUGUUGAAUCAACUUCAAAAUUGGAUUCUGAGGGAGCCAAUUUUCCUAUGGGUCCCAAUGAUCCCCACUCUAAGCUCAUAUACCAUGUUGGCACAAUUUAUGAGGGUUGGAUUGGCUCUUGGUUUACUCCUAUGCAUAAGAGCGUUUUGGUAAUUAUGCAAGGUUGUACAAAUGAUAGUGAAUAAGGUCUCUGGAUUGAGCUAAUUGAUUAAUUAGAUGGACAUGUGUGGUUAUAAAUCAAUUAUGACUCAUUUUGGGCUAGAUUAAUUAACCCAAGCCCAUAUGGACUUAAGUCACUUAAGCCUAGUAGGGGAACCUUAUAAAUACCUCUUUAUGGGGUUAAGGUUUCCUAAUGGAUUUUAAAUAGUUAUCUUCCACCUUCAAAGAGAAAAAAAGAGAGCCUAGGUUUCCACCAUUCCAAAGCCCACACUUUGGAAUGCUAAGAUCAUGGUUCGAGUUAUUAGGAGGAAGAUAUUGAGUGAACGAGAUCUCCAAACUAUUCAGGUAUGUUCUUUACCACGAUGAUUGAUCUAGGAACAUCCAAAUCUAGGUAUGAGUACUAUAUCUCUAGAUCUACUAGUUAAUAAUGGUUUUUAUUAUCGUUUUAUUAUGUUGCGAAAGAUUUAGAGAUGCCUAGGGAUAGAUGCAUGCACCCUAUGAAAUCCAAGGCAUGGGAAUGGAGUAAUCUAAGGUUCCAAACAUGCACCUCUUUUGCAUAAGAAUCAUAUGAGGUUCCAUAGUACGAUGUCAGCCACUAAAUUACUAGUGAGACCAUUUGAGACACAAAAACAUUUUUAAAUGAGGGUUAAACUUAAAUUACGUGUAAAUGCCUCAUGUUUCAUUUUCUUAUAUAGAUCACCACCGUGACACAAAUGGCUAUUUCAAAUUAUUUGGAAUAAACCCAUUGAAUUUCUAUUAAUGUUUCAUGUGCUAUUAGAAAGGACCAUCACAUACACUCAACACAAGAGUCAUUCACAUCUUCAAGGCCAUCCAUGAGACCACCGUCAUUAACUACUAUUGUUAGGGUACAACCCAUUAAAGGCUAAAGGAGAGGUGGUGAGUAAGCUAGUCAACGACAUGUAACUCGGUCAUCUAGUCUGGUACAAUCCUCGUAUCCACCAGUGACAUUGAUUCCAGUCCCUUCACCCCUACCUAAGACUUCCACACCAUCUACCCUUGAUCCAAUCAUUUAUAUCCCUAGACCUAUUUAUACCUAAGGCAUCCAUACUAGCUCAUCUCCAACCAAACACCCCCCUCUCCCCCAUAUGAGUAUCACAUCAUCUACCAUUCCUUUAUUUCAACCAUCUAUAUCAUUAGACCCACCCCUCCACCCCCUUGUUACAUCCAUACCAGUCCCUUCACCCCAACCUGAGGCUACCAUACCACAUUUGCUCCUUCAUGUUACAUCCAUACUAACCUCUUCACCUCCACUUCCACCCAAGCAAUCUAUAUCAAUGGAUGCACCCCCACUUGAGGCUUCUAUACUAGCCUAUACACAACAUACCGCCUUAGCAUCCAUUGUACCUAUUAUAGAGUCCAUUGUACCUCCACCUUUUCUUGAGAGGACAUCUCAUGCUACACGACUACAUACACGACAUCGGGCUCCAUGUAUACACCGAGUUCUAUCUCCAUUAAUUCCAUCAUAUUCAAUAGCACAUGUUGAACACACAUCAUAAUGUAUAGAGAUAGAGGCUUCUCAAAUAACCCAGAUGAAUCCAACAAAUAUGAUCAUAUAUCAUAAAAAGAAAUAUUUCAUCAUGUAGCACACAUUGAGAACUUUUAUCAUGUUUAUAAUACUAUAAUAGUUUGGUUGAUACAUAUAAGUUUAUAUAAAGUAUCAAUUCAAAUGAAUGAUGUUAUGAUAUUCACCCAUUUCCUUGACAAUUAAAAAAAUUAAACAUUUUAACGAAGAAAUAAGUUAAAACUACAAUUAAGUUAUAUUCAUAAGUAAAACCUUAAAAUCAUUAUCAUUGGCUCUAAUUUUCAUAUGAAAUUUUAAAAUUUUAAAAUAAUAUGAAAGAAAUAUUUUUAUUUAAUCCAUAUGUGAUAUAAUUUAUAAAAUAAUAAAUAUUUUAUUUAGUAUAAAUAUAUAAAAUCUUAUGGGAGUGCAUCUGGGUGAGAAUUUUUUUCAAAAUUUUAAUCCUAAAAUCAUAGUUAGUGACUGUGAUUUUAAAUAUAAUUUUAAACUACAAUUACUUAAUGUGGUUUCAAAAAUAAUUUAAAAAUCAUAGUUAAUGAUUAUGGUUUCAAGGUUUUUAAGAUAAUUUUAAGAGCAUUGAAUGUUGCUUUAAGGAAAAUUUUAAAACCAAAGUUGCUGACUAUAGAUUUAAGGUUAAAAAAAAACAGAUGAAUAAUUACAUGGUAACAAAUAACUAAUUUGGUGAAUAUUUUUGGAGGGGAUCUACAUGUGCCUUUUUUUUUUUCUUAAAAAAAAAAAACUAUUUUGGCCUUGAACUCUUUUUUAGCCACCAAACAGGAAGACUAAAGAUACUAAAAUUGGAAAAUAAAAAAGAAAAAUUAAGGUGAAUAAGCACUAGAUUUUCAAAAGUUAGUCACAUAGCUAAUUUUUUUGUAGUCAAAAUCACUACCAAAGUAGCUUUUAAUGAGAUUAUAAAUAUUCAUAUUCAUCACCAGAUAGGUUCUUGAUAAGAUUAUAACCAUUAAUGUAAAAUCCUUUAUAUUAAUGCAAUGAUUAACUUUCACAGCCCUUUUGCCCAAAAGUCAUCAUACUGUAACUUUUAUUUAAAGAGUAAAAAUACACAACAAUUUACAGAAUAGAAAAGCUUAAGAAAAUAUUUUUGGGGAAAAGGGGUUUUUAACUCGGUAUCCACUUUAAUAGCGCCCAAAUUUUAUCAAAGAUUUCAAAAUUUUAAUCUUUUCCCUCCCCGAAUUCCUUCCAUUGGCACAUAAUUUGAAGAUUUGGAAUCAUUUUAUCAAUUCAUUCUACUCGAUGCUAAUAAUUACGAAACCUAAGUACAUUAUGAUCAAGAAUUAGUAGUUAUUUAAUAAAUCAAUUUAAUAACUUGAUUUAAGUCAUUAAAUAUAUUUAAUAAAAUAACUUUAUGAUAUAGCUUUUUAAGUAAAAAAUAAAAAUAAUUAACUUAUUUUUACAUCCAUUUCUUAAUUUUAUCUUUUUAUUUUCAUUUUGCUACCUCUAUUGUUAUUCAACCCACUUUACCCUAAUUAUAAUUUAUAAGUAUAAAUAUAUUAAUUUAAUGAUUUACAAUAAAUUUUAAGUUAAUUUUAUCAAAUAACUUUAUUUACCUAAAUUAAAAAUUAAGCAAUAAAUUUUAAAUCAACAAUUUAAAUAUAAUUUAACUUAAAAUCAACUUAAAUAAUUAAAUGAUAAGUAUUAAAUUUUACCAAAUAUGCCCUUAAUUUGCCUCAAGCUCACACCUGUCCAUCUCCAAAUAUUACUUGUUUUUUUAAUAGAAUUACACUAGUCCAGUUAAACAAUCAAGCAUCAAUCAUUUUAUUUUGUAACCUUAAAAAGUUAAAUCUCAUGGAGAGGCCAACUAAGAAAUAGCACCCAUCCACAUGAACAAAAUGAAGUAUGAAUUUCCCCCCAGAUGAAUGGGGGAGAAGCCUGUAAUCAGAUGCCUGAGACUAAAAGAGGAAUCAACCUCAAUAAAAAUAAGCAUUCUCAGAAUUUCAAUCAAUUCAAGUCCCAAGUAGCCUAUGCACACCCCUAGAGCAAAAACUGCAAGGGCAAAGGAUCAUCAUCAACUGGAAACAGACAUGAGAAAGUUAUUCUCCAAAGGUGAAACAAUGGCAUUUAUGAUGUAACCAGUUCCAACCAAAAACAAACAAACAAACAAACUAAAUUACUCUGUCAAGAAAAUUAAAAAAACUAAUCCAAUACAAAACCAUUGGGUCCCCAAUUCUCGACCGACCAUAAUUAGCUGCACUUUGAGAGCAAAAACCAUGGUGUUAUGUUCUCAUUUUUUUUCUUCAAUAAACACACUACUAUCACCUCGGGCAAAAUAUACAACUCAAUAAAAAUUUAUCUGUUCUUCACAGCUCCGUCUUAUCAUCAUAUUGUGAUACAAGUUGCUCGCCUUAAAAAAGGGGGCAAACGGAAGGGGCAAUUGGAAAGAGAGAAAAUAGGCAUAGGCAUAGGCAUAGGCAUGGAACAUCCAAUCUCAGUGGUUACAGAAAUUGAUCUACUCUUGCAAACAAAGGGUAAGGCUUACUAGAGCAGGCUCUGGCAAGCUGCAAUGUCGGCUGCCUGCGAAUCCAACACCCCUUGCCCAGAAGGACUGGAACUGACAAUCCUCAUCACAGCAUCAAAUAUCAUUUUCUGAAACCUGUCAUCCUCCACUUUCUUCAUGAUUUCCGUCACUACCUUGAAGUCCAAUGCCCCAGCCAAAACUAGGUUCCCAAUAACCUCACCAAAGCUAUUCGGCGCUUUUGGUAAAUCAAUGCCAAUAUCAUCCAGCAUUGAUCCGUACAUCAAACAUCCAGUCCCUAUAUCCAUAGUGGUAAGAACCUUCUUGGAAAACAAGAACUCCAGGAGUUUCGCAACAGGGUCAACACAAGGUGGGCUCUUUUCUAGUGCAAGGGAAAUAGCCUCCUUCACAACUUCGGGAUGGUAAGCUGGGGACUUUAGUUCCUCCACGCACUGUAGUGCUUCAUCUAAAAUCCGAACACCAAAGUACUCCUCAAGAAGUGAGACUGUUUUUCUCCGGAGGUCAUCUGAAUUCAAUCUGGCAGCAGGAGUCACUGGUUUCUCAGCUGCUGGAACAAUAGAUGCAACAGGAACAGAUUUAGCAGGCACAGGGCUUUGGAGUGCAGGUUCCAUACCCAAGCCAAAGUUGGCAGUGCGGGCAGGAGGGGGACCACUACCCUGCAAUAGGGCACUUGUCCUACCACUUAUAAAACCAGCACUGCCCUGAGGUAACAGUCUUGAGUUCAGUGGCAUUGACUUGCCCAUCAAUGGCGACUGGACAUGGGUCUGCUGGACACGAGUCUGAACACCUGAUCCAUCACCUCUAGGCAUGGCUCGGGUCCUUGGAACCUCCCAAUUGUCGUUAUCAAUUCCAGGCAUACCAGGCAUCUUCCUGGUUCCUGGCAUUCCAGGCAUCAUCCCCCCAGAGCCAGGCCGGGUGAUUGGGAAGCCACCAGGGCCCAUGGUCCCUUGAGCACCAGAAACAAUGUUGCGACUAUUUCUAAUGCUUGCAGUGGCACCUGGACGCAACCCAAGAUUUUUUUCUGCCUCUGUAUGGAUUUCUGUUAUGGUUUUAGCUUUCACCUGUGACAUCAAGGUAGGAAUACUUAGUUAAAAAUCAAAAUCCAACAGCAAAUCCAAGUCAUUAUCAGUUGAUGAAAUUUGAUGUUUCACCUCUUCCCGCCUGGGAACCCAACUGUUUGCACGCAGAUCAAGAACAUCACGAACCAUGAACCUCAGACGUGGAGCCAAUUGGGGGUUUGUCGUUAAUUCCUUCAAUCGGCUAAAGUACAUAUCAUUUAUGCGCCUAGAUUUUGUACUUUCAUCAAGCUGCUUACCUAUAGUGUUAAAGAACUGGCAUAUGGCCUCAACAUUCUCUUCAUCAGGACAAGAUUUAUUAUCAUGUCCUAAAAGCUCCUGUGUUUCCCAUAACAAGCAUGAGAUAAUCCCCAAUAAAAAAAAUAAUAAUAACACAUCUUCAUUAAAAACUAUAAGGGUUAGGAAAGGAUGUCUGAGUAGAACCUGAACAAUGUGGUGGACAAUCUUUUCAGGUACCAUUUUCUGUUUCAGAAGCUCCCCAAUAAGACGGAUGUUUCCCAAAGUUCGAAGCUUAACCAUUCUUUCCUUGUCUCUUCGCUCCAACUCUUGUUCAGGGGCAGUCAUCUGCCUUAUUUCUGCUCUCAGUUUAUCAGAACCUUCAAAUGCCUCCUGGCAGUUAUUCAAGAGAACUCGCUUAAAAGUGAUUUCUUUUCCACCAGGUUCAUCAGAUGGGAAUGGGGGAAGCUUUUCAUUAAGAUCAGAGCACAGGAGGGCAUACAUGGGACAAAAAGUGGGUUCUAGCACUGCCUUAUCAAAUAUCAGCGAGAUGACUCCCUGCAUUGCAAGCCAAUCAUGAGUUACAUUGGCAACAAUAGAAGCAAAAAUCCUUUAUUUAAAUAGUAUUUCUUGAAAGAAUGACAAAAGUUUUUUAAGAAAGAGAAACCUUCAAGAUAUCAGCUGUUGUGAUCCCAGAGUCAAUCAAUUGGCCCUUGAGAAGAUCAAACUUCUCUGGAGUGAGCUUGUUCAGUAUCCUGCAUUGCAAAAACAAGUAGUAUCCAGCAUACAACUAGUCAUUACCGUGUAAAUUUCAUACACCAUCUGGAAUCAGAACUAUGCAAUUGAAUAACAAAUGGAAAUCAUGCAACAAGUUAAAAAUGAAAUGCCUCUCUUCAAGAACAAUCUGCUCGUAUAUAUCAACAUGAAAAGCAUGCCAUCUAGAAAGUUAAUGAAGAAAAUGCGACUAGUGUUUCAACAAACAAAUUCAUGGAAACAUGCGUAUACAGUUUACAUUCUGUUAUUAGUUCAAGGGUUAAUACAUUAAAUAACAUAUUUAUUGCAGCACUAUGGUAUAGAUUUCAAAGUCUUAACAUUGAUACAGCAAUAUUAGUACUAUAUUAAAAUUAUAUUGCAUGCCAUUAAAUUACAGGGAUCACAAAAACGUUUGUUUUACAUGUAAUAUGAUAUCUCAUGAAUAACACUGAAAGAACCACCCAAAGGUUUCAACCGUUUCAAGGAUUAAUGAUCAAACUUAAAAUGGAUUGUAAUUUUUGACAAAUCCUUUCCAGUAAGGUUGCUUCUUUCAGGCAGAAUUAUCCAUGUAAUAUAUGUUUUUUGUUAUGCACAAGUGCCUAUGCAACAUGCAUAAUUAUCAACAUAUAUGCUUCAUCCAAUGGGGGUGGUUGGUUGCGGAUGGAUGUACAUGGACAUUUAAGAAAAGCAUGUUCUGAAUGUCUACCAUUUAACGCCAUCCAGAUUAGAUCUGUAAUUUCAAGAUUUGAAGAAUUUCCAGAAGACAAAGUUACAAAGACUCAAAUUUAAUGAUUCACAAUUUGAUUGGUAGGUCUUCAUAAAACAAAUAGACAUCAUACCCUAAUCACCGAAGGUCACCUAUCCUAGAUAUAGACUAUUCAUGAUAUAUUACCCUUUCACUGUCUUCAAGACACGUUCCUUCUCAGAAAGAUUCACACGUCGAGCGGACCAUGGCACCUCAGCCUUCACUAGAGCAGGAGCAGGUCCCUGGUUCAAUAAAGCAAACAUAGGAGUUGGAAAUAAUGCCAAACAAAUGAUGCACCAGAAAUUCAUCUGGAGGCUAGUAUGAGUUCAAAAAGCAAAUUGCAAUAUAAAAUCAUAUUUAUUAUUAAAAAGAAUAUUCAUUAACUAAAACAACCACCUAAAAACCACAUCGGUUUUCUCUUGUAUACAAUUUCAAUCUAUAUUGAUGUCUUUUUUUAAAAGGCCACUAUAUCAAUUUAUAAUGAACUUCAAAAUUAAAUAAACCAACAUGUUUCAAAGUAAUAAUUACUAAAUCCAAAUUCCCCAGUAGCACAACUUUUUCCCUUUUUUUUUUCCCAUUGAUAGUUUUUUGUAUUUAUCGAUUAUGAAAUAAAAAAUAAAAAAUUAUGCUUAUGAGGACACUUAUUGCUGGUGAUAAUAGAAGUGGAAAUUUAAUACUUAGUAAUCCUACUUAUUCCACAUUUCCUGUGGUCAUUAAAUAUUGGAGGAUCAACUGCAAGCCACAGGUAGAUCUGAUUAAAUGAAUACAGGAUUCAUUUUUUCCUGCCACAAUUACUGGGCACAUAAGCUAACCUUUGAAGGCAGUCGAACAGCCUAUCAUAUAAUAGCAGGACUACCAUAAAUGCAGCAGAACCAUUGCCCCUAGUGGUUCUAGAAAGUGUGUUAACACAUACUAACAUCAUCCACUGAAACAAUGAAGGACACCCCUAAUUAACAUGUGCAUUUCUGCUGAAAACUUAGCAUGUGUAACAUGGUGUAAUCUAGCAGGUCAUACAACUUAAUGAACAAUUAAUUGGAAAAUUAAAAGUAGGUUCUGAGAAGAACCUUCUCUAUAUAAGAUAAGAUGGAGUAUUAAAAGCCCAAAAGAGGGGGUGCAACCAAUGUAUAAACAAUGUAUACAAGCAGCACACCAGAAAACAAAAGGAUAUCAUAAAGAAACCCCAGAUAUUAGUAUGCACAGCCACAGCCAUCAAUAAAGGAGUUCCAUAUGUUGGGAAAUAGAUAGAAAAUGUAUAUAAUGCACAUAUAUACAUAUAUAAAAUAUGUAUAUGUUGCAAAAAGAGAACUAAAAUACAAUAUCAAAUCACCAAUCUAUCAAAAAUCAUUCAUCUAUAUACUUUAUAUACCAAAAUUCCAAUUUUUAAGUAUUUUAAUAUUAUUUUGGUAUCUGAUAAAAAAAAAUUAUUAUUUUGGUAGCAACAAUGGAAAUUGGUCCCUAAUUUGAUUUACUAAACUGUAUUAUUAUUAUUACUUUUCAUAGGCAAACAAGAGCAUAUAUAUAUAUAUAUAUAUAUAUAUAUAUAUAUAUAUAUAAUUUCAUAUAUUACACAAGGAAUUGGGAGCCUCUCAUCUGUUUCAUAUAUCACAUAAGGAAUUGAGAGGAUGCCAUCUGUAUUCCACUAUGAGCCAUGAGGUGAUAAUACACAUUGGUUAUUGGUAAGUUUUUAAAUUGAUUUUGCUAAAAAAUGGACCCCUAUCUAGCACUAUAUAUAAGAUAGCUGAGAUGAUGUUGGGGAAUUGGAGAAGUCCUUUUGAAGAAGACUCCUUUCACUUUGGCAGCAACAAGGGUGACAGCAACUCCAGUUCGUAUCAACAAUUGCAAGUUUUCUCACCAACAAUCCACCAAUGUGGCCAACUUCUUUUUCUUUCUUUUUUUACCCCACUUUUUUUUUUCUUUCAUUAAUCUUUUCAAAUUUCAUGUUCUUUUUCAUUUUUGCCCCUUUGAUUCUUGGCAAAAUUAAAAGAGGGGGGGGGGGGGGGGAACCCUACUGAAAUAUGUAUCACCCUAUACAUGCACCGUACCGUAUGAUACAAUUCACAAUUCAUAUUGAAAAUUUGAAAUCCUUCUAAAUCAAAACAUAUCAGAUGAUACAUAUUUUGUACCGUACAAUACUAACAGCCAUGCUUAUUAUAUAUUAGUAAUUAUCACAAGACUAAACUAAUAAUCUUAGAGUAAACAUGGAACAAGGAAUUCAGAUUAGUUUUUUUUUCCAAAAAAAUAGAGAAGAAACUGAGAACCAUAAGUAAUUUACCGACAUGCGAUCUCAGGUUGACCUCAUACCAGUAAGUAACAAUUUCUAGUAGUGUUUAUUGAUUGAGUCACAUUGAAAACAGGAGUAAGAGUUAUAUAAACAUAAUAAGUUGUAGCAGCUCAACUCACUGAAUGAAAAUAUUAUAUUGCAAGACAUCAUAUAAUUGUCAAGCACCUUGACAAUUAUAUGAACACACUCAUGAUUGACAAGGCCAUUUGGGAACAUCCCAAAGUGGGCUACCUCAGGUUGUCAAUGCCACAGCUUUCUCCCUACAAUGGAAAACUGUAUUCACUUGGAACCAAGAGAACACCUCACAUAGGUUUAUCAAACAUGUUAAGAAUCCUGGUUACACUACCUAAAGCUAACAAGGUUUUGGAGUCUCCAGAAGGCAUCUAACUUCAAUUUCACUCACAAAUUUAAACAGCAACCAGAAGGAAAAAAAAUAUAAUAAAAAAUAAAAUAAAACAAACAAAAUUCUAUUCUUCAUGGAGAAAAUUCUCUCUAGAAGUGAGAGUGGUUUAACAUGACUGAUAGAAACACAAAAGGCAUAAAAAUUAGAGAUCAAUCCAGAUUAUUUCAGUUAAUAUUGAUUACCCCUAGGACAGAAGAUAUUUGAGCCUUUGCAAACUGGGAGUUUAGUUGGUCUUGACGAUUAAAUUGGUUUGCUUCCUGCUGUCUAGAGUCAAACCAUGACCUCUCCUCUCCAGAGGCAGGAAGCUGUGCAGACCGGCCACGCCAGUCACGAUUAUCUGGCUCAGAAUAACGACUCUGAGAUUGAUUUGGCAGCUGAAGAGAUAAACAAUUGUUAAAAUACAAACAGACAUAAACUUUAAUAAGAAAAAUGGUACAUGCGAAAAUCUUUCAGCUACUCUUAACAAAAACCACUGAUAAACGUAUGUUGCAUGCAUAUGCACUAGAUUAAUAAUUGUAUGCUUCCAAAAGAAACUACUCCUAAUGUCAAAGCCAGGGAAAAAAAAACAAAAACAAAAAAACUCACAUUGCUUUCUCCCCGACCCCAAUUUUGAUCUUCACCAAAUAAUUCAGCUUCUAUCUCUUGUUUGAUUUUCAAUAUAUCCUCAGGGACAUCAACAACCUAUAGAAGAUAAGAAGUAUCAAACAUUUAGUGAGACGCAAGUGACAGCAUAGACAGAAUAUGAAUCUCAAGAACAGCAGUAACAAAGAAAUACAUUAACAAUAAAUGGUGGAGAGAUCUAAUUACUGGUAUACUGAUUACACAAGCAAACUAUUAGAAAACUAGAAAGACCAGUAUAAGCAGUCAUUCAACAUGCUGAACAAGCAAAUGCUUGAAACCUACUUUUUGUGCCCAGGAAAAAAGGGGUCAUUCAACUCUCCAUAAAUAUCAAAAGGCACCAAAAAAAAAAAGGUAAAAAGGUGCAAAAAUUGAAAACAAGGAGAACAUGGGGGAUAGACCAGGGAGAAAAGGAUAAAAGAAAGAAAGUGCUUUGUAAGUCCAUGGAUAAGACUAUAAUUAUCAUCUCAUAAAUCACAUCAUCAAGUCAUUAUUCAUCCAAAUUUGUUGUAUAUUGAUAAAAAGAAAAACACAUAUUAAACAUAAUAAAAAGAUAUGUAUGCAUAUACAAAACACAUACAUAUUGCAAGGAUGAAGUAGAAAAAUAUAACCAAUUCAAUGACAAGAUAAAUAAGAUCAAAGGAGAUCACAAUGGCACUCAUUAAUAGUAUAAAAAUGAAAACAUUGAACACCACAUGUUUAAAGUUAUCAUCUUAAGAACAUAUAAUAUUUUAAUGCAUAGAUUCAUCAUAAAUUUGCAGUGCAGACUUUACCCUUCCUAAACCUUAACCAUAAUUUUAAUCUUAAGUUUCUAUCAGCCCUCUAACUAGAUAUUGUUGAUACCAAUUUCUGAAGUUUAAUGUUUCAGGUUUGUCAUCCCCCAUAAAAGGGGAAAAAAUCAAAAAAUAAAAUUUAAAACUAAUAUAUUAAACAAAAGUUAUUUUGUAGGAAAAUUUAGGAACUUUUGUCAAUUUGCGCACACAAAGACACAAGUUACUUAUCCUCAUACUUUAAGUUAAUAACACCUAAAUAUUUGUUGAAAUAAUGAUUACAAUUAAGCUUCAAUUUUCCACGUAUGUCUUUGAAAAUGCAUGUACAAUGUUUCCACAAGGGGAUUGUAGUCUUUUCCUUCCCUCUUUAUCAUUUUAACCCAUCUAAAAAUAUUGUACUAAUCUUUUCAAAGGAAAAGAAAAUCGUCAAAUGUGACUGUCACAAUGUUCAAUAUGCAUGACAAAUCAUGCAUAUCGUCUCCCUUAACAUACUAGUAAUAUAUAAUUUCACAAUAGGAUAGAUACUCUUGAUACAUAUUAUUUUAAAGAAAUUGUAUUGCAUCAUAUGUAUCACAUCAUAAAUCAUAAUUUUUUUCACAAUUAUUGAUAAAAUACAAGGAGAUCUGUAUCAACAAGAUUUAAUGAUAUAUAUGUUCAUCAAGAGCAGAGAAGUGAAAAAAUUACCUCCCUAAGUUGCAACAGUUUGUCUCGGGUGAACCGCACACGCUCACGACCCUCAAACCGACUAUCCCCAGCCUACAACAACAAAACAAUAAAUGUGUCAAAACCUUCCAUAACAAUGCAGCCCAUUAUUCAACAAAAGAACAAAUAGGUAAGCUAUCAGGAUAAAUAAAGGGAUGGGGAAGAGGACCAGGGAUGAAGGCAUCUGCUGAUUUAAAAAAUAAAUCUGAAAAUUGAUUUUAAAAACACAAUCUACAGUGCACAAAAAUAUUAAUGUUGAAUCACACUCAAGUUGGAUCAUGAAGAUUCAACAGAACAAUAAUUUCUAGGUUCCCAACCAAUUAAAAGAGCAUCCAAGUACUCGUCCAGCAAAAUCUCAACAAGAAAAGGUCAUUACAACAUGAGAUGAUGAGUUCACACUCUGUGUGGAGGACUCUUCAUUAGAAAUUUGGAGAACUCACAUGCGAUGAACAAAGAAAAUAUAUGAACAAAGGAAUUGAAGUUGUCUCUGAAAAAUAUUUGCCUACAAACCCUUUAUUCUUUUGAAAAACAACUCACCCCUGUUAUAGAAAAAAUUCAAACAACAGCCAGUCAUAAGCUAUAAUAAUUAACCAUUCCUGAAAUUAUUUAGCAUGAAUUUAGGGCCCAUCCAGCCAAUAGUUUAGUAUGGCACAUUGAACAUUGACCUCACUUCUCUGACACUCACUUAUUAAAUCAAACUUCCCUUGUUCAAUCAAAAUCCAUUACUUAAAGCCUCCAUGUAUGUAUGUAGGUCCUUUAUGGGCAACCUGAUGCUAAUCACUUGCCCACAUAAAGCCUGCGUAACUGUUUGUACAUACUUUACCAAUAUUCUGUGCAUUAAUAACAAUAGUAGCAAUAGUAGUAGAUUUAAUAAUAAUAAUAACCAUAAGAAUGACAAUAACAAAAAAACAUUCAUUGUGGAACCAAAAUAUCAGCUCCAAAGCUCAAAGCAAUAUUCUGAAAUACUGGGGAAAGAAGGUGGAAACCACAAUGGACAAAAGGGUUUCAAUUUUUAGCUUUCAUUGAUAUAACAGGUAAGACUCUUUCUCUGGACUCCCCUUAUGUAGUUAGGUUACACAUCCUUCUGAUUUUCUUUAAUAUAUUGUUUUAUGCGCAAAUCUAAUAAGAAAUAAUAAAGUAAACAAUAAUGAUAAUUAAGGAAAAUAAUAAUAAACAUGUGAAGAAGAAAGGGACAAUUGCUAAAGAAAUCUUUGAAGUAAAAAUAUCAACAAGUCCUCCUAGCAUAAGGGGAUAAGCAAAACAAGAACACUUAAGUUCACACAAAUGUCAAACGCAAUUAAGAUUCCGAUCAACAGAUAGCAACACACGUAUGAUCAACAAAAGAGCCAUAAUCUAAUACAACUCAAUCCAUGCUUCCAUAGAAUUCAAUCCAAUUAACAAAUAGACAAAAGCAUCGCGAAUCAAAUAAAAGGAUAUCCAUAUCCAAGCCCAAGGAUAAAAGUACAUAUUCAUUUAAAUCCCCCAAAAAAAUUAACCAAGCCCUAAAUUCCCCAAACUAGCACACUACCAAAAACAGGUUCAAAAGCCACUAAAACAAACAAUCAAAACCCUAGAUCCAAUAAAUGGCCGGAAGUUUAUAUACCUUUAUAGAGAAAGAGGAAGGAGCACCGCCAUGAGGACGCAGAACAGGAAGAUCAGAAGAUGAACCAAAAGGCGAAGAAGAAGACGAAUCGAACCGAGGACCAAGGAAUCUGCUUCCUCGAUUGGCUCCGCCGCCGCCGCCGCCGCCACCACCAGGUCUCAAGCUCAACACCGUCUGAUCAGCCUGCAUACCUCGAUCUCGCACUAUCUAUUUUCAGCCUAUCGCCCCCCGCACCGAUCACCGGAGAAACAGAAUCAACGAUUAGAUAAUCGCUAAAUCUAAGAAUGGAAUUUCGAGAGAGAGAAACGAGAUGCUAUGUUUGGUUUUUUCUAGAGAGAGAAAGAGCAGAUUGGGAGUUACUCCUUUCUCUCUUCUGCCGAAGAGCAAAGAGAUGUGUGUGAGAACGAGAAAACCCUUAUGUAAUAUGAUUUAUUUACUUUUUUUAUUUCCUUUUUUAUUUUAUUUAUUAUUUAUUUAUAGGUUCUGUAAUUAGUACCUUCCUGUAAUUACGUCACUGCCCUUGCUGGUUUAGAUCAGACCUGGAUACAGCUUUCCUUUUUUGGGUGGACCACUUUGCCCUUUUGUUGGAAUCAAAUUAUAUUUCUAGCCCAUCCAGCUUCAUCAUAUGGGAAGUUGUCGAUCAGGAUGACAAUGGGGCAGAGUUUUUUCGGGUCUCCGCCCCUAAUGAGAUGGGAUUUAAUUUUAAUAAACGGGUUUAGGAUGGGUUCGAGAUUUUUUUUUUAAACCCAGGGCAGGUUCGAGUAUUACCCCAUCCCACCUCCCCUCGUCCGGAUUAUAUAUAAAAUUAAUUUUAAAAUUAUAUUUAAUUUAAAUUUUAAAAUUAAUAUAAUUUUAUUUAAAUUUUAUUUUACUAUUUUUAAUAUAUAAAUAAUAAUAAAAUAUUUUUCAUAAAAUAAAUUAUAAAAAAUAUAAUAAUUUAAUUAUUUAUAAAAUAUAUUUUUUUUAAUGUAAUUAAAAAAAAUUUAAGUAAUUUUAAAAAAAAAAUUAAAAAAAAAUUAAACGGGGUAGGGCGUGACGAGUAUGAGAAUUUAUCAUACUCGCCCCGCCCUGCCUCGUCCCAUUUAAUUUUUUAAAUGGGAUGGGAAUGAGAAUUGUAUUGAAUAAAUGGGGCAGGGUUGGGAUGGAUUGCUAGGGUUGGGAUGGGAGCAAUCCAUCCCAAACCCGCCCCAUUGUCAUUCCUUAUCUCUCAAGUGGGUAAAACUUAUAAUUAUGUAUUUUUUUUAUAUUAACAUGAUAAUGAUUAAUACCAACAAUUUCAAGCAAUUUGAAAAAGCUUAAAAUUGGGAAAGAAUUUGAACUUAAUUAGAUUUUUCUUAAAUAAUUUUCUACAAACUUUCUAUAAUGGUUGGCUUUAUGAUGGAGUCAUAUGAAUAGAAAUUAAGUUUAUUUCCUUAUUUUAUUAUUUUAUUUAUUUUAAGAAUUAAGAUUAUUUUUCUAUUUUAUUAUUUUCCUUAUUUUAGUUGAAGUAAGUUGAUUUAUUUGAAAUUUAUACGGCAAUAGUUUCCUUUAUUUUAGUUAAGGUAAGAUCGAUUUUCUUUCAAUUUCUUUUUCUAGUGAGAAAGUUUCCUUCAUUUUGAAUUUUAAAUGAUUGUGAUUUAAUUGUUUUUUUAAUAAAUAAAAAUUGACAAAUAAUUCUCUCCCCUUUUGCUUCUUUUUUCAUGAAUUCCUUUAUACGUAAGUCAAAUUUUUAUUUCAUCAUAAAUUCCUGGAUAUUUUGAUAUACAUAUACAUAUUUUAAUGCUCUUUUUCCUAAAAUAGUGAGAUAUUAUUUGGGAAAGGGUAAUUUUUUAAAAUAUACAUUAUAUUAAUUAAAAUAAAGUUUCUAUAAAAAGUAAUAUUUUUCUAAUUUCUAUAUUAAUUUUAAAAAAAAUUAUAAACUCUUUCAACAAAAUUAUCAAAACAAAUAAAAAAAAUCUUAUUGAAAUUUACAAAAAAAAAUAUAUUUAUUUUUGAGAAAUCAAACUAAAAUAUGACCUAAAAGAAUUAUAACAUGUGGACAACUUUUUCCUAGAACGUGGAUUAUAUAAAUUUUAACUUUAUUUUUUCAUGUUUCAAAAAAUUAAGAAAUCAUAAAAGAGAAGAAGACACUCUCAUCAAUAUUUCCAUAAAUAUAGAGAAAUUAAAGAAAUCAAAUAUUAAUAAUAUUUUAUUCUCACAAUAUUUAACAAUAUUUGAUUAUUACAAUAUUUGGAAAUCAAAUAUUAGUAUUAUCUGAUUCUCUUAAUUUUAUGAUAUUUUCCUAUAUGUUAGUAUUUCUUUCUUUGUAUAACUCAUCUGUAUUUUUAUAUAAAGAUUCACAAAAGUAAUAGAAAAUAUAUUUUAUUGUCACCUUAUCAAACUUUACAUGGGAUCACAGUAAUAAACUUAUAAGCCAAAAAUAUGUCUUCUUCUUUAUCCUUUUAUUUUUCCCAAACAUAGAACCUAAACUCAAUAUUUAGCAAUGUUUUCAGAACUGGACCAGUCAUUGACCAGAAAAGUUACCGGUUCACGGUUCACUGAUUGAACCAGUGACGUUAUAAAUAUAUAUUUUAUAUAUUAUUAAAAUUUAAAAAAUUAAUAAAUAAAAAUAAUAAAUUCUAUCUAAAUUUUGAUAAUAUCUAUUAUGUUUGUUGAGUUUUUUCACAAAAAUUUUUACAUGUAGAUGUCAAUCAACCAAAUAUUUUCAAUAAUUUCAAUAAAUUAAAAUUUCAAGGUGCAAUAAAUAAAACAAAAAUAAAAAAAAUUAAAUAUUUGUUGUAAAUGAAAAGUAAUGAAUGACCACAUUGAUGGUCAUUAUGAACUCCAUUUACUCAUCUUUAAGAUGAGUAAUGGGAGUUCAUAUUAUGAAGCCUAUAAAAGGCUUCUUACUCCCCCCAUGUAAAAGCAUCCCGAGAAAGAAAGAAAAUUCUUCCUCUCAUUCUCUCUCUCUCUCUCUUUCUUUCACUUUCUCAAUUCUCUUCUUUGAUUCCUUCUUCCAUAUUAUAUAUCAAAGUAAGAUAUAUUUUAUCUCUACUACUUUGAUUUGCAUUAUAUUUUUCCUUAUUUUACAACAUGUUAUCAGCACGAAUUGCUCUAAAGUUAUUUGACAAUGUCGAAUAUUACAAAACUCGAAUUUGUGGCACUUGACAUUUCGGGAAAGAACUAUCUAUCUUGGAUCCUUGAUGCUGAAUUACAUCUUGAUGCAAUGAACCUUGGAGCUACGAUCAAACAAGGAAAUCAAGCAUCCCUGCAAGAUCGCGCAAAAACAUUGAUUUUCCUUCGCCAUCACCUCCAUGAAGGUUUAAAAAAUGAGUAUCUUACGGUAAAGGACCCUUUUACUUUAUGGAGUAAUUUGAAGGAAAGAUAUGACCACUAGAAAAUUGUGAUUCUCCCAAAAGCUCGAUAUGAUUGGAUGCACCUAAGGUUGCAAGAUUUUAAAACUGUUAGUGAAUACAACUCUGCACCUUUCAAAAUCAGCUCUCAAUUAAAGUUGUGUGGAGAAAAAAUCACAGAGGAAGACAUGUUAGAGAAAACUUUUACUACGUUUCAUGCCUCGAAUGUGCUCCUGCAGCAGCAAUAUCGAGAGCGUAGAUUUACAAAAUAUUCUGAAUUAAUAUCAUGUCUUCUUGUUGCUGAACAAAAUAAUGAGUUUUUGAUGAGAAAUCACCAGUCUUGUCCAACUGGAUCUGAACCAUUCCCUGAAGUGAAUGCAAUAUCAUCCCAAACUCGUGGACGUGGACGAGGACGAGGACGAGGACGUGGUCGUGGUCAUGGAAGAAAUCCCCGAUACCAUAGUUCUUAUAGUAAUAAUUCUCAGAAAACGAAAGCCUCAUUGCACCACCAGAAGUGGAACAAUACUGAGACAAUACAAGAAAAUGGGAAGCGUUUACAAGAUAAACCUCCUAAGAACCAUGAGAAUAAUUGUUAUAGAUGUGGUAUGAAGGGGCAUUGGUCGCGUACCUGUCGUACGCCCAAACAUUUGGUCGACCUUUACCAAGCAUCAAUAAAAGCUAAAGGAAAAGAGAUAAAGGUGAACUUUACCGAUGGUGAUGGAUUGGAUCUAACCUAUUAUGACAUUGAUUUCUUUGGAGGUCCCAAUGAAAAAACAGACCAUUUGAUAAAUGAUGAAAAAAUUAACAUUGAUUGAUGUUACUUUAUAUAUAAAAUAAUAUAUUAUUAUGUCUUAUAUUUACAUUUGAUUUACUUUGUUAUUUACAUUAUGCCAUGUUUUUUUGUUAUAUCUAAAAUCCAUGUGUUAUUUGGUCUCAAGAUGAAUGAGGAUGAUGUAUGUCUCGCAGACUGUGCGACCACGCACACAAUUCUUCGAGAUAAAAGAUAUUUCCUCGAAUUGACAUUAAUAAAAGCUAAUGUAAGUACCAUAUCUGGUACUACAAACUUAGUUGAAGGCUCUGGAAGAGCAAACAUAACAUUGCCAAAUGGAACUAGAUUCCAUAUAAAUGACGCGUUAUAUUCUAGCAAAUCCAGAAGAAAUUUGCUCAGUUUUAAAGAUAUCCACAAAAAUGGAUAUCAUAUUGAAACUAUGAAUGAAGAUAAUGUAGAAUAUCUUUACAUUACUUCCAUUAUAUCUGGCCAGAAGCUUAUAAUGGAAAAACUCCCGGCUUUCUCCUCUGGGUUGUAUCAUACAACUAUAAAGCCUAUUGAAUCAUAUGUUGUCGUGAACCAGAAGUUCAACGACCCAAAAGUUUUUGUCCUUUGGCAUGACAGACUAGGUCACCCAGGGUCUUCAAUGAUGCGUCGAAUAAUCGAACACUCACAUGGGCAUCCACUAAAGAACCAGAAGAUUAUUUCGCCCAAUGAAUACUCAUGUGCUGCCUGCUCACAAGGUAAAUUGAUAAUCAGACCAUUUUUUACUAAAGUCAUAUCUGAGUCACCAAUCUUUUUAGAAAGAAUACAUGGGGACAUAUGUGGGCAUAUCCAUCCACCAUGUGGACCAUUCCGUUAUUUUAUGAUCUUAAUAGAUGCUUCUACUAGAUGGUCACAUGUUUGUCUCCUUUCUACACGUAACGUAGCCUUUGCCAGACUCCUUGCACAAAUAAUCAGAUUACAAGCACAAUUUCCAGAUUAUCCAAUUAAGACAAUACGUAUUGAUAAUGCUGGCGAAUUUACUUCUCAAACAUUCAUUGACUAUUGCAUGUCAGUAAGGAUAAAUAUUGAGCAUCCUGUUGCUCAUACUCAUACUGAAUGGUUUAGCAGAAUCCUUCAUCAAACAUCUCCAAUUAAUAGCUCGACCAUUACUAAUGAAAACCAAAUUACCUACUUCCGCCUGGGGACAUGCUAUUAUGCAUGCUGCAGCUUUAGUCCGUAUUCGACCUACAACUUACCAUGAAUACUCCCCUUCACAACUUGUGCUUGGAAAACAACCAAAUAUCUCUCACUUACGAAUCUUUGGUUGUGCAGUAUAUGUACCAAUUGCACCUACACAACGCACUAAAAUGGGUUCCCAACGAAGACUUGGGGUUUAUGUAGGUUUUGAUUCUCCAUCUAUCAUAAGAUAUCUUGAACCUUUGACAGACGAUGUUUUUACAGCCCGCUUUACAGAUUGUCAUUUUAAUGAGAGUGUUUUCCCAUCAUUAGGGAGAGAAAAGUCGAUUCCUGAAGAACAACGAGAAAUUAGUUGGAAGACAUCUACUAUGACCCAUCUUGAUCCUCGUACAAAUCAAUGUGAACUAGAAGUUCAAAGGAUCAUUCAUUUGCAAAAUCUUGCAAAUCAAUUACCAGAUGCAUUCAUUGAUACCAAGAAAGUGACAAAGUCACAUAGCUCGGCUGCAAAUACUCCAGCAUGGAUUGAUGUCCCUGUAGGACAGUUAACAAAUGAAUCUAAGAUACGCCUAAAGCGUGGUAGACCUAUCGGCUCAAAGGAUGUAACUCCCCGGAAGAGGAGAAUCCAAGAAAAACUUGACACUCUAGAAGAUACCAUCAAAAUGAUUGAUCAGUUUAAAAUUGAUAAAUCUAUAGCCCUAGAAGAGACACAAAUAAUGCAGAAAGCCCCUGAAGAGGCACAUAUUGAACAAGAAGCCCCUGAAGAGGCACAGGUACCUGAAAAUUGUGAGAUCUUAGUAAGUUAUGUUCAAACGGGAGAAAAAUGGGAUUGAAAUAAUAUUGUUAUUAACAAUAUUUUUGCUUUCCAAGUGGCCUCUGAUAUCAUAAGAAAUGAUGAAGAUCCUGAACCACGAAAUGUGGAAGAAUGUCGACAUAGAAAUGAUUGGCCAAAAUGGAAAGAAGCUAUACAGGCAGAAUUAAACUCAUUAACAAAACGAGAAUUUUUUGGACCUGUAGUCCAAACACCUGAAGAUGUAAAGCCUAUGGGGUACAAAUGGGUAUUUGUACGAAAGCGCAAUGAGAAUAAUGAGAUCAUAAGAUAUAAAGCGCGAUUAGUAGCACAAGGUUUCUCGUAGAGACCUGGUAUUGACUACGAGGAAACAUAUUCUCCCGUCAUAGACGCAAUCACAUUUCGUUUCUUAAUUAGUUUGGCAGUCUCAGAAGGACUGGAUAUGCGUCUCAUGGAUGUUAUUACAGCAUAUUUAUACGGAUCCAUGGAUAAUGAUAUAUACAUGAAAAUCCCCGAAUGAUUUAAAUUGCCUGAUGCAAAUAAUACAAAGCCUCGUAGCAUGUACUCAAUCAAGUUACAACGAUCCUUGUAUGGAUUAAAGCAAUCUGGACGCAUGUGGUACAAUCGCCUUAGCGAAUACUUGCUAAAAAAAGGGUAUGUGAAUAACCCUAUAUGCCCAUGCAUCUUCAUUAAGAAAUCAGAAACCGGAUUUGCAAUUAUUGCAGUGUAUGUUGAUGACUUAAAUCUUGUUGGAACUCCUGAAGAGCUCACAAGAACAACAAAUUACUUGAAAAAGGAAUUUGAGAUGAAAGAUCUUGGAAAAACAAAAUUUUGUCUCAGCCUGCAGAUCAAGCAUUUUCCAAAUGGAGUUUUAGUACAUCAAUCAACAUACAUUAAGAAAGUUUUGAAGCGUUUUUAUAUGGAUAAAGCGCAUCCUUUAAGUUCUCCAAUGGUUGUCCGAUCACUUGAUGUGAAAAAUGACCCAUUUCGUCCUUGCGAAAAGGAUGAAGAGUUACUUGGUCCUGAAGUACCAUAUCUUAGUGCUAUUGGUGCAUUUAUAUAUCUUGCCAAUUGUACACGUCCAAACAUUGCUUUUUCUGUCAAUUUAUUAGCAAGAUACAGUUCCGCUCCAACUCGAAGACAUUGGAAUGGUAUCAAAUAUAUAUUGCGUUAUCUUUGCAGAACUACUGAUAUGGGUUUAUUUUACUCAAGGGAAUCAAAGCAACAAUUGCUUGGAUAUGCAGAUGCAGGAUAUCUUUCAGAUCCACAUAAAGGCAGGUCACAAACAGGGUAUGUGUUUAAUUGCAAUGGUACUGCUAUUUCAUGGAGAUCUGUCAAACAAACAAUGGUAGCCACAUCAUCAAAUCAUUCAGAAAUACUGGCAAUUCAUGAAACAAGUCGUGAAUGUAUAUGGCUAAGAUCUAUGAUCUAGCAUAUUCGGGAAUCAUGUGGACUCUCCUCUAUCAAAGGUAACCCGACAACAUUAUUUGAAGAUAAUGCUGCAUGCAUUGCACAAAUAACAGGGGAUUAUAUUAAAGGAGAUAGAACUAAACACAUUUCACCAAAAUUCUUUUAUACACAUGAACUCCAGAAGAGUGGUGAAAUUGAUGUGCAACAAAUACGCUCAAGUGAUAAUCUAGCAUAUUUAUUCACAAAAUCAUUGCCAACCUCAACAUUCAAGAAGUUAAUACACAGGAUUGAAAUGCGUCAAUUCAAGGAUAUCGACAUGAGGGGGAGUAUGCUUGUAAAAGGGUGUUAGUGUACUGUACUCUUUUUUCCUUCGUCCAGGUUUUGUCCUAUUGGGUUUUACUGGCAAGGUUUUUAACGAGGCAAUCCUAAUAUACCAAGAAAAGAAUAUUGUACUCUUUUUCCUUCGCUAGGUUUUUCCUAUAGGGUUUUUUACUAGCAAGGUUUUAAUGAGGCAUAUUCUUUUAAUAUGGUGGUCAUCCAAGGAGGAGUGUUGUAAAUGAAAAGUAAUGAAUGACCACAUUGAUGGUCAUUAUGAACUCCAUUUACUCAUCUUUAAGAUGAGUAAUGGGAGUUCAUAUUAUGAAGCCUAUAAAAGGCUUCUUACCCCCCCCCCCCCCCCCCNNNNNNNNNNNNNNNNNNNNNNNNNNNNNNNNNNNNNNNNNNNNNNNNNNNNNNNNNNNNNNNNNNNNNNNNNNNNNNNNNNNNNNNNNNNNNNNNNNNNGAGGCAAUCCUAAUAUACCAAGAAAAGAAUAUUGUACUCUUUUUCCUUCGCUAGGUUUUUCCUAUAGGGUUUUUUACUAGCAAGGUUUUAAUGAGGCAUAUUCUUUUAAUAUGGUGGUCAUCCAAGGAGGAGUGUUGUAAAUGAAAAGUAAUGAAUGACCACAUUGAUGGUCAUUAUGAACUCCAUUUACUCAUCUUUAAGAUGAGUAAUGGGAGUUCAUAUUAUGAAGCCUAUAAAAGGCUUCUUACCCCCCCCCCCCCCCCCCCUCCAUGUAAAAGCAUCCCGAGAAAGAAAGAAAAUUCUUCCUCUCAUUUUCUCUCUCUCUCUUUCUUUCACUUUCUCAAUUCUCUUCUUUGAUUCUUUCUUCCAUAUUAUAUAUCAAAGUAAGAUAUAUUUUAUCUCUACUACUUUGAUUUGCAUUAUAUUUUUCCUUGUUUUACAACAAUAUUAAACAUAUCACUACAAUUAUUAAUCAAUAAAAAAUUAAGAAAUUAAAUAUAAAACAUCAAAAUUAAAUUUUAAAAAACAAAAAUGGUAUACAAGGCUCUUUGGGAGGUUUCCAACGCAAUGGGAGGGCUUUUUGCCGUCAGGGGGUGAGCUUUCCAGUACGCCUUUAGGGGUGGGGGGUGACAGGGCUUUGUAGGUGGGGGUUUGGCAACGAGGAUUUGUAGUGUUUUGAGGGCAGGAUUGGGAGGUCUCCGGCGCAUAGUGUGGGAGGAUGAGGGGCUUUCCAGCGCGCGACAGGGGGGUAGGGUUCCCAAUGUCGGGGAGUGGGGAGCAACGAGGCUUUGCAAGCAGGGGGUUGAUGACGGGGAUUUGCAGCAUUUUGAGGGUGGGGUUAGGAGGUUUCCAACGCACGGCACGAGAGAAUGGGAGAGGCUUUCUAGCGCGCAGCAGGAAGAGGGGGGCAAGGUGCUGCCAAUGGGACGACGAGAUUUGCAACGUUUUGAGGGUUAGGUGGGAGUGGGAGGAGUUGGGGCAGGGUUCCCAACACUAGGGGAUGCUACCAGCAGGACAACGCUCCAGACGACAAUAGAGGUACUAGCCGCACAGGGAAAGGAGGAAGGAAAAUGAGUUGCUAGGUCCGAAGGGAACCGGUCAAUUCAUUUGGUUCGUCAGUCGAACCGUCGGUUUAAGCGAUUCGAUUCCGAUUCAAUCGUUUUUUGAUCUAAUUGGGCAGAUUGGAACCAAACCGUGAUCGGUCGACAAUCAAAUCGGUCAUACCAACCGGUCCGAUUUGAUUUUUAAAACCUUGAUAUUUAGUCAUUUCACCAAUUUUCUAGUUUCAUUUUUAUCAAUUUAAACACCAUAAAUUCCCUAUUGUGGCGAUGCCAAAUCACUCUUAGUCCAGAAACUCGGUGUUCUUCAUCAUCAAUUAAAUAAAAAAAAAAAAAAACUUGCUGAAAAAAUUAAGGAUGAUAAAGAAAACAAAAGUCUUAACCCACAAUACCAACUAUAAAUCAAUAAUGACAAACAUUUUACUUUAUGGCUUCUUGGAACCAUCAAAUAAGACGUUUUAAGCAUGAUCUUCAGUGUUAAAACGACAUAUGAAGUUUGAACAUCUCUUGAAGAGCAAUUGUUUCCUGUUACAGUAGAAAAAAUAAAGGAAUCUUAAAAAUAUAUGACUCUCAAAAAAGGGUCAUGGUCUCUUGAAAAAUAUUUAAGAGACUUAAAAAAUAUGUGUGACAAUCUCUUUGCAAUCAAAAAUUCAAUUUCAUACCAAGACAAAGUUUUUUAAUUUGCUCAUGGCUUAGAAGAAAUGCAUGAAAUUUUUUUACUUGCUAUGCUUACUAAACUACUUUAUCCUUAUUUUAGUCAGUUUAUGUUACUCUUUCAAGGAUAUGAAUAAUCACUCACUACCUAAAAAGAGGAAGAUAAAACGUUCUUAAAUCACGCACAAGUUUUCUUUAGAUAAUGAGGUAGUAGUCAAAAUGGUCAAGGGGUUAGAGGAAAUUUCAACUAAAAAGAAAGAGGAUUCACACUUGUUAGGCCCUAUAAUGACAACCAUAAUCCUCAAAGAAAUGACAAUAUUCUGAAACAAUCAAAUAACAACAUAACUCAACCAAAAGAAAGACAUCAAUAAUGUCCUGCUAGCUCAAAUAAUGGUAGUAAAGUAACUUAUCAAAUCUAUGGAAAACCAAAAUCAUCUUGUUAUUGAUUGUUGGUAUAGGUUUGAUUAUUCCUAUCAACUUGAAGAUUUUCCACAAACUCUUGCUACUAUUGCCAUGAACGACUAAAAUGAUUUGUCUUUUAUUGUUUAUUCCAAUGCUACUUCACUAUGACAAAUGAUUCGGGUAAACUUUAUCAUAUUAAAUUAUAUGAUGGGAAUGAUGUUAUUUAUGUUGGAAAAAUAAUAAUCUACCUAUUUCUCAUAUCGGAGAUACUUGUGUUCUUACAAAUGAAGGAAAUUUGGAUUUAAAAGAUGUGUUAAUAGCCCCUAUUUUGAAGAAAAAUUUAUUAUUUACUAGAAAAUUUACUAAGGAUAAUUUAUGUACCUUUAAAUUCACGACAUUUGGCUUUGUUGUUAAGGACCAAAAUCAAAGAACGGUAGCAAGGAAGCAUAAGAAAAUACAACUAUAUGCUUUGAAUAGCAACUAUUAAGAGGCAUUCAGUGCAAUAAAGACAUGUGAUUCUUUAUCAAUUCGUCAUUAACAACUUAGACAUCUAAAUUCAAAUAUUCUCUCAUUUUUAAGGGAAAAUAAAGCUAUUGAUAUAACACAUUGGGCAACUAAACCUUUCAUUUGCGUUAGUUGUGUCAGUUAUGAUAUUUGGAGCUCAAUUCCUAUGACUACAAAUCAACAUUUUUUGUUUUUUUGUGAUAUAUGUUGAUGAUUAUUCAUGAUUCACAUGGCUUUAUCCUUUGAAAUGAAAAACUGAAAUUUUUUGUUUGUUUCCAUAAGUUUCAAAAUUUGAUAGAAAAUCAAUUUGAUUGAAAAAUUAAAGUAUUUCAAUGUGACAAUGGAAGAGAACUUAACUCUAGUAUUUUUCUUGUGGAUCUUCAUAAUAAUGGAAUUGAACUAUAUGUUUCAUAUCCUAGGACUCUUGAACAAAACGAAAUGACCGAGCAAAAACACUAGCAUAUUAUUUAAACCAAAUUGACUAUGCUUUUUCAUGCCAACUUACCAUUUUCUCUUUGGGUUGAAGUCUUUAUUACAGGUGUGUAUCUUAUAAACAAGUAAGCCUCAUCAACUCUUAACAAUGUUAGCCCUUACUUUAAAUUCUACAAAUAGCAUUCUGACUAUAAUGGCUUAUAAGUGCUAAGAUGUCAAUGUUUUCCAUCACUACAUCAUCAAAGUGGUUUAGAGUUUACCAAUAAGACUUAUUCUUCUGUCUUUCUCAAAUAUAACCUGAUUCAUAAAGGUCAUAUGCUUAAAGCCUCAUACAAGGCGGGUUUAUAUUUCUAGACAUAUUGUUUUUUAUGAAGACACAUUUUCUUAUAAGUCCUCAUAUGAGACCUUUAAUUUUACUAAUUUGAAAAUGUUUGAUUUCCCUUGUUUGAUUCAACUAAUAAGGAAACUACCUUGCUAAUUAAUUCACAAAAUCUAAGAAGUUUGAUAAAUUCUAAAAGGAAAAUAUCUAAUAUUUUCCUUUAUUGUUGUAACUAUGAUUUUAUUGCAGAUUCUAUUCCAAAUAUUAUAGGAAAUAAUGAAAAAAAAUUAACUAAACUUGAAUAGUAUAAUUACAUCAAAUUCUCUUACAAAUUCUACCAUUGUUCCAAUAUUCUAUUCAAUUAGAUAAUUCAAUUCCAACUAUAAAUAAAGGUUUUGCACAUGUUUCUCCUUCCAUUAAAGCUCAACUUGAAUAUAAUGACACUUCACAAGUCUUUCCAACUGAGUUAGUGCCAUAAACUUGACUCGUUCAAGCCAGAAAGUCACCCUCUUAUCUUAGUGACUACAUUGUUCUUACCACUUCAUCACUAACCUCUUCCCAUGUGCAUGAUCUCAUUCCAUUUGAGUCAAAAACCUUAAGGACUACUCUCAAGGAUUUACAUUGGAUUAAUGCCAUGAAAGAUGAACUUCAAGCCGUUCAUAAUAAUAACACGUGAGAACUUCUUCCUCAGCCAUCUAAAAUCAAUGUUGUCAGCUCCAAAUGGGUAUAUCAUAUUAAGUAUAAAGAAGAUUGUUCCAUUAAUCGUUUAAGGCUCAUUUAGUUGCAAAAGAUUUUACCCAAGUUUCAAGAGUGGACUAUGAUGAAACUUCCAGCCUUGUGGUCAAACCAACCAUCAUUCAUCUUGUCAUAGCUCUUUCUCUCUUGUUUAGUUGGAGCAUGUGCCAAUAUGAUGUAAACAAUGCAUUCUUGCAUGGGCAUGUAACUGAGAUGGUCUACAUGGAGCAACCUUCGGGAUUUAUUGAUUUUUUUUCCUGAGUAUGUGUGUUUAUUAAAGAUAUUAUUAUAUGAUUUGAAACAAGCACCUUAUGCUUAGUUCAAUUGUCUUUCACAAUUUUUGCUUCAACUUGGUUUCUAUUGCAACAAAGUAGACAUAUCUUUGUUUAUUUUUCAUACUCAUAACAAAACUACAGUUUUUCUUAUUUAUGUGGAUGAUGUUUAUUGCAAGCAAUAAUAACCAAUUUAUUGUAGGUCUUUUUGCAUAACUCGACCAUGAAUUUGCAAUUAAAGAUCUUAAUCCUUUACAUUAUUUUCUUGGUGUGAAAACUAAACAUUUUGAUAUAGAAGUCUUUUCUUUCUCAACAAAAGUAUACACAUUGUUAGGAAUACUUGGAUUUCUCCGUUCCCUGGCCCUUGAUCAUGUAGGGUGCAUGCAUGUAUCCUAGGCUUUUUUCAUAUCUAACGCAAUAGAAACAAAUGGUAUUAAAAGCCAUUAUUAAUGUAAAUCUAGAGUUCGAACGCUCAAACCUGUGAUUUAGAUAUUCCUAAAUCAAUUUCCAUCCGAUGAAGACUCUAAAACCGCGAUAGUCAUUGUAGAACUCGUCUACCCAAUAAUCUUCCAUCUAAUCUCUCCCUCCAUGGGUCUUGACACUAGAGAAUGGUCAGUUUCUCUCUCUCUAAGUGUGGUCAGGGUUCCUCUCUCUAAAAUCUCAAAAAAUAUGAGAAGAAGAAUCAAUUAUUAACCCCUCUUUAAGGUGUUUAUAUAGGCUUCCAUAUGAGCUUAAGUGACUUGAGCUCAAAUUGAGCUUGGGUCACUUAAUCCAGUCCACUUGGGUCAUAAUUAAUUAAUUAACCCUGAUAAGCUCAAAAUAAUUAAUUAACCUAGUUUGGAAAGUCAAUUUAUAAGAUCUAGUGCAAUCUUGCAUUUUUACUAAAACGUUCUUAUUGCACACUUAAGAAUUAUAUACCUAAAAUACCAUUAAAACAUUGUCAUCAUAAAAUAGCAGCUCGAGCGAGGACCAAUGGGACUCAUAGGAAAAUACUUAUCCCCUCAUAAUCCAAUUUUGAAAUUGACUCAACAUUCCAUAAAAAAAAAAAAUCAAUUGUACUUUAAUAUCCUAUGAAAUUACAACGAGAUGAAAUUUAGGCUUAUAACCUACUAUCCAUUGCAUGCAAACUUCCCAUGACUUAGUGUCUGUAAUCUAAUAAGUUAGUGUUAUCCUAUCAAGAUUACAUCUCCAAUCCUUGAGUUAUAAAUCUUAUUUAUUAUGUGAUCAACUAACAUAUUCUAACUCCAAGAAACAUAUGUUAAAUUCCUCUAAACAAAUUAUUGUGGUCAUAGAUUUUAUUAUUACAUGUCAUUUGGAUCACCCAAUGGGACAUACUAUCUCAAUCCCAUGAGAUAUCAUGAUGCCUCUAUGGAGAAUACUUGUUGUCACUAGCUUUCAUCAAUAAUGAUUCAAUUCUUAGGGAUAUAUGGUCACUUUAGGAUCUCACUGAUAAGUUAAAGUCUCUCAUUGAUUUCAACAUAGGCUCAAUAUCCUUUCAAAGUUGAAAGUCCAUGUAAUAUGGUAGCUUAGUGAAUCAUGACAAUCAAUAGUGUUAUGUCAUGAUUCAUAGUAGGUCUUUGUCUAAUAUGCAUCACAUACACUAGUACACUCACAAUGAGAAACUCAUUUGGAUGGUCAAGACAAAUGAUCCUUCCAAUUAGGAUGAAGUAUACUACAGUCUCUACUAGAUUGUCCAAAUCAAUGAACUAACUAUGAACAACUUAUCUACUUAUAAGGAACCUAUGAUUUGUAUACUUUGUGUAAUUCCUAAUGCACCCAAGUCAUGCAUAAUCUAAGAAAGAUAAGUUGAAUGUUCAAAUUAAUGUUAAUGCAUAAAAAAGAUAGCAAAGGGACAAUCAAGUGUGACUUUGUUAUAAUAUAUUUUGCUUUUAAGGACUCAAUCCCAACACACAUGACCUACUUUCAAAACUAAGAUGCUUGAUAGUAAUCCCAAUGUCACAUCUAAGGUUUUUGCUAACAAACCUUCUUUUUUAGACAACGUUUUAACUGAUGCUAUUGCUUUCUAAAGUAUUGUUAAAGUCUUUCAAUACUUAACUUUCACAUGACCAAAUAUUAUUCAUGUAGUUAAUCGAGUAUGUCAAUAUUUUAGUAACCCUAUUGUGACUCACUUGACAGUUGUAAAGCGCAUCUUAAGAUACCUUAAGGGAACGUAACACUUUAAUUUAUGUUAUCUUUCUACCAAUCCAAUAUCUCUUUAUGGGUUUAGUGAUGUUGAUUGGGUAGGUUAUCCCACUAUAAAAAUGAGCACUACAAGUUAUUCUUUUUUUUUUUUUUUUUUUUUUUUUUAACAAAUUGUAUCUCUUGGUAUUCAAGGAAACAACCAAAAGUUGCUCACUCAAGCACCAAGGUAGAGUAUCGUUUUUUUGGCAUUAUUCGCAGUUAGUUGACUUAGAUUACUUAUGUCUUAUGAAAUAUUGAUGUUUCCCUCUCUAAACCACCAUAAUUAUUUUGUGACAAUGUUAGUGUUCUUUACAUGUUCGUUAAUCCUAUGCGUCAUGCUUUCUCUAGACAUAUUGAGCUCAACUAUCAUUUUAUAAGAGAGAAGGUAGCUAUGGGCACUCUUGUCACUCGUAUAUCUCCACACAUUCUCAACUUGCUGAUGUUUUUAUUAAUUUUUUGUGAGAGAAUGUCUUCACCAUGUUUUGAGACAAGCUCGACAUCCAUAUUCAUUUUCAUUCUAACUUGAGGGGCACGUUAAAGGAAAUAUUCAAGGAAAUACAUAGAAGCAAGCACAUAAAAAGGUAGGAAGACACUUCAAUCAAUAUUUUCAUAAAUUUUAAAAAAUCAAAUAUUAAUAAUAUUUGAUUCUCGCGAUAUUUGGAAAUCAAAUAUUAACAUUAUUUGAUUCUCUUAAUUUUAGGAUAUUUUUCUAUAUGUUAGAAAUAUUAUUUCUUUCUUUCUUUGUACAACUCAUCUAUAUUUUUAUAUAUAGUUUCAAAUAAGUAAUAGAAAAUAUCGUUUUUAUUACCAAAUUAUCAAAAUUUACACAAUUUCAAUAUAAUUAAAAAAAUUUAAAAAUUAAAAUUAUGCUUAUUUUUUAUAAAAAUAUUUUUAAAAUACCAAUUUCUAAACAUAAAAGUAUCAUCAUUUUUAGAAAUGAUUUUUCGCCCACGGCUUCAAGGUACCUUUUUAACCAUUUGAAACAUUUUAUUUAGAUAUAAUAAAGUUUUAUAAAAUCAUUUUUAAUAAAUAAAAAAUCACUUCUAUCAUUUCUUUUAAAAACUACUUUUUAUUAGCUUUAUAAUUAUCAAAAACACUUAUGUGUAUGCAAAUAUCAACUCAUUCUUUAUAAAAUUAUUUAUAAUAAAAGCAAUUAUUAAUAACAUUGUUAUCAAUAAAAACCCCACAAGUUAACAACACUUUUACUAUUUGAUAAUUCUUCAUUUAAUUAUUAAAUUAGGAUUAAAAAAAUACUAUUUGAUAAAACUUAAAAUUUAAUAUUAAUAUUUUGAAAGCUUGGAGUCAAAUUGAUCUUAAUGAAUUAAAAUUAACAUUCAAUUUUAUUUUAAUUGAUCAAGAAAAAUGAAGACAUGUUUGGUUAGUUGAAUAAAAUAUAAUAUACAUACUCUAAGAUAUGAUACUCCAUUGAACAUAGUAUGCGUACAUGUGAUAUUAUUGGAAUAUGAUAUUCUUGAAUGUAAUAUCCAAUAAGAUAUAUUAUGUUAUAUUUAUAUUUGAUUUAUAAAAAAUAAAACAAAAAAUAUAUUGUAUUUUAAUGUUUAUAUUUGUUUAAAAUAAAAUUAUAUUAUACUAAAAUAUUUUUUAUUUAAAAAAAGGUAUAAAAUCUCUCAUAUUUAAUAUUACUUGAAAAAUGUGGUAUGAUUUAUAAUUUAAUAAUUAUUUAUGAUUAAAAUAUUUAAAAUUUAUAAAUGAAAAAUUAUAUUAUGUUAUUAAAAUAUAUUAAAUAUGUUUUUGAUAUAUUUAAAAAUUUUUAAUUACAAAUUUCAUUUUUUACUUAAUUUUUUUUGUUUUGCAACUUAUAAUUAUUGUGUUAGGACUUACUUGGGAGAUUUAAAUAUAUCCGAACAGAAGGGCACCGUUGUAAUUUUAACUCCAAACUCAAUAGUUGAAGGAUAAGCCCAUGAAUGAUUUAGGGACAAGAUGGGUAUUUCGAAGCCCAAGACCUAUAUACUUCUCGGGAAUUUCUAGUUUCCAAAAAGAAACUGUCCUUUCUUAAAAUCACGAACAACGUUUCCAAUUCCAAACAAAACUUUUCUAUCUUCGUUGCCCUACCUGUACCGGCUACCGGAUGCGGGCCCCACUUCAACCUCCCACUGGUUUCAAAGUUCAACGCACCUCGUGGCCUACACAGCCAUCACCUACACGUGCCGGACACUUCACUUUCUGCACUAGCUUUCCUUUUAUGCUUCUAAGUGAGGUACGGGCUGGACUGCAUGGGCGGGCCACGUAUAUGCUCACGUCACCAAGGCUUUCUGUAUUUUUAGAUGGAUUUAAUUGAUGUUCGGUGAUUGACCCUUUUACCCCUUGAGACCUGCAAUGUUGGGAGUAAUGGUGUUGUACGAUGCUGCCCUUGUUUGGAACUAGUGGUGGUGCUCCACAUGGGCAUAAAAAUACUUCUAAUUUUAGAGGAUGGAAUGACAUUAUUUCUUUGGCAUGGUCAAGCGAUGUCGGCCAUUAUUUUAUUUUUUUAUUUUUUAUUUGUAGCUUUGUUUUCAAAAUAUAUUGAGAUUAGAAAAUUGAUAAGAUUUUAAUUAAUUUUAAAAAAUAAUUUAUAAUUAUUGCUCAAUUUUUUAUAAAAGAAAAACAAAAAAUUCGAUCAAUGAUGUUUAAUAUUAUUCAAAACAAAGAAUAGGUCGAUAUGGUUUGAAUUUAAAAAAAAUAUAAGCGCUUAAUAAUUUAAAAUAACAUAAGAAUGGAUAUAAUUAUUAAUUUUAUUCUUAAAUAAAAAUAGAGUUAAAAUUUUAUUUAUUUUUUAUAUUCAAAUAGUACAAUAAAACCUACUUUAGAGAAAAGAAACAUAAAAAUUAUUCAAUUAUAUUGAUAACACUAGAAUUUAACAUAAUGGAUAUUGUAGGGCAAUCAAGGUAUAAGGAAAAUUUUAGGAAAUUUUGUCUAACUACGGUCUACAACAAUCAAAAUUUCAACUCUUAAUAUCUAACAUAAUAUUUUAUUUUAUUUUUACUUAUUAGUAAUUUAAUUGUCUGUGUUAAAAGAUUCUGAUAAUAGUCGUGGCAUUGAAAUGUUAAGAAAUAAAGUAGUAUAUAACAUUUUUAACCCUCCUCCGUAUGGAUGAAUCAAUGUUUUAAAAAUUGAACUAUAUCGAUCGAUCCAAUCUAUCCAACCGCUAACCAAUGGUCCUUUCAGUCCGAUUCCUUCUUUUGAACUACUUAACUAUUGAAUUUGUCACAAACUGCUUGAAUCGACUAUUGAACUAAUGAACUUAGUGAAUCGGACGGUUUUCCAAUAACUGAAUGGUUCAAUGUUCCUGCCCCUUCUCCCUUUUCUUUUUUCUAUUCAAGCCCUAACCCCCUUCCCAUUGUCAUCCAAGCCUCCAACAACCUUUGCCUCCAGUUCAAUGACUCCAACCUUCAAGCGUUGAUGCCAACGCCUGCAAGCCUCCACCUCUUGUAGGGUAAGUGAUAUAGAGUCAGUGGAAAAAGAAGGGCCAGUGUAGAAAGGGAAAAGAAAGCUUUUAUGAGGAAGUGAAAACCAAGAAAUAUAAAAAUAAAGGUAGAAUAAUUCAUUUUGGUAUUGCAAAUUAGGAUAUGGAGGGUCUACUAAGAUGAUAUUGCAUAUUUGCAAAUCAAAUUAGAUAAAAAUAUUAAUUAUUUUUUUUCAAAUUUUAUCAUAUAAUAUUGUAGACCCUCAUUUUGGUAUAGUUUUUUUUUUUUUUUGUGGUUAUUUUUGGAGCACUAUUUUCAUAUCAUCCCCGGGAGAGUUGGCAGCAUCGUGGAGGAGUGGGAGGGACCAACUUCUUCAAGUGCUGAGAGCUGCAUGCAUGGACACAUGGCCAAGGACACCACCACCUUGUCAUGGUGGUGGUUAGGGAUGGAGAUAUCUCUGAGCAAGAGAACAGAGGGGUGAGCAAAAAAAUGGGUGAAAGUUGGACAGAAAAAUGGGAACAGCUUGAGAGAGCGGGGGUUUUUCUUUUUUUUCAGGAGGAAGACAUUAAGGAAAAAUGGAGGAGAAGAGUCCAGAAGAGAAUAGCAGCACAAGUAUUUUUUCUAUAACCUACUUGUUCUUUCUUUUUCAUAUGGUUUGAGUAUUUUUCUAUGUAUACCGGUAUUCUAUUUUGAUGGCUGAAUGUGAGCAUUGAAAGCUUUUGGUGUAUUUUUUAUUGAAUAUGAGUUUGUCGGCAUGCAUUUUAUGCUUGAUUUUUAACCCAUUUCCUUCAUUCACCAAACCCGUCACCAUACUCUCACCUUGAACUUCUUUCACACCUGCCCAACCUGCUACCUCGCUACCCAUUUCCCACUCAUGCACACGGGAAUCAUGCAUCCCUUAACCUAAUUCGUUCUUCAUACCCACUAGUGGCAUUACAAUCAAUGAUGCCAUUGAGUACUUCAUUCAAAACUUAAAGCCUUUUUCGGGUCGGACACGUCAACGAUGUGCGCAAUGCUGUGAUGAGUGUCAGUGACUCGGCGGCCAAGGCCGAGUUGAUUCAAGUUGAGGUCUACGCCCGUAGGUCGCUUCAGCUAUGGCGGACACUCCUCAACUAGUCGACUUUCUUCUCCCAGAUCUUUCUUCAGAUCCUCUGAGGCACGUCGUCCGUGACUCAAAUCCUCUCUUACGUUGGCCCUCGCCACCAUUCUCUUCACUACUCAAUCUCCUCACUUGGGCCGCCAUUGUUAUGCGGUGUAGUUGCAGAGAGUGGAGAAAGAUGAAGAGCAUAUCGUCUUAUGAGAUGAUGGACAUACUUGAAGGUGUGAAGAUCAAAGUGAAGGCGAAGAUCAUUGAGGUGAAAGGCCCAAGAGGCAAACUCAACCGCAACUUCAAGCAUUUGAACCUUGAUUUCUAGCUCAUCAAGGAUGAAGCAUGACAACACCGUAAGGGCAACAACGCCCGCCGCAGUAAGAGCAUCGUCGAUGAGGAUCUGAAUGACCUCAAGGCCUGCAUCGAGCUAGGUUUCGGCUUCGACUCGCCGAAUGUGGAUUCGCUGGAAAGUGAUGACUUUAAAGACUCGACUGCUAAUGAGGAUGAUGAGAAUGGCGGCGGUAGAUUUGACGGUGGGAGAUGUUAGACUAUCCGAAUCUUCAGCAGAAAUUCCAGAAGCAUCUGCACCCAGUCCUCACUCUAUCCAUUCUGUUACUGAUUCAAAAUGAUCCAGCUGUUAGCAUUAUUUUCUCCUACAAAUGUGUAUUUGAUAGUUUCCUUAUCUUUGCUCAUACUUGUGUUCCUUAUUAUACGCUUGUCAGUUCAAUUGUACAAAUAUAAAUAUAAUGAAAAACUACACAGCUUGAGUGCGAGAGCCAAGUCAAAGAUAUACUGUGUGUUCAUCUUUCUGUUGAGUUGUUAAGGUUUUACAUGGUAUCAGAGCUUAAUUCUAUAAGCUCGCGCUUUUCAAACGAUCCUUUCUCUAGCUUCCGCAUCAUCCAAAUGGCCAACACCAAUGACACCUCCAUCCCUGUAUCUAUCCUACCACCAUCUACCACCAUUAUUUCUGUUAAGCUAGACGGCUCCCACAAUUAUUUGGCAUGGAAAAUGCAGUUCCUUAAUCUCCUCCGAGGACAUGACUUAAUGGGCUUCAUUGAUGGCACUGAAGCUUGUCCUCCAAAACAUAUUGCCUCUGGUUCAUUAAAUCCUGCCUAUGUUGUUUGGCAGAAGAAAGAUGUUUGUCUCCUUGGAUGGAUCCUUGCAUCUCUUUCAGAAAAACUUGUUUCUACUAUAUAUGGAUUAGAAACAUCUAAGCAAGUCUGGACUGCCCUGUAGACUCGCUUUUCUUCUCAAUCACGUUCUCGAAUCUCUCAUCUUAAACGUCAACUUCAAACAUUGACUCAAGGUACCAAAUCCUGUUCCGAGUAUCUUGAAAGUGCCAAAACCCUUGCAGAUCAAUUGGCAGCAGGUGGCAAGCCUGUUGACGAUCAAGACCUGAUCUCCUUUCUUCUUGGUGGCUUGCAAUCAUCCUACACACCGUUUUUCACCUCUUUUAAUUUUGCAUCCCGUGAAACUGACUUCACAUUCGAAGACUUUCAAGCUGAAUUGCUGGGCUAUGAAAAUCUUCUCGAUGUCAAUCACUCUGUUCAUAACACAGAUGGUCCUCACUUUGCAUUUGCUGCAAACAAAUCCAAGGCACCUACUUAUGUGCAAAAGAAAGGACCUCCACUCCCUCCUACUAAAAUGCAGAACGCAGCUUCCUCUAAUUAUCGAUCACAGCAGACCAGAUCUACUCCUCCACAACUCCCCAACAAUCGUCCAGUUUGUCAAAUUUGUGGUAAAUCUGGCCAUACUGCUAUUGAUUGUUUUCAUCGGUUUGAUUAUUCAUAUCAGGGUCGGUUUCCGCCUCAAGAUCUUGCAGCAAUGGUGGCUGAGACUAAUGCCACAUUUGAUCAUCAAGUAUGGUACAUGGAUAGCGGUGCUAAUGCCCAUAUUACAUCAGAUGCUUUUGGAAUUUCUGCUGAAGAUUCGGAUAGUCUAACACUGGUAUUGAGCUUGGAUUUCACGAAUCUGUCAAUGACUACUCUCUGUUCACUCUACAUACUGAUCAUGCCAGAAUUUUUGUCUUAAUCUAUGUCGAUGAUAUUUUGGUGACAAGAUCUGACACCUUCGCAAUUACUAAACUCAUUCGCCAUCUGCAGAGUAUUUUUCAUGUCAAGGAUCUUGGUUCUCUAUCUUAUUUUUUAGGUGUGGAGGUUGAUAGGAGCUCUCAAGGACUGCACUUACGUCAAACCAAAUACAUUUGUGAUCUCUUAGACCGGACUCAUAUGGCUGGUGCCAAGCCACUUGCGUUGCCUACGGUGGCAAGUACCAAACUGUCUAGUACUAAUGGAGAACUCCUAUCUGAUCCUUCUACUUAUCGCCACAUCAUUGGGGCCCUCCAAUACUGCACAAUCACCCGUCCUGAUAUUUCUUAUGUUGUUAACCAGCUCUGUCAAUAUAUGCACCAACCACGAACUCCACACUGGCAAGCUAUGAAGCGCGUUCUUCGCUACUUAAAGGGCUCUGUCAACCAUGGACUGUUCUACACACCAUCUCCUCUCCAACUACAUACCUACUGUGAUUCGGAUUGGGCAGGCAAUCCAGAUGACAGAAGAUCUACUAGCGGCUAUGGUGUUUUUCUAGGUCGAAACCUGGUUUCUUGGAGCUCCAAGAAACAACACGUGGUCUCUCGUUCGAGUACCGAAGCUGAGUACCGUUCAAUGACACUCGCUACAGCUGAAGUAUACUGGCUCUGAAUGCUUUUCAAAGAAUUGGCUAUUGGUCUCAUCCACAUCCCAACUAUAUGGUGCGAUAACAUUGGGGCAAUUGCACUCGCUUCCAAUCCGGUGUUCCAUGCAAGAACGAAGCACGUAGAGAUUGAUUAUCAUUUUAUUCGGGAGAAAGUAUGCAACCAUGAUAUUCAAGUCCAACAUAUCUCAACCGUGGAUCAAAUAGCGGAUGUCUUCACCAAAGGCCAAACUGCAAAGCGUUUUCAAUAUCUCAAGGGCAAAUUAAUGGUUUGUCAAAACCCCAUUAAUUCGAGGGGGGGUGUUAGACUAUCCGAAUCUUCAGCAGAAAUUCCAGAAGCAUCUGCACCCAGUCCUCACUCUAUCCAUUCUGUUACUGAUUCAAAAUGAUCCAGCUGUUAGCAUUAUUUUCUCCUACAAAUGUGUAUUUGAUAGUUUCCUUAUCUUUGCUCAUACUUGUGUUCCUUAUUAUACGCUUGUCAGUUCAAUUGUACAAAUAUAAAUAUAAUGAAAAACUACACAGCUUGAGUGCGAGAGCCAAGUCAAAGAUAUACUGUGUGUUCAUCUUUCUGUUGAGUUGUUAAGGUUUUACAGGAGAUGGGUCUCGGUGUUAUUGAUUGUGUCCGCGGGAGCCUUCAUUUUGUUUUGAUUUCAACUAUACCGAACCGUUGUUUCCGACGACCCUGAUGGAGAUUUAGUGAGACAUAGUGAGGUGGCGACAUGUGGCAAGGACAGAGGUGGUCCAUCACUGCGGCUGGAAGUGGAAACAGAGGAUUUUCUUUGUGUUGUUUUGAAGUUUUCCCUUAAUGAGAUGGAGGAAGACUCAUAAACUAUUUUAGAUGGUGAAAUAAGUGGAAUAAGAUUUGAGGUUGGCUACAAGACAAGAAAUUUGUACUACAUCAGUUAGUGACUGUCUCAUUAGUCAUGCUAGCCAACUCACAACUCCAUUUUUCUAGGUUCGCCAUUGGAAUUUGGCAAAUGUGAAUCUUGUGGUACAACUCAUUUUUAUUAUUAUUAUUUAUUUCUUCAUUUUGAUAUCAAAGUUUAAUUUUCCAAAAUUCUCAUUUUCAAAAACUAAUUCUCAAAACUCCAAUUCUCAAUUAAUUUUCAAAAUUCUAAUAUCUUUCAAAUUUAGUUUUUAAAACUCUAAUUUUCAAUUAAUUUUUCAAAACUCCGAUUUCUUUCAAAAUUAAUUUUAAAACUUCAAUUCCUUAAUUUAGUCUUCGAAACUCUAAUGUUCAAAAUUCUAAUUUCUUUCAAACGUAACUUCCAAAAUUCUAAUUCUUAAAUUUAAUUUUAAAAACUCCAAUUUUCAAAUAAUUUUUGAGACUUCAAUUUUCAAAACUCUAGUUUUCCUUUAAAUAAUUUUAAUUGCACUCCAGUUUUCAAAUAUUUUUUAAUUCUACCACUUUUCAUCCUUUAUUAGGGUUUCAAGUCACUAAAAAUCCCGUUUUUUUUUUUUAAAUUAACUUGCUACUUUUCCUUUCAAGAAAGCAUUUUUCUCAAUUUUUCUUUGAUUUUAAAAUAAAUUUUCGUUUUCCUUGAUUUAUUUUUUUUAAUAAGCAAGAAUAUUUUUUUUUUAUAAUUCCAAAAUGUUGGAAUUUGUGAUACUAAUUCAUGCAAGAUAAAUUGGGCUUUGAUGUGGGCUCUACAUAUGAGUUUUUUCUUUUGAUUAUCAACUGUUAUAUUUAAUGAAUAAUUGUCUGACCUUUGUUUUGCUCUUUGAUAUGCAUGUGACAAUUUUAUACUUGAACUAACCUUGUUUCCAUAAUAAUGCGCUAUUACUUACUGCUAAGGUAUGAUUUCACUCCCACUUUGCUUAUUCUUAUGCAUGACUCGUCUUAUUAUUUGAUUUUUUCAUUGAUAUUUAUUGAUUUUCUAGUUAAUUGUCAUGUCUACCUCACCUUAUUUAGUAUAGACCCGUUUUUAGUGACUUAAAGGGGUGCUACGGCUCACCACCAUGCCUUUCCAAUAAGUAAUUUGACCCCAGACCUAGACUUGGUUUUUCACAAACUUGUUUUUCCUUCAGAAGUCACACUUAUGGUUUUUUUUUUCUUAUUUUAUUUUUCCCUUAAAAAAUAAGUGGCGACUCCAAGUCUUUCUAAAAAAAAAAAAAAAAAAAAAAAUCAAAUUUUCACCAAAUAAAUAAAAGAGCGAGUUUUGCCAUCGAGUUGGAACUCAUCGAACAAAAUACGAGGUCCACAAAUAUCUUUACAUUCACAUUUAUUUUCAUUUAAUUUUAUAAUAAUUAAAUAAUGAUAAUUAUAAAAAUAUUAUGAAUUAAUAAAUAUAAUAAUUUUAAAAUAAUAAAUAUAUAAAGACAUAAAAAUAAAAUUAGAAUAUUAUAAUUUUCUUUUUAUUUUAAAGAUAUAUUCAUACUUAAAUAUUAUAUAUAUAUAUUUCAUUCAAUAAAAUUUAAAAUAUUAAUAUAUUUACAUUUAUCUUUAUCAUUUUAUUUGAAAUAUAUAAAAAUGAAAUAUUAUUAAAAUUUUCAAUUAUAUAUUUUUAAUUUCUUAUAAUUAUUUUUAAUUUUAUAUAAUAUAAAUUAUAUAUUUAUGAUAUCAUUGGUUCGAUUGCAGUUCAACCAUCGAUCCAACUAGUGAACCGUGAUUUAAUAAUUUUUUUGGUUUAAUGAUUGGUUCGAUUCUCAAAACAUUAAGAUGAACAAAUAAUUUUAUUUGUGGGAAGAUAAAGUAAUAGAAAAAUAAAUGUAAAAUGUAUAUUUUAUUAUUAUUUAUUUAUGUGAAUUACAUUAAAUUACAUUAACAUAAUUUAGAUCAAAGAAUGUGAAGUGUAAAACCACAUCAUACCACUUUGGGAUAACAUGCACAAUGCAUCAUUUAAGUAUAAUUGAAAAUGAAGGAUGCAUUCUUGAAAAUAGGUAUUGAGAAUAACUUUUCAAAGCAUUUAUUAGACAAUGUUUGCUUCAGGGAUAAAUUGAGAAAAAAUAUAAGGAAAAGAAAAUAGAGGUGAAAGUAGAAAAAACAAAAAAGAGAGAGAGAGAAAAAAAAGUUUAAAUUUAAUAAAUUAUUUUUAUAUGUUUUUAAAAUUUAUUUUAUUUAUUUUCCUUUAUUAUAUAAAGAUUAAGUGAAUCUUUAGUAAAACUUAAUACUUAUUACUUAAUAACUUAAAUUGAAUUUAAAUUAAAUUAUUCUUAAGUUGUUAAAUUAAAACUUAUUACUUAUUUUUUUAUUUUAAGUAUUAAGGUUGUUCGGUAAAAUUAAACUAAAAUUUAUUUUAAGUUAUUAAAUUGAUAUAUUCAUUCUCAUUAGUUAUAAUUAAUGUUUAUUACUAAAACUUUUAACUAAUAUUUAUUUUCAUAAAAAAUGAGUGAUAAAUGUGAAGUCAUAGUUGUUAAGUAUAUUUUCAUUAAAUAUGGGUAAAUAAGAUUUAUAAAAAAUUAGGAUUAAGAAUAAGGUAAUUAUUUUGACUUAAUAUUUAAAGUCAUUUUUAACUUUAGGCUAUGAUAUUAAGUUAUUUUAUCAAAUAUGCUUAAUUUACUUAAUAGUUUAAAUUAAGUUAUUAAGUAACUUUAAGUCAUUAAGUUGAUUUUAAAACACUCUUUAAAUAAUUUAAAAUAUAUAAAAUUUUGACAAGUUUUUAUUAUAUUUAAUUCUCUUUUGUAUUUUCUAUAAAUGAAACCAAACAUGAUAAAACUAUUUUUAUUAAUACUUGUUUCUUUUCUCAGUACUUUCCAAGAACUAACCAUAGCGAUGUUUAUAGAACAAAAGGGUUUAUUUGUUUAGUUUAUUUUAUUUUUUCAUUAGAAAAUGAAAAAAUAAAUGGAAAAAUACUUAUCUCAUGUCUUUGUUUUAUAAAAAGCUAUAUUCACAAUUGAUCGACUUCUUUAUUAAUUAUAAGUAUACUAAUCUUUUUUUAUCAUACUAUUAAAUUAACCAAUAAAGUAAAUAAAACAAAAAGAUAAUAAACAAAUAUAAUUAAUUAUUUUCAGUUAAAAAUAAGUAUCAAAUAAAAAUAAAAAACACAAUUGGUCAAUUUCUUUAUUAAUUACAUACAUAAUAUGGUUUUCUAUUAUCAAUUAUUUAAUUAUUUUUCAUUAAAAAUCAAUAUCAAAUAAAAAUGAAAAACACAAUUAGUCAAUUUCUUUAUUAAUCAUAGACAUGCUAUGUUUUUUUUUUUUUAUAUUAUUAUUAUUAUUAUUAUUAUUAUUAUUAUUAUCUAUUCUAUAUAUAAAAGUAUGACCCGUUUAAAACAUUUUUUACCUAAAAAGUCCCUCCUAAAGAAUUUAUAUGCCCUUCCAUAUUUACUAUUAUUUUAUAUUGUUCUUUUGUGCCCCAUUUAUUCUCACAAUUUACCUUCUUUAUGUCAUGUUAAUCAUAAUUCAAGCUUGCAGUCAACCUGAACACCUUUAAUUUUUUGUUGGAAAUAAAUUAUGUUUAAUCUUAAAUAAAAAAAUUUUGAAAAAAAAUUACCAAAGUCCAACAAAAGUUCCUACAAUUAGUUGACAACCAUCCAAAAUAAAGUCAAAUUACAUAAAUUAAAAUUAAUUAACCAACGUAUAAGUCCAAAAAUUAAACAAAACAAAUAGUAAAAUUUCUAAAAAGUUAAUAGGUAAAUAUUAAGGUUCAAGUACAUUACCAGACAUUAAAAUAAACACUUACUUUUAAAUCAAAACAUUUUAUUUUAUUUAACUGUACAACACAUACACCUUUUGGUAAUUAAAUAGAAAUGCUAAUAAAAAUAUAACAUAUAAUACAAUGCACUGUUGUUCUCGGGCUUGUGUCGAAGGAUGCGCUUCCAUACUAAUUACACUCCCCAUUCGAAGUCUUUUCAGAAUAAAUUUUUGUAUCUUUCACACUAGGAAUCGCUCUCCUUCUUAAUUUAUCUUAUUUCAAACCUUCACUUUUUAUCAUUUUUUUCUUCGAUUUCACAAAAUAUUUAAUCAUUAUUUUUGUCUUCACACAAUUAUGAAUAAAAUAAAAUACAAUAAUUUCAUAUAUUAGAAACCAUUAAUUUCCAAGAUAUACUUUUAUUUUCCAAACAUAACCAUAAUAUUCCAAUAAUUAACAACAAUAAUUUUUCUCCAAUUUAUGUCAACAACAUCAUUAACAAUUCACAAAUAAUUCAUAUAUCAUAAAAAAAAAACCCUAACAAUAAUUGUAUAUAUAGCACGAAAAAAAAAAUACAAAUAUCACAUAUUUAUCUCCUAAUAACAAAUUUUAUAAUUUUUUUUUAAGAAAGAAUAUUAAAUAAAAUUACAGGGCUAAACCACCCUAUCACAAAUCGAGGAAUCCAAUCAUUUAAAAAUCGGAUUCCAUAGAGAUGUUCAUCACCACAACUAUAAUAUUUCCUAAAAUCUUAUGCAAAAUAAAACAAGUUUGACUCACUAAAUGACCCCCCAAAGAUCGACGGGGUUUUUCCAUGACGAAUAAAACAUUUUUCUAAAAUCUCACAUGAGAUUGAGCACAUUUAAUUCUCUAAAUGAUCGCUUGAAUAUCGACAGUGUUUUUCCACUCCUAGUCGAACACUUAUUUUUAAGUUUUUUUUUUUCAUCAUUUUUCACUUUUUCUUCUUCAUUUCUUCAUUUUUCCUUUUUAAGCUCCUUGAGUGGCUUCCAUGCCACAUAGAAUUAUUAUUAAUAUUAAUAUUAUUAUUAUUAUUUAUUUUUCUCUUUUUUUUUAACUCUCAAUUGAUGGCUUUUCAUUCUUAAUUUUAUUAUUAUUAUUUUUCAUUCUAUUUUAUUCCUCUUAUUUUUUUAACUUCUCAUAUUAAUUAUAACACAUAACCUCAAAUAUGAUUUAAUUUGUCACAAAUUAUUAUAUAUUUUUCAAACUAUUUUAUUUUAUUUUCUAAACUAUAUUUCUUAACCUUGAUAAAAAUUAAUUUUUAAUAAUUCAAAACCCUAUUAUAUUUUUAUCCGACCCAAUUCGAGACUUCAACCAUUACUUUGCUAAGAAAUUUUCAAACUCUUAAUUUCCACAUGACAUAAAAUACCCGGUUAUUAUACUUUAUAUUUUCCUUCUUUAUACCAGAAAAUGUCACUUUCAUUUAUUGUCUGUAAAGGUAUAUCCUCACAAAUUUCAAUUGUUAAAUAAUAUUGGUUCUUUUUAAUAUAUAUAUAUAUAUAUAUAUAUAUAUAUAUAUAUAUAUAUAUAUAUAUAUAUAUAUAUAUAUAUAUAUAUAUAUAUUUGUUGUUUAGUUAUUAAGAAAGUUAACAAAAGAAAAGGUAAAAAUUUAAAUUUUUCCAUUGUCCUUGUUAUUCUAGUUUUACCCUCUACAAAAUCUUUUUUUUUUUUAUAAAUUAUUUAUAUGUGUCUAUAUUAGUUAGAUUUUAAACUUGAAUGCAAUGGACUAUGAUCCCAUAUAAAAGUUCUUAGAAUCUAUGGUUGAGCACUUUGACUUUGGAAAGUGGAAAAGAAUAAGAAAUGUGUGGGUUUCAUGCAAUAAUUAUAUUUUACUUUAAUUAAAAUUCAUAGACAAAUAAAAAUAAAUAUAAUCUUUGAAAAUAAUAUUUCUUUCUCUUGAAAAAUGGAAAACAAUUUAGAAAAUCUUCUUCUAUGGAUAAAUUUCAUGGGGAAAAGAUGAAUUAAGAGAAUAAAGUUUUUGAGUUUUUACGUUAGCAUAGACAAUAUUAGUAAUAGUAGUUUUUAAAAAAAUAAAAUUAAUAAUAAGUGACAUAAUAUAUAAAAUCACAUAAGUAAUAAGGACCUCACGUCCGUCUAGGUAUGGUGCCCCAAGACACUAGGCAUGCAAAGAGGCAUUUGAGCAACACCUUGAUUUACUACAUGCAACAAAGGCUUGGAACCGUUACACAAGAAUUAACUCCAACAAGUAAUUGUCCACUGACGUUCGUUUUAAAGUCGAGAGUUGUUACCUUUUAAUGAGUCAAUUAUUAACAAUUAUGACAUUAAUGAAGCAUGAAAAACAAUGAAAACUCCAUCAUUAUAAAAGACCAUCAAACAAUCAUGACAAGGUACACUCAAGAGUUUCAUACUAAACCUCUACCAACUUUUCCAAUGAUUGACUUAAGCAUCAAAGGGGCGUGCUUGAAAAACCCUUUCGAACAUUCCUUAUUGUAGGAACGUUUGCGACUCAGAUUCGUGAGGACAACCAGAGGAGAAGAUUGUAGGUCGUAUACCAACAAUUGACACCGUCUGUGGGAAGAGAACUAAAAGCCUUAAACUAGAAUGGCUAACAUACCUCCUAGAGUGCAUCCUCAUUCGGUGACCAUGGAUGAUAGGUUCCAUGUGUGGCAAAGCCAAAAUGGAGAAAAAACAAGAAGAGCACAAGUAGUGCAUGCAAUCCUUGCUUCAACAUGCAAAGCAAUUGAGAUGGGAAAAUGAGGAAUUACGGGCAUAAAUGGCCAUUGGACACCAUGCAAACUGGAGGAGCCACCAAACAACUAACUAAGUGGCCUCAAAGCCAGUGUGAAGCAAAAUAACGAGAGUUCCCUCGCUUGACAGAGAACCAUCAUUGCAAGUAGACAAUGAAUUGUUUGCUAGUAGCUCCCCCAACCUGGUCGGCACUACGAGGAUCCAAAAUAAAGCAAUUAGUUAGGAGAAGUUAAGCAGACGAAGCUACAAGUUUUGUAAGAAAAAAGCAUAAGUGAGGAUCAAAGUGGAGGCCACAUAUGUUGAGUGCUUCGAGAGCCCAGUCCAAUCACCCGUAGGAGAAUGCUCCACCAAUCCGUUUACCAGAACGCAUGUAUCCUAAGCUUCAGUCCCACGGGGCAUUGCUAAAGGUGUCAUUGGGCACAAUGAGUAGGCUGUUGAAUGAUAUGUUGUUCACGUUGUUUGACCAUCAUAUAGUCACUUACGAACUGCCUAGAGGAUUCAUAGUUCCAAAAUUUACUAUGUAUAAUGGGUCGAGUGAUCUCUUUGAUCAUUUAAUGCAUUUAUAUUAAAUGAUGACCCUAAAUAUAAACAACGAUUUGCUAGUAUGCAAAGUCUAAGAUAGACUGGAGUCACUUAAGCUCACAAAGUAAGCUUUAUAUUAAUUCCCUUAAGGGUUUAGGUAUUACAGUCUUGCUAUUUAGUUUUCAAGAAGAAGGAACCCUAACCUCUAUUCCUACAGAGAGGAUUCUGCCAUCCUCAAGUGCCAAGGUCUUGGAGAAAGCCAAUAGGCAAAAGAUCACAAGGUUUUUAAGAUCUGUACAACCUCUUCAUUACCUAGAAUUGAUUUGAGAACAUCUAGAUCACAAGCAAGGUUUUUGAAUAUCGAUAAGUAAAAAAUUAUUCAAAAUUCAUGAAAAUAUUUAGAGAAAUUCCAAAAAAUGAUAAAAUAAAAUAUAUAUAUAUAUAUAUAUAUAUAUAUAUUAAAGUUAUUUUUUAAGUGUAAUUGACAUUGGUAUGGUUAAAGAAAAAAAUAUCAGUAAACAAGGAUAUGUUGGUAUCAAUAAUUUAUUCUUUAUCUAAUGAAAUUAAUUUUAAUUUAUAAAAUAUUAGAACUUAAUUAUUAUUAUUUUUAUAUUUUAGUAUUUUUUGAAUAAAUUUAUAUUUUUAAUAUUUUAAAAUAAAAAAUUCAAAAUUAAAUAAAAUUAAAAUGAUAAAUAUAAAAAAAUUUAAAAGUGAAGUGAUAAUAAUUUUUUAAAAUAGGAUUAACGAGAUAAAUGAUGAUACAUUUAAUAUUAAAAUUAUAAUUUAUUUAAUUCAAAUGCAUUCAAUAAUGUAAAAUAAAUGAUGAUGCAUAUAUGACUUUUUAAAUUUUAAUUAUCAUAUAAAUGAUAUUAAAAAAUAUUUAUUAUGAAAAUUAUAAUGAUGAUUUUUAUAUAUUUAUUAAUUAAUUAAAUAAAUUUUAAAAUAAAAUAAUUAAAAUUUACUUAUAUUUUUUUUUAAUAAUGAACUUUAAGAUAUUUUUUAUCAUAAGAUAUUAACAAGUGGAAACUUGGCCUAGUGGCGAUCAAGCUUGAACCCAAGCAACAUAAAUGAAAUUUAAAAAUUUUGAAAUUUGAAAUUUGAAGGGGUAGGCGAGAGGCAGAGUUGACCACGUGAGUUGACCGAAAAAAUGGGGAAAUCUAGGCCAUUAGAUUCGAUGCACGAAGGAAAUGGCAAAAAAAAUCACUGAUAUUUCAAUGAUUUUUUGUCCUAUCCUCUGCUUGCCGCUACGCAUCACCCCACACUUGAUUUUUCACCGAUGUAUCUCAUCUGAAUUGAUAUAUCGUCGAUAUUUCGAUGAUUUUACCAAAAUUUUGUUGAUAUUCCUACUGAUCGAUAAUCGAUGCCCAAUAUCAUUUCAGAUACCACCGAUAUCCGAUAUUUCGUAGAUAUUUUUAGUGAAAAAAAAUUGACAUUUCAAUCCUUGAUCACAAGUAUGAUUUUCUAAGCACUUAUAUCUAAGGUUCAAAUUUUUUAAUGCUUCAAUUGUGUAGAUUUAGAGAUCCCUUGGGUAUUUUUACUUGCACCUCAACGAUUUAGGUCUUAGAAUGAAGUAAUCUAAAGAUUUUAACAAACGCUACCCUUAAAGUAGAUCAUGCUCCCUCUGAGUAUAUAGCUUGGUGUAAUAGGGUGAACAUACUAAUGGUGGGAUUUAGUGAGAAUGAAAUUUGAAAGUAUAUAACUUAUUGAGAUCACCUAAAGCAUGUAAUUAUUGUCCUUAACAUAGAUUAUAACCCUUUUGAGACUAUAGCUAAGUGUAGUACAUGUAGAGAAUUUCAAAUUAUUAUGUUUCCUAUUCUAGGAUCAGGUUAGACACAUGGAAACAAACACACACACACACACACACACACACACACACACACACACACACAGAUAUAUAUAUAUAUAUAUAUAUAUAUAUAUAUAUAUAUAUAUAUAUAUAUAUAUAUAUAUAUAUAUAUAUAUUGUCGAAAGUUUGCAUAGAUCUAUGAUCUUCUGUCCAAGGACUCAACCUCAAACCUUAACACUUUAUGGAGGUUUGAAGUAUGGAGGCUAGAACUCUCUAUUUGGAGGAUGGUGGAAGAAGAAGAAGAUUGAAACUCUAACCCUUAAGGGGGUAUUUAUAGGGUUCCUAUCGAGCUUAACUGACUUGAGCUUAUCAUGAGUUUGGGUUGCUUAAUUUAGCUUAAAAAAAGUCCAAAUUGAUUAAUUAACCUAACAUGACUGUCUAAUUACUUAAUUAACCCAAUAUAAAAAUACCGUUCACCAAUCCUUGUUUUACAAAAUUACCAAAACACCUUUAUGUACAUAAAGUGAACCAAGAUUCAAUUCAACCCUUAUAACCCAUGCCAUUAAGGUAUAUGAAUUAAAAUGAGAAUAAAUAAGACUCAUAGGACAAUACUGACUCCCUCAAUAUCCAAUUAUAAAGUUGAUUUAAUAUCUCACAAUAGAAAAUUAACCGCACUGUAAUAUUUUAUGGCUAUGUUUGGUUAGCCGGAUAUAGCAUGGGAUAAGAUAAGUUAUCCCAUCACUUAUCAUAUCUUAUGUUUAACCAAACAUGAGAUAUGAUAAUUUGUGAGAUAUAUUAUUCACCCUCUAUUUUUCAUCUCUUUCAUAUGAGAUAUAUUAAUCCAUGGGAAGAUAUGAGAUAUACAUAUCCCAUGUAUCAAAAAUUUAUUUAUUUUUAUCAAUUUUUAUUUUUAUUUUUAAUAUAUUCAUUUUAUAAAAUAAAUAUUUUUACUAUAAAUUAAAUUUACGAUUAAAAAAGAAAAACUAAAAAAAAUAUUUAUAAAAUAAUAUUAAUAUAAGAUAUAUAUAUAUUAUUUUUAUAUAUUAAACAAUUUAAAAUAAAAAAAUUUAUUUGUAAAGUUUAAAUAUUUUAAUCAUAAAUAUUGUUAAACAAAAAUGAAAUUUCAUUUUUUUUAAAUAAAAAAUAUUUGAAUGUGAUAUAAUUUUUAUUUUAAAUGUGGAAAAAGAAUAUAUAAUUCAUAUUAUUUUUUUUUAUUAAUUUUGCAAACUAAAUAUAAAUAUAAUAUAAUAUAGCAUAUCCCAUUGGAUAUGUAAUUUUAAAAUAUUAUAUAUAUAGAAAAUGUAUAUCUAAAGAUACCAUAUCCCAUUGGAAAUCAUAUCUUAGGAUAUGUACAUGAUUUCCAAUGGGAUAUGAUAUCAUAGGAUAUACAAAUCUUAUUUUAUCCUAUUUUGCCAAUCAAACGUAGUUUAUGAAAAUAAUAACAAGACAUUAAGUACUUAAAUCUGCGACCUACUAUUUGUUGUAUACAAUCUCCCCAUGAAUUGAUAUUUGUAAUAUAAUAAAGUGAAAUCUAUCAAUCUCUCAAGAUUACUUUUACAAUCCUUGAGAGUUCUAGAUCCUUCUAUGUGUGAUCAAUUAACAUAUCUUAGUUCAUAAUGAGCUAUGUCAAGUUCCACUUAAGGAACUACUAUAACCAUAAUUUUCCUGAACACAUUUCCUUAACAUCACUCAAGGGGACAUGUUGUCUUAAUCACAUGAGAUAUGAUGGUGUUUCUAUUGAAAAUACUUGUUGCUACCGACUUCCAUCAAUAGUGAUCCAAUCCAUAGGGAAUAUUUGAUUACUUUAGGAUCUUACUCGUAGGUCCAAUCCAUUGUUAACUUUAGCACAAACUUAGUAUCUCUCUCAAGGUUGAGAGACACUAUAACAUAGCAGCUUAAUGAAGUUAUAAUUAUCUAAUGGUCUUAUGUUAUGAUAUAAUGUAAGUCUUGUCAAAUGUGUAACUAUAUAUAUUAGUGCACCCACUAUGAGAAAUUCAUUCUAAUGACCAAGACCAACCAUCCUUCCAAUUAGAAGGUAGUCUAAUAUAACAUCUAAUAAAUUGUUUAAGUCCAUGAAUUGACUAUGAAUAAAUCAUUUACUUGCAAAAAAUUCAUAACUAGAUUUUCCUUGCAUCUCCUAAUGCACCCAAGUCAUAUACAAUGAAGGAGAUGAAAAACAUAAUGCUCAUAAGGUACAAUACAUGAAAUAAGGAUAAAUUAAAAUGCAAUUAAAACUUUAUUAAAUAAAUCAUAAACUCCAAAUUUGUUACAUUAUGCUAUGUUUUUAAGGGUUCUAUCUUAGCAAUAAAGUGGAUGACGAUCUACCUCUAAGAUACAACGAUGGAAUUAUAGAGAUUUGAUAUUCCUUCUUGCAAGACAGAAUGCUCAUGGGAUACAAUACAUGAAAUAAGGAUAAAUUAAAAUGUAAUUAAACUUAAUUAAAUAAAUAAUAGACUUCAAAUGUGUUACAUCAUAUUAUGUUUUUUAAAGAUUUUAUCCUAAUAGUGAAGUGGAUGAUGAUUUACCUCUAGGAUAGAACAAUGGGAUUAUAGAGAUUUGAUGUUCUUUUUUGUAAAACAGAAUGCUCACGAGAUACAAUACAUGGAAUAAGGAUAAAUUAAAAUGUGAUCUACCUAUACAGUUACCAUAUAUACUUAUGAAGGUUAGCCAUUUAUCAUUUAUUCUUCCCACAGGACACCCGUCCUUGAAAAAGACAUAGAAUGCUAAACCAUUCCUUCUUUAGGGAGGGAAUCCAUCCUCUACCUUAUAAGCGUUUUGCAUUGGUUGGUUGCCUCCGAAGAAAGGCCCCCAGAAUUCUCCCUCAACUCGUUUCGCAGGAAUUGGAAUUUUGGAGCACGAGAGGGGAACGGGACAGGGAAAAAAAUGCUUUUCCUUUCAUCACCUUCACACAAGAAGGUAAUGUGGUAUAGGUACAUGCUAUACUAUAAUAUGAGUCGGUAGAAGUGAUGAUGGAGGAAAAGCUAGCAAUUUGCAGGGGAUGACAAUGACGCCCAAGUUUAUCACUUGGGUAGGAAAGUUAUUCCUUUAAAAUUUCACCUGCCAAGCCCCCUGUGAUCAACAAUCCACCAUGAAUUCACUAACAGGAGUGAUGGGGAUCCAGUAUCCAAACAUCUCGAAUUACAGUAAUAAACAUAUUUAAAGAAGGAAGGGAAAGCAGCUAUGAAUUGAAAGGGAAAUUAACUCACUCAUUUAAUUAAACCCUAUUACAAGGCCCUAUUUACAUAUGUUCUUAGUAAUAUCAAACCAGAAAACAGAGCAUAUAGACCCCCCCACCCAAACACUGCAGGUGGAAAACAAAACAGAGAAACCCAAAUUAAACCUUCCACACCUCUCUACAAUUGAGAGAUUUAAUCAACCUCUUCAAUCUUGGGCCCUGCACCGCCGCCUGAGCCGGUGGAGCCCCCGUAGCCCGCACCAGGCAUGUCACCGGCACCGCCCAUGGACGCAUCUCCACCACUACCCUGAUACAUUUUCGCGAUUAUGGGAUUGCAGAUGCCCUCCAGCUCCUUCAACUUGUCCUCAAACUCUUCCACCUCUGCCAGCUGGUUCCCCUCCAGCCACCCUAUCGUGUCCUCCACCGCCUUCUCUAUCGCCUGCUUGUCGGGCCCACUCAACUUCCCGGCGAUCUUCUCGUCCUUCACGGUGUUCCUCAUGUUGUAGGCGUAAUUCUCCAGCGAGUUCUUCGCCUCCACCUUCCUCUUUACUUCCUCAUCCUCAGCCUUGUAUUGCUCCGCGUCUUUCACCAGCUUCUCAAUCUCUUCCUUACUCAGUCUUCCCUUGUCGUUGGUGAUGGUGAUCUUGUUCUUCACUCCGGCGGUUUUGUCUUCUGCCGACACGUUCAAAAUGCCAUUGGCAUCUAUAUCGAAGCAGACAUUGAUCUGGGGCACACCUCUCGGCGCCGGCGGGAUUCCGGUUAGUUCAAAUUUGCCUAGAAGGUUGUUGUCCUUGGUUCGAGCUCGCUCGCCUUCGUACACUUGGAUCAGAACUCCAGGCUGGUUGUCGGAGUAUGUGGAGAAGAUCUGCUCUUUCUUCGUGGGAAUGGUGGUGUUGCGAGGAAUCAACACGGUCAUGACUCCGCCAGCGGUUUCGAGGCCGAGACUGAGAGGCGUGACAUCUAGAAGUAGCAGAUCUUGUACUUUCUCGUUGCCUUCACCGCUCAGAAUAGCAGCUUGAACAGCGGCUCCGUACGCAACGGCUUCAUCGGGGUUGAUGCUCUUGCAGAGCUCUUUGCCGUUGAAGAAGUCCUGCAAGAGCUGCUGAACUUUGGGAAUUCUGGUCGACCCACCGACGAGGACCACCUCAUGGACUUGGCCCUUGUCGAUCUUAGCGUCGCGGAGGCACUUCUCCACCGGCUCCAUACACUUCCUGAACAAAUCCAUGCACAGUUCCUCGAACCUCGCUCUCGUGAUGGUUGCGUAGAAAUCAGUCCCCUCGUACAGAGAAUCAAUUUCGAUUGUGGUCUGCGUGGUGGAAGACAGAGUCCUCUUGGCCCUUUCGCAAGCAGUCCUCAACCUCCUCAGAGCCCUUGCAUUGCCGCCGAUGUCCUUCUUAUGCUUCCUUCUGAACUCCGAAACGAAGUGAUUCACGAGUCUGUUAUCAAAAUCCUCACCACCCAGAUGGGUAUCUCCAGCUGUGGCCUUCACCUCGAAUAUGCCCUCCUCAAUCGUCAGCAGAGAAACAUCAAACGUUCCGCCACCAAGAUCGAAGAUAAGCACAUUCUGCUCACCCUUUCGCGACGCCUUCUUGUCCAACCCAUAAGCAAUUGCUGCAGCAGUAGGCUCGUUGAUGAUUCUCAUCACGUUCAGCCCCGCAAUAGCUCCAGCGUCCUUGGUUGCCUGCCUCUGAGAAUCGUUGAAGUAGGCCGGCACCGUAACCACGGCGUUGUUCACACUGUGCCCCAAGAACGCUUCCGCUGUCUCCCUCAUCUUCACCAGCACCAUCGACGAAAUCUCCUCCGCUGUGAACUUCUUCUCCUCACCUUUGUACUGAACAACAAUAAAGGGCUUGUCGCCUGGACCCGGAACCACCUUGAACGGCCAGAGCUUCAUGUCGCCCUGCACUGAUGGGUCGGAAAACCUCCUCCCAAUAAGUCGCUUGGCGUCGAAGACUGUGUUAUUAGGAUUCAAAGCCACUUGAUUCUUCGCCGCAUCCCCGAUCAAACGCUCUGUAUCGGUGAAAGCAACGUAAGAGGGAGUAGUCCUGUUACCUUGAUCGUUGGGGAUGAUCUCGACUCGGUCGUGUAGCCAUACACCCACGCAGCUGUAGGUGGUGCCCAAGUCGAUGCCAAUCGCCUUCCCCUCAGCCUUGGAAGCAGCCAUCGAUGAAUCUCAAGAAACUCACAAUUAUCAGAAAGAGUACACUUGAAUGAGCGCCUUUCAAAACUGAUUUUUGAUCGCUUUCAAUUUUUCUAUGCAGUAAUCAGCGGAAAGAGAUAGUUUUAUAGGCGUUUUUGAUGAAAAAUUGAGAACUUUCGAGAGCUGUUGAGCGAAGCCUACGAACCAACACGUACGUUUUAAGAAAAACAGGGCACACUGUCAAGAGAGGAGUAGAGAGUUCUGGAGAGCUUCUUUCUGCUUCUGGAUGCCUUUGUUCGAAACACCCCUCAAUUACGUUAAAUUUACUGUGUCACUUCACCAUUUUGGCCAUAGUUGGAGAGGGUAGUUUGGGGAGAUGUGUUAAACGGUGUCGUUUCUACAUGGGAAUAGUCAGCGUUGAGGUGUCAGCUAAGCGACGGCUCCAUUUACACGUGGCUAGUGCAUGCGACAAGAGGCUUCUACACACUUCUUUCCAGCAUUACCUGACGGAUUUUGGGCCUGGACAGAGAUUCAAUCCGACUUAAUAUCUUUCGUGGCCCAUAUUGGCCCAUAUUGAUCCAGCUGAAGAAUGGGCCCAUGGUGGAGCAGAGAGUAGAAAGGACUAAGGAGAGAGAGGGGCGUCUGCGGAUAAGGUUGAGCUUUGAUGUGUUAGCUUCAGUCUCUGCGCAACGCCAUGGCUGGGCUAACCAGUGGCAUUCCCUUCAAACCCUUCAUUUUUCGAACCAAGACGACGUCGUCUCCUCUCUAUUUCUCCUUGGACUCACAGCUCUUCGGUGUCCGCCUCUGUAGCCCUACCUUCUCCAAAUGCCGCUCUUUCUCCUCCUCUCUCCAUCGCUCCGUCACCGCUCGAUAUGGUGGCUACCGCUCCUCCGGAGAUGCAUGGCGAUCGAGGCAGAGAGAUUCCGAUGAUGAUCAAGCUUUGGAUGUCUCCUCCAUCAGGUGUAUGAUUAUUGGUCUUAAUUCAAUCAAAACUAACUGUGGAUCGACUUAAUUGAAUUGGUUCUAAAGUGCUUUCUUGUUUUUGUGGUUGUUUGGUUUUGAAUAGGUCGGCUUCCGUAAGGCUUAUUGACGAGCAGCAGAAUAUGGUUAGUACGUCUGUUCUCAUUUUCCCUUGGGUUUUUUUGCUGCUAAAAUGUAUGAAAACUAUAUAUAUAUAUAUAUAUAUAUUUUCAUUUUUUAAAAUAAAAACAACAUGAAAUAAAGAUUUGAAUUGGAUUUUCUUUUUCUCGGUUUGCUCAGUAAUCAAAUGGGGAUUUGUGACUGUAUAUUCAGUAGACGAACAUAGUUUGUUUUUUUUCUUGUAGGUGGGAGUGGUGUCUAAAAGCCAGGCAAUUCAAAUGGCUGAAGACGCUGAACUUGAUCUGGUUUGUCUUUUUCAGUGAAUAUUUCAAGUUCUAGUUCAAGAUGUGUGGUUGCAUUGUGUGCCUAAUAGUUGGUUUUAUUUGUAUGUGCAAUGAAUGGAUUCAACUAGUUUCUACCAGUGUACUUCUUUUGAGUCUAUCUCUCUCCCUCCCUCCCUCUAAAAAAUUGCGUUUUGAUGUUCUCUGAUGCAUUACUCUUUCAAAUUGUUUCCCUCUUUUCCAUGGGGAUAAAUGUCAGGAUUUUAAUAUUCUAGUUUUUUAUGUUCUGUAUCCUUGAUGAGCAAUUAACAAAGUUCUUGAAUUUGUUGAAUCUCUUUCUCUCUCUCUCUCUCUAUCUAUAUAUAUAUAUAUAUAUAUAUAUAUAUAUUGCUAUUUCAAUUCAGUUAUAAAUCCAUGUUUAGUUUUGGAUUUGAGGCUGUUUGAGGUUGCUACAGUACCUUGGGUUUUAGUUUGGCUUCAUCAUAAAUUAUUUUUUCGGUUGGAGCCUGAGGUUAGAAAGAUUAGUUGGAAACCUAGAAAGAAAAAAGUGUUGAGAAACAGACUACUCACCAAUUUGUGAUAUCAGUUGUGUGCAUAAAUCAGACAAUGUUAAGAUGUGAUCCCUAGAGCAUAUUGCUUGCGUGAAUCAUUUUUAUCACAAGUGCACCAGAAUGCUGUGACUAGUUUCAUUAUUAGAUUGUGAAGUUGUUGUCCUUUUACUUCAAAUAUAUAAUAUACUCAAUCAACAAAGUCUUUAUGUUAGAGUGCAUAAUAUACAUUGUGAGCCUGAAUCCUACAAGUUUAAGUUUUUAGGAAAAUUGGUUGUUCAACACUUUAUUACAAUUCCUUGCAUUCAGCUGUGUUAAAGAGCAUGAUUGCAAUUGUGGAUCCAAGUCUUAGAAGUUUAAGCUUUUAGGAAAAUUGGUAGUUCAACAUGGUAUUAAAGCAUUGUUUGGAGGAAGUCAUGUGUUAAAGCCUCGGUGCAUGAUAUUUCUUUUCCCAUUUUUUUUGAUAGGUAAAAAAGAUGUAUAUAAAGAAAAGAGGAAGCACCAAAAGCAGUGCCUUCAAAGUAUACAUGGAGUAUACAAAAGAUGCCCAAAGGCUCAAACCAAAGGGGAUAGAAACAAAAAACAUUACCUGCCCUUACUUAGAACUUAACCAAUCAAUGAAGCUUACAAGUGAAGAAGGGCUCAAAACUAUAGACACCCUAACUCAAGACCAAAGAUUACAUACAAAAGAAUUUUUCAAUCUUUGGAGCGAAAGCUCCUCAUUACCUAAUGCUAACAUAUUCAUUUCCUUCCAGACUGCCCAAAAUAUUCAUAAGGGGGCCAUUUGCCAAGCCUUUUUACGAGCUUUCCCUACAAAAGCCCCAUGCUACCCAAGAAGAGUUUCCUUCAUUGAACAAGAGAGAAUCUAGGCCACACCAAAGAGGGAGAAAAGAAGAUUCCAUAGAACCCGAGUCUUUGCACAAUGAAGUAAAAGGUGAUCCACCUCUACUUUAGAGAGACAUAAAAAACACCUAUUUGCCAACGAGUGUCCCCUCCUUUGAAGUUGGUCCAAAGUUAAUACUUUACCCCAAGAAGCCUCCCAAGCAAAGAAAGCCACCUUAGGAGGCACACUCGCCCUCCAAAUACUACCACUAGGGAACAAAGAAGAAUCUCCGGGCUCCAAAAUAGAAUAAAGAGACUUGACUGUAAAGGUGCCACACCUCGAAGCUGUCCAAAUCACUCUAUCUUCCACCUUCCUUUGCACCUUAAAUGCUUGGAUCUUUUGCAAAAAACGCUCCAACAACUCUACCUCCCAAUCAUUAAAUGCCCUUGAGAAAAGAGGGGUCCAACCACCCCAUCACCAUCAGGGUUCCAAAUAUCCGAUACCCAAGCUUCUUUAGACAAAGAAAUGGAAAAUAAGGAAGGGAAUGACUCACAAAGUGACUCAUCUCCACACCACUUGUCCAUCCAGAAACUCACUCUCUUACCCACUUGGUAGGCCAACAUACCACUUAAAUAAAUCCACACCUUCCUAAUUGAUUUCCACAAUCUCACACCAUACCUCUCACUCAUUGCACGGGAGCGCCAACCCCCAUCCUCUUCACCAUACUUGUGACUGAUGACUUACUUCCAAAAAGUCUCUCUUUCAUGGGGAAACCGCCAAUUCCACUUACUUAAGAGAGCUAUAUUCAUUAAAGCUAGAUUUCUCACACCCAAACCACCUUUCCUUUUUACCAAGCAAACCAUGUUCCACGUAACAAAAUGCGGUUUCUGUACAAGAGCUCCACCACCCUAAAGAAAAUCCCUCUGAAUCUUCUGCAAUCUCAACCUCACUUUUCUUGGCAUGUAAAAAAGAGACAUGAAAUAGAUAGGCAUGUUAGAUAAAGUGCUUCAGAUUAGAGUGAGUCUCCCUCCUUUUGAGAUAUACUGUCUUUUCCACAUUGCUAGCCUUUUUCGAAAUCUCUCUUCAACUCCAUCCCACACAACCAUUGAUUUGAAGGGGCCCCCCAAAGGCAAACCCAAAUAGCAGGAAGGGAGACCACCCAUUUUACACCCCAACUUCAAGGCCAAGUCCUCUAUAUCAUGCACCCUGCCCACCGGAAUUAACUCGCUCUUCUCCAAAUUGAUUCUCAAACUUGAGCAAGCCUGAAACCACAUGAGAAGCCAACUUAGAUAAGUCAUCUGGUCUUGAGACGCCUCACAAAACACCAAUGUAUCAUCAGCAAAUAACAAGUGCAAGAUUAGAAUCCUCUCACCACUCUUGCCUCUCACCCUCCAACCAAAUAAGUAGCCCCCACUAAUAGCCCUCCUCAAUAAACAACUAAACACCUCCAUGGCUAUCACGAACAAAUAAGGGGAGAGGAGAUCUCCUUGUCUCAAUCCCCUCGAACUUUGGAAAAAAUCGGAAGGAGAACCAUUUAUUAAAACAAAAAAUUUCACAGUAGAGAUGCACCAUUCUAUCCUAUUUAUCAAUUUCUCCCCAAAACCCAUCUUUCUAAGCACUGCAAUCAAGAACUUCCAAAUUGACAUGAUCAUAUGCCUUCUCUAUAUCCAACUUGCACAACACACCUUCUUCAUUGCUUUUCAACCUUGAGUCCACAGCCUCAUUUGCAAUCAAUACUGUGUCUAAAAUUUGUCUACCCUCCACAAAGACAUUUUGGGACUCCGAAAUCACUUUGCCCAUUACCUUUUAAAUUUUAUUAGCCAACACCUUGGCCAGCAACUUAUAGAGGCUGCCCACAAGGCUAAUCGGCCUAAAAUCUUUCAGGUCUCCUACACCUCCCUUCUUAGGGACUAAAACCAGGAAAGUAGCAUUCAAAGACUUUACAAAUCUUCCCCUCUCAUGAAAGUCUCUAAAAAAACCCAUAACCUCUACCUUUUACAAUUUCUUUUCCCAAUUUAUUAAGCCUGAUUGUGGUUGAUAUUUCUUUUCCCAAUUUGUUAAGCCCAAAAGAGGCUGAUUGUGGUUGUUUUGUUAUGGUCUGUGUGUCUCUCUGCUUAUGGUUAUGGGGCUAUACAUGAGGGAGGGUGUUAAAAAACAUGAUAUAUAUUGUGGACUUAAAUUUUGCAAGUUUAAGGUUUCAGGAAAAUUGGUAGUUCAACAAUCUGCAUGUGCAAAUUUUUGUGAUUUCUCUCUAUCCAAGUUCAGUAAUUCCUAUGAUGUCCUUUCUCAUCACCUUGACUGAUAUUCUCCACAAGAAUUGCGCAAUAGUUUACUUUUACUUUAAGAAUAUCAAGGAACUCUUGCCUUUUGCUUGGAGCUUUUUAAGCUAAGAUCUCCGUUGUCUUGUUUGCCUUUUUGUUCUGUGUUCUUUUUCUUUUCUCUACUUUUAAUUAAAAAAAUGCUAUUUUUUACUUGGAAACUCAUUUGUUUUUUAAUUUCGAUUUAUGCAGGUAGUAUUAUCUCCGGAUGCAGAUCCUCCUGUUGUCAGAAUAAUGGAUUACAAGUAUGAUGCAUUUUGAUAUCUUUGGUUCUGCACUGCUUAUAUGAUAGAUGGGAAAAUUUUGCUCCUGCCAUAAUAUUUCCCUUGCCUCCACUGCCACCCUUUUUUUUGUUGCAUCAAAAUUUUCUCAAACAAUGGACGUUAAGUGCAUGUCCAAGUCAUCAUGGUUUGUAGUUCUCUAGGACAUUGAUCAAAUUUUAGAGCAAUGAAUGACAAACUGGUAACCCUGCAUGUGUAUCAUUUGUACAUGAUGAGUGAUUGAGUGUUCCUGAAGAAUUCUUAUUUGACAUACCGUAGAAGCAAAGUCAAUUUAUCAGUUCAAAAAGGAAUGAAAAGUGUUAAUUUUUUAUAUUAUAAAUUCGAGUAGUUUUUUUAUUCAGGAUUAAUCAGAUAAUUCUAAUGUUUGAUUAUUUUUCAGUGCACAUUUUUUUUUUAAUUCCUAGAAAUCGAAGGUUUCAGGUUUACAAGGAGAGGAUAUAGUGGUUUUGUUUGAUGUCGUCAAAAUUUCAAUUUACUUUGUUAUGAACUUUUCUGUUCUGUAUUAGUAUCUCUAAACAUGGUGUUAUCUGUAUGCUGCUUUUAUUGUUAAUUUUAAUGUCAUUUGUAGCAAAGGUUUAACACUCAGUGGGUGUAUCUUCUAUUAAAUCACUAGCUAUCAUGACUACUUUAACCACCAAGAUUUUUUGUUCUUUUUUGCUUCUCUCCUGUCUCAGGUAAACCUUUAAUUUGAACCAUAUUACUUCUUUUAAAUGCUAUCUAGUAUAAUUAUUACUAAACUUGCCGUUGAGGCUUGGUUCAAGUGAUAAAGCGAUGGGAUGGUUUUUGGGAGGUUUCAUGUUCAAGGCCAAUAGGGACUAAACUUUACCUAAGAUUAAAAAAAAAAAAAAAAAAAAACUAAAAUUUUCUUUUUGUUUAAAUCUUUUAAUUUUCUUAAUGUUUGAUGAGGACAUUAAGGUUGAUUUGAAUUUAUUUUGCAUAGAAUGGAAAAAGUUUCAAUUUUUCCACUAGGAUGGAACCAAUGUGAAAAAGGAAAAAUUAGGGUAAGAUGUAGUAGUAUCAAAAUAUUUGAAAAACUAUGACUAUUUUUUUUUUUUCAAUCCAAACAGAUUAAUAUAGGUUUUAUUUCAUUUAAGGAGACUAAUUACUGUUAUUUAAGAUAAUGAAUAAAGUACUCUUAUCUUAUGAUCUUUAUAAAUUUAAAAGAUAUCUUAACCUAAUCUAUACCGUUUCAAUUGCAAAAACUAUUAAAAUAAUAAAAAAUAAUCUAGUAUUUUCUUGUUUAAUUGCAAUGAAAAAGAAAAAAAUAUAAUAAAAUUAUUUUAAAUUUAUAUUUCUUGAAACUCUUUAUUCUUUACUUAAAAAGCCAUUAAAAUUGUAAAUUGUAUUUUUCAGUAAUAAGAUUAAAAAUAGCAGGGAAACACUAAGCUCUAUUAGUUUUAAGAGAAAAUAAAAAAUUUCAACUCAACAAUUUAGAUUAAGUUGAAGUGAACAAUAAUUUGAAGUGCCAUAUGGUAUUGGAAAUUGGGUUGAAGGUAUUUGAACAAGAUGAGGUUCUUUGAGAAGGGCAAUGAAUUUGUGACUUAUUUUCUAGGUAAUAUCCAUAAGUUAGUUAGUUAUUAUUUGAUUAUAUGAAAUUUUAUACUUAGAAAAUAAAAUUUUUUAUUGUCUACUAAAAGGCUAUAAAUCUAAUUUUGAGUGACUGGCCUCUUUAUAUGAAAUAAAAUGUGUUUCCAUUUUUUUAGAUAAAAAAAAAAAUGAAAGGAUAAUGACAUUUUUCAAAUAUAUUUAUAUUAUUACACUUAUCAUAAUUUUCCUGUAAAAAAGUAUUGGUGUUUGAAUUAGUGUCUUCCAUAUACUCAUAUGCUUCUAUAUGUUAUUUUUAAUUUUAUUGGUAUUUCCUUGUGAUUUGUUUCCAAAAUGCGUGGUAAUAUAUGGUUUUACUUCUCUAACAGUAAGUAUAGAUAUGAACUGCAAAAGAAGAAAAGAGGACAGCAGAAGAAAAGUGCUGGUGAUUGUCUUAUAUGUUUUAGUUUUCUGUUAUUUCUCUUAUUGAUAUGAGCAUUUAAGUACUGUGAAAAGUUGACCAGAGUGUGUUCUUGACUCUUAGCCAAUCGCAUGGAUUUAAAGGAGCUCAAAAUGGGGUAAAGUACCUGCUCUUAUUUUUAAUUUUGUUUUACAAUUCAAUCUAUUUAGCUUUGAUUUCCUGCAUGUUGGUUUAGUGAUUGAUGACUUUAGUUACCGUGAAAUGUUGGCGUUUCUAUAUUUACAAUUUGAUAAAUAAUACUUUGAUAGACAAAUAUUCAUUAUGUCAACAAUGGCUAACAAAAGAGUGUAUUAAAGUAUAAAAAAUGUAAACAAAGUCGCCAAAAGGCCAAUCUAAGUGGAGGGAUACGCAAAAACAAUUCCCACAUUACUUCAUAGAGCUCAACCAAUCAAUGAAGUCCAUCAUGGACAAAAAAAAUCUCAUAUGUACACUCAUCCUCUCUAAAAAAUUAGAAAAAAUAAUUGUUUGAUAUCUUGAUCCACUUUUUCACCAUUCUCAAAUGCUCUCUUAUUUAUCUCAUUCCAUAUGAUCUAGAAUAGGCGUAAGGGAGUCGCUUUUCUCUUUCUCCCAAUGAAGACUCCAUGCUAGCUUAGGAGGCCAUUCUUGACUAAGGAGUGCGUUGCCUACUCUAUACAAAUAGAGCAUAAAUCAGUUGCCACAAGAUGACUGCUUUCAAGUAGUGAAGGAGGAUGUCAUCAACCGUUUAUUUUUCUUCUUUAUACAUAUGGCAUCUAUUUGGCAUUGUCUAUCCUUACCCUUUGAGUUGGUCUAACAUCAUUAUCCUUCCCCACAAAGGAGAGAGUGGCCUUUUGCUAAUAGAUUUUUCUUUUUUUUUGUGUAAAGUUGAAGAAGUCUAUUGAUCAUAUUCUCCUCCAUUGUUGCAAGACAAAGGUCUUAUGGCAGCUCCUCUUUGCUUUGCUUGGUGUUUAUUAGGUCUAACCUUCCAUAGUAAAAGGGAAUCUCUUAUUUUGGCAUGGAAACCUUUGUGUGCAGAAGGCCUAAGGUUGGGAGAGAAGCUCCUUUAUGCAUUUUUUGGAUGCUGUGGAGAAACGAAAUUGAAGGUCUUUAGAUAAUGUAGAGCAAACGAAUCUUUCGUUGAAAAAUUCUUUUUUGGUAAUCUUUUAUUGUCGGUGAAAUUGCUUAUAAAGGGAUGUUCUAUGUCUUUAAUCAAUUUUGUAGAUUGGUUGUUGUCUUUCUAAGGAGGGCGGGGAGAGUUUUUUUUAGUGCCCUCCUUUUGGUUUGUGCCUUUUGGCACCUGUUGUAAACAACUUGUGUACUUUAGUGCGCUUUUUGUAAAUCUUUAAUCAUUAUAUGGAUUUUAUCAUCUAUAUUGCCUAUGUUUAAUCUUCUCAAAAACACUAGAUCGAUGUUGGAAACCUCAAAAUUAUUAAUAGAAAAGGAUUUAUUCCUUUCGCUAAGAAAAUAAAGUUUUUUCAAACAAGUUUGUUUCCUAGGAUAUAAUAUUGUCCAAGGCUUAAUAGUUCCUAUUGAUAAGGCUAUUGAAUUUGCAAAGAAAUUUCUUGAUGAUACAAAGAGAUAAAAGGCAAUUGUAGAGGUUUCUAGGAAGUCUUAAUUAUAUUGUAGACUUCUACAAAGACACAACUUUUGACAUCCAACCUCUUUUCAAAGAUUAGAGAAAAAUCCUCUCAAGUGAGAUGAAAAGUGUAUUAGGGUAGUUUAGAAGAUUGAAGUCAAGGCUAGAGAACUCUCAUGUAAACAUUUCUCAUCCUACCACCUCAAAAAUAGAAACGAGUGCAACUGAGAUGGGAUAUGGAGGAAUCCUUGAACAAAUUAUAGAUGGAAAAGAGGUUUUAGUGAGAUUCACCUAAGGAGUGUAAAAAUGACACACAACAAAAUUAUGAUACAAUUAAGAAAAAAAAUUCUUUUUAUUGUGUUAUGCAUCAUGAAAGUCCAAGAUGAUCUCCUAAAUCUCCUAAAUAAGAAAUUUCUUUGAAAAGUGGAUUGCAAAAGUGCCAAAAAAGUUAUAGAAAAAGAUGUAAAAAAUUUGGCUUCAAAAUAAAUUUUUACAAAAUGGAAAACCUUGCUGUCAAUCUUUGAUUUUGACAUAGAACAUAUUAAAGUAGAAACAAAUUGUUUGCCAAAUUUCCUAAUUUGUGAAUUUUUGUGGGGCUUCAGAGAGGCUAGCAAAGUCUCCUUAUGAAAGAAAAGAAGAAUAUUCCUCUUAAGGCUAAAAUGCUCUCUACAACAUAGGAAGUUUUAUAUGUAGAAACAAUGAGCAAAUUUGUGGUUAUUAUUGAAGAUGAGCAGUCAUAAGAAUACUGAUGAAGUUAGUAGAGCUUUAUCUAAGGGAUCAUUUUAAUCCUUUAGCAGCCAAUCGUACAUUUGCCUCUUGGUAAGGUGAUUAGUUCCCAAGUGUCAUUCUUCUUUAGAGUCUCCAUUUCUUCUAUUAUAGCUUUCUUACCAAAAAAGAGUUUGAACAAGCGAGUACCAUACCAGCACGAGAUUGAGUUGGCUUCAAAGCUUGCCGUUCCGUAACCAUAAGUAGUUAUGAUUAUUGUGCCAAUGGUAAGGCAAACUUGGAAAUAAGGUUAAAAUGCUAAUUUUGUAGCCGCAAAGAGAUAGAGAUUCAAAAAGAAUGAAAAAGACAGAGAAGCUAGGAUAACCAACCAUUUCACUUGAAUUUGUAGUAAGCAGUACCCUUCGCAAUUAGAGGAGAAAGAAUCUUUUUUUGUUUAUCUUUCUUGGCAUCAACAACCUUAAGAACCAUAGGUGCUCCAAUAGGCAGGUUGGGGAUCGUUUUUUAUAUUAUUAGAUGAUACACUAGCUCAUAAUUGGCUUAUUUAAUUUCAAAUACCAAAUAAGGUCAUAAAUUUUUCAAAUUGGUUUAAAGAUUUGAUUUUCAAUUAGGGAUUCACUAAUGAUAUUUUUUCAAAAGAAGUUAAACCUUUUAGGAAAUUUUGAGGGCGUAAUACUCUUAGAAGAUGAUGUCUUCCUUUACUUCAGAACCCUUUAUGAAAUCCUGUGGAUAGUCAAAUAGGAGUAUGCCUCCACAUCAACCACUAGAGCAUUACUACUCAUCCAGAACAUGACAAAAUUCAUGUGAUUUUUCUAUUAGAUUAUCUUCUUUGCCCCUUUAGUUAUUGUAUCCCUUCCAUAUAAGGAAGGUUGGUUGUUGUAAAGGGCAUUGUUCUCUUAGUUAUCUUCAAAGCGUUUCAAAAGUUUGAAGAGAGUAUUUGAGUGUGAACUCUUAGUGUGAAAGGAAGUUUCUUGGUGUGAACUUGUUGCUACUUUCGCCUAGUGUGAAGGUAAAGAUAUCUCUUUUUAUUAAAUUAGGUACUUGGGUGGAAAUUAUGUCAUUUAAGAUGCUUUCGUGAUAUACUACUAAAAUUUAAUGCUUAAAGAAAUCUCAUAUUUGAAGUGUUGUUGUAAAUAUCAUCAUUUAGUCAUAAUACUCAUCUUUUCUACCACUCCAAUUAUAGAUAUCAUUAAAUUCAAAAUAUAAUCUAAAUAAACAUAUAUGCAGUUGAAGUUAAAAAGAGAUAAUAGGAAGAGAUAUCUUACAUUUACACUUGGAGAAAGUGGUUACAAGUUCACACUAAGAAACUUCCUUUCACAUUAGGAGUUCACAAACAAAACUCUCUCUUCAAACUUUUGAAAGGCUUUGACAAGAGAAUGAUGCCCUUUACCACAACUAACCCUUCCUUAUACAAAUGGAUAUGAUAAUUAAUGAGGCUCACUAUAAAGAAGAUAAGAUUAUAGAAAAAUCACAUGAACUUUGUCGUGUCUUGGAUGAGCAAUAAUGCUUCGAUGGAAUCAUCCAUCUUCAUGUGAAUACAAAUGAAUUUCCUUGAAAGCAAGUAUUGCCAUAGCUGUCCUUUAGAUUCUAUUUCCUAUCAAUACCAUGUGAACCAAUUGGAGCCAUGUGAAUUAUAAUAAAAGCAAAUUUUGUUUUAACGAUUCUUUUAAAUUGUCAAGAACUUGUGAAAAAUCUUUGCCAUAGAUGCCAUCUAGAUUUAUUGUAGAUCUAGAUGUGGCUUGAGUAUCAGACAAAGUAGUUAGCAAUUUUUCUUUAAGCUCUUCAUUGGAUAAACCUUUAUCCUUUUCUUCUAUUAAAGAAAGUAUAUCUUCAUCCAUAGUGAUCGAAGAUGAGCCAUUUAGUCUGAGCUUAUGUUAGAUAAUGACUAUGUAAAGACAGGAGGGUCAAGAUAUUCAUAUAUAAAUUUGGGCCACAGUCUGAUUGAUAUUUUCCUUUAGAGUUUAGGCACCUUGGCGUAUUUGUCAUGGCUGACAUGGAGGUAUACUCCCAUUUAACUAUCCAUGGGAUUUCAUAAGUGUUGUGAAAUGAAGGAAGACAUCAUCUUCUAGGAGUAUUACACCCGCAUUUUUCAAAUAAAAUUGUCUAAAAGACUUGUCAACUUAUUUGGGAAACUUUCAUUAGUUAAUCCCUAAUUGAAAAACCAAUUUGGAAAAUUUAUGACCUUAUUUGGUAUUUGAAAUUAGAUAAACCAACUGAGUUAGCUCAUCAUUCUGAUAAUAUAAAAAGUGAUCCAAGCUUGAAUAUAAUGAUGGAAAUUAAAGGCUUUUAGAAAAACACUUUUGUCUUUAAAAAACCUAAGUUUCCUUAGAUCAAAACCCCAUUAUAAGGCGAAUAAUACUUUAAGUAUUAUAAAUUUUCAAAAAACAAUAUUUUGUUUAUAUUAAUGAUGAUUCAAAUCAAUAGAUCCAAUUUUGUUAAAAUAGCUUCAUAAAAUUUCCUAUUUUUUGAGAGAAGGCUAGGAUUAAAAUUAUCUCUUAGACAAAGCUUUGCUAAUAUACUACAUAUGGAUGCUCCUAUGUUUUUGAAGGCAUUUUACCCUUAGAGGAAUAUUCUUCUUUUCUUUCAUAAGGAGGCUUUGUUGGCCUCUUUGGAGCCAUACAAAAAUUUACGAGUUAGGAAAUUUGGCAAACAAUUUGUUUCUCCUUCAACUAUGUCAAAAUCAAAGAUUGCUAGUAAAGCUUGCCAUUUGACAAAAAUUUGUUUUGAUGCUAAAUUGUUUACAUCAUUUUUUAGAACCUCUUUGUCACUUUUGCAGUCUACUCUUUAAAAAACUUUCUUAUUCAAGAGAUCAUCUUGGAAUUUCAUGAUGUAUAAUACAAUAGAAAAAAUUUAUUUCUUAAUUGUACGACAAUUUUGUUUUGUGAGAUUUUAGACUCCUAAGGUGAACCUCGCUAAGACCAUCUAUAAUUUGUUUAAAGAUUCCUUUAUAUCCUAUCUCAGGUGCUUCCGUUUCUUGUGAUAUCUUACAUUGGAUAGGGGAAAAAGUUUUUGAUGCUAUAUGUAUAUGACCUCCUCUUAACCUUAUAGACACAUUUAAAGUCGUGAAGACCCUUUAGUCUCAUAAUGGAGAAUAUCUACACAGUUAGGAGCGAGUCGUUACAUAUGACAUCAAAGCCAAUCCUUAACUCUUGUAUAGGUGUUUGUUUGGCCUUGUAAGGGAUGUCUAUCUAUUUAGUUCAACAAUCCUAUGUAAGGGGUGUUUGCAUGGGGGAUGAUUGUGAUAUCUCACAUUAGAUAGGAGAAAAAGUUCCUGGACUCAAGUGAUUGUUAUCCCUGACCCUAAUGUAGGAGUUUGUUUGUUCUCGUAAGGGUAUAUGUCUGUUUGAACUCACAAUCUUAUAGAACACAACGAGGACGUUGUGUUUGCAUAGAGGAUGAUUAUGAUUUCCCACAUUAGGUAUAGAAAAAAGUUCUUGGUGUUAUAUAUGUACAAACUUCUCUUAACCUUGUAAACACGUUUUAAAGCUAUGAAGGCCCCUUAGGCCCAAAGUAGACAAUAUCUACAUGGUUGGGAGCAAGUCAUUACAUUUCUACUAUUUUCAAGGUGGUAGAACAAGGGAUUUAGAUAAGGGAGUUCUCUAGCCUUGACUUUAAUCUUUUGAACUGCUUAAAGGUUCACAUUUAAAUUAUUCUUCACUUGAAUUGUAUGCAUUAACUUCUUUAUGCCAAAUUUGCCCUACAAAUUUUGAUUUACAGUUAGAACAUUACUUUUAAUUAGGAAAAAGAAAAAGAAAAAUGAAAACACUGGACACUGCUCUUUCAGAAACGGAAUAGUCUAGGUUAAUAGACAUUGGCUCCGUUUGAGAUACUCUUUUGCUAUCUUAAAGCCCUUUGGACUGUUAAAAAGCUUUAGAAUGCAUUUGAUUACACAUUACAAAUUGAAGUGAAAGAGUUUAGCCCUAAAUUUUUUUUAGUAAAAGUUUUGAAUGGGGUGCUUUUAUGGAAAAGCUACAUGAGGUUCACAAUUUGAAUUAGAUUUUUUUUUUAUGCCUAUAAAAAAUGAUUUUUUUUUUCCACAUUAAAUGGAAACCUCUUCUUUAACCAAAGAAGCUCUUCACUAGAGGUUACAAAAAUGGCAAACUCUACAAAUGUGGUAACAUUAAAUUGCAAAACAUGUAAUAGUGAUGAAAUUUUAUUGUAAAUAGAACAUGGACUAGUGUUCAAUUCUUUUUUAUUUCAUUUUAAAUAGAUUUUUCUCAAGUUGUAUGCAUCUGAAAACUAGAUCUACUGCUUGAUUUAAGACAAAAGUUUAGAUGAAUUAUCUUCUGGAAUUAAGUAACAAAAAGUAUUUCUAUAACUACACAUUUCUUUUUUUCAAUGAGGUCAGUUUACUUUAAUAAUUAAUAGAAAAUUGGAAAUACAGCUUCUUCUUCUUCUUCUUCUUCCUCCUUUUUAAAUAACAAAGCUUAUUUGAAAUAGAAAUUAAAAUAAAAAUAAAAUCAUUUUGAGGUCCAUGCUUGGAGAAAAACUAAAGAGCAACUUUAUAUGCGUGUUAAAUCACAUAGAGAAUCUCUAUAGAGCUUUUAUUUUGACAGCACUUCUACACUGCUAUUCUUGUGUCUAGCAAAAAAUAGCGAACUGAAUAUCUAGGACUGGGGUGAAUGCUUUGAUCUAUCAGGAGUUCAUUGCACCAACAUCAUGAAAUUUGAACAUCAAACAAAUUUUUUAUGAUGGGAAGUAUGAAAAGGACACAAAGUCCCAUUUAACAGAAAUAAAUAACUAUAAGUAAUAAAUUCUCUAGAUAAUUAUAAGAUUCUAAUGCAAUAGUAAAAUCUUCUCAUUUUACUAAACCACCAACAUUACAUCAACGAAAAUUUCUGACAGAAAUUACCCAUUUCUAAAAUUUUCUAUCACUUAGAAAUCUGAAGGAGUAAUAAAUAGGGUUGGGUUAUUACUUAGUAGGAUUUAUUCCCAAACUAACAAUCACGCUCUCUAGUUUUUGUUACCAAGAAUUGAAAUUAAAUUAAGCAUAACCUAUUAUUUAGCAUAAUGCAUACCAAAACUUGUAUCAAAAUAAAAUAGAAUAAUAUAAUCCAAAACUCAUUUACAAUAAUAAGCAUUAUUUUUUAAGUUAUUCUCCCUCCUUCGUUCUCACUUAUCCAUCUGUCUGUAUUUAAUUGCAAGUUUCAAUGUUUUCCAUUAAAAAGUUUUAUUUGCUGGACUUAGUCAAAAGUUGAAGUAUAUAAAUAGAUUGUUGCUUCUUUUUAUAUUUGUUUACCAUCAUAACUAUUUUUGUUGAUGUUUUUGACAGUUAUAACAUUGAUUCACAUGAUUAUUCUGUGCGUUUGAAAGCUGCAAGAAAGUUUCUGCAAGAUGGUGACAAGGUUGCUUGGAACUUCCUCAUCAUAUCAAUAUAUAUAAUCAUACAUACAACUGCAUAUAGUAUCUAUUUCAAUUUUGAUUUUACUGCAUUGAUUUUCUCAUCAAUUCCUGUAGGUCAAGAUUAUAGUGAACUUGAAGGGCCGUGAAAAUGAGUUCAGGAAUAUUGCUAUUGAGCUUAUCAGACGUUUUCAGAAUGAUGUAGGAGAGGUAUUCAUAGUUUACAAUGUUUUCCUCUGAAUGAAUUAUAUAAUACAUUUUGAAAAUCCCACAUAAUAAAGAGAAAAUAACAUUGUAUGGAAAAUUUGAAAUCUUGACUCAAAAUUAUGGAAAAUGUUUCUUUUACCUAACAUUUCUACUAAAUGUCUUUUUCUUUGUGAGGGCUACUGACACUCACAGAAUAAAUGAGAGCAUGCUGAUGCUUUAGUUGGUGAGAGGAAUUGAAUGUGAAAGUCUCAACUCUUGGAAUAAAAAAAGUUCUGUGUAGUGUUUCUUGGAAAUUAAAUAUGAUUUUAGCUUGAACUGUAAAUUUAAUAUGCUAGAUAAAAAAGGUUCAAUAUUCUUUUAGAGAGGAAUUCUAUUCAAGAAAGAAAUAGUUCUUUGAGAAACAGACAUGGAUCUAAGGUUUGCAUUUGGUUACCACUCAACCUGCUAAGCCUUGGUCAACACUCCGCUACAGAAUCAUCUUGUACCUCCAGUGUGCUUGGGUCUAUCUCUUUCGUUAAGGCAUGCACAGAAUCUGCAGAACUGGAAGCAUGCACUUGGCAAUUUUAGCUCCUAUAAUCCCUAUCAGAAUCAAAUGACAAAAGAGGGAAAAAUAACUUUUCUCCCUCUAAUGGUCGAGUAGUGCAUCUAUUUUUGUGUCAAUAUUCAUUGCAGCUGAUCUCACUGGUAAUGUUAGUGACCAAUAUCAUAUUUGUCAUGCCAUGAAAAUUGAAUCAUUCAUAUUGUUUUUUGUUGCGUUUAAGCACACAAGUUAUCCCCUGGAAUGCAGCAUGGAAUUUUGGACUAAUAUUUGGUGCGGGGACCUUCAAAGGCUACAUAAUUGGUCUUGAGAUUGUGGGAGCCAAGUUUCUCCAGACAUUUCCUUGAUUGGGAGCUUGAGAUGGUGGAGUAAUUUCUUUCUUGCUGUUGGGAGUUUAUGGUCACUGAGGACAGGAGGAUAGGUUAGUUUAGAAUGUUACUAAGAGCAGCUAUAUCAAUUUCAGUGCUUUUCCCAGGCCUUCUGAGUGUUUCCACCUCCCUGGUGAGGGAUAUUUUGGAAUCCUUUGCACCUUCAAAGGCAGUGCUCCUUGUGCAGGAGGCUGCUUGGAAGAUCCUUACUAUUGGCAAUUUGGCAUUGCAUGUGCAUGCAAGCAGAGGAGUCAGCUAACCACCACCUAACUCUUUAUGACGUGGCUUGUAACUUAUGGGCAUCAUAUUUGCUGCUUUGGUAUCUCAUGGGUAGUUCUCAUCUCAGCAAAGGUGAAAAUUUUGAGUUGGGACACUAUUUUCAAGGGGAAGUGCAAAUGGAAAGUAGGGAAAGUGGAUCCUUAGAGUAUUUUGUGGUGUUUCUGAGAGUAGUAGAAUGAUAGAAUAUUUGAAGGGGUAAAGCGGUCACUAUUGGUCUGGAAGAUUUCUUUCUGAAUUCUAUAUUGGUAAAGUUGAAGGUCUCAUUGUCGUAUCUGUCUCUUGUGACGAGGUUGUUAGAUUUAUCAAUGAAUUGGGGUUUGGUUGAGAUGUUUUUGUGGAUGUUUUGCAUUCAUUUUUAUUCCUUGUUUGAGGUUUAGGUGUCCUUGUAUAUAUGUUGUGUUUGUUUAUUAUGUACUUUCUUUGCCUGACAAAAUAAAUAAUGAAGAAUGAAGAAAGGAAGAAAGAAAGAAAGAAAGAAAGGAAGUCAUAAUGGAUAUUUGACCAUAAAUAUUUGUAAGAUACAGUCAUUUCAUUAAAUUUGAAAUAGCAUGCCCAUGGAAGGAUGUCUUCCUCAGCUGUGCAGCUUGUUUGGCUUCUCUCUUUUGGAGCCUAUUUUUUCCUUUUUGAUCUGAUUUUGUACACUUUUGAAGGAUGCCUUGUCCUUCUUGUUAUAUGAAAUGAAUUGUUUCUUAUAAAAGAAAUCUCAUGCCUAUCAAAUAAACAAAUAAAUAAAUAGAAAAAAUCCAUAUUUUAAAACAAGGCCUAGACUUGUUCAAACGCAACCAAAAAAACAAUGGGGUGAAUUUCUUGAAGGGCACAAGGAGUGGGGAGGAUUCUCUAGAUUUGUGGAUUUUUAGGUUGGCAAUGGGGAAAAGAUGCAACAUCGAAGUCUUUUGUGGUGUGGCUUUGGGAGUUGAAAAGGAAUUCUGCUGUCUUGUACUGUACUGCCGACAAAGUAGCUCUAAACUACUUAGAGUGAAAAAUUAAAGAGAGAAGCUGGCAGAAACAUUCAUGCAAGACAUAUGGGGAGUUCAAAGAGGAUGGAGAGAGGAUGAUUCUGUUAGGUGGAAAGUGUACAAAGGUGGGUUUUCCCCCUGUAAAGUCAUAUUUUGAGGCUAAAUUAGGGAAUAGAGCGAGGCAAUCUCCUAGGAAGGAGAUACUGGGUAUGCAGACACCUUCACUGGUGGCUUUUAUGUUUAUCAAGGGGAGGAUCAAACUAAUGGAUCAACUGAAAGAGAGUAUAAGUUCUUUCAAGUUGGUUUUGUAUGUGUAAAAAUGAUGGAUAAGAAUCAACCUACCUUCUCCUUUGUUGCAAUAUAUCUAGUGGAUUGUGGGACUUGGUGUUUGUGUUAUUCAUUGUAAAGAGGUGAUGCUUUGUUUGGAUUGAUGAAGUUAUUUCCUUGUACAAUGUUUGCUCUGUUGAUAGGAGAAAGAGAAGCUUUGGAAUGUGGUUUCAACAUACUUGAUGUGGAUUGUUUGGAAGGAGAAGAAUGGAUGUAGUUUGAAGAUGAGGAAUUCCCAGUUUUGAAGAUAAAUGAGAUGUUUCUUAGAUUGCUUUGUGUGUGCUGAUGUGAGGUGGUAGUAGUUUACCCAUUCUGGUGACUUCUAUAAAAUUUUCUUGCAUAUGAGAAGAAAAAGAAAAUGUAAACUGAAAUUAACAUUCAAUUUCUAUAGCAUGUGCAAAUACUGUCUGUAAAUCAAUUAACAUUAGCAUGUUUGAUUAAAUGUGUAACUCUAUUCCUUUGCUGCUUGAACUCCAAGUUUGGUUUCUGAAAAUUGUCCAAGGGGAGCAUUGGGGCUGCCGUCUUGGUUUGUGCAUCAUUAUUUUAUCUAAGAUUUCCUUUCUUUUAAAAAUUCUACAAGACGUGUUUAAUUCUGCUUUUGUGUUUAGUUUUACUUGACCUUGAUUACAGUCGCUUGUUUUGGUUCUACACUCAUUUUUCUCCUUCCAUUUUUCUUGUUUGGAUGCUAUGUUUGGCAGCUUGCGACUGAGGAGAGCAAAAACUUCAGUGUCAGGAACAUUUUUAUUGUUUUGGUUCCAAACAAAGCCCUUCUUCAGAAAGGUCAAGAAUCAUCCAAGAAAACGGAAAAGUCAGCAGCAACUGAAAUCUCAGCUGGUGUGUGAGAUGCGCCCAAAAGUUCUAUGUGAGGUGGCAAUAGAGUGUCCGCCAGUAAUCUUCAGUUAUAUUCUUCAACCAGAAUGCGGACCUUGCAAAGUCUGUAAAGCAUUACAAGGCCUGUAUGAGAAUACAAUCAUUUUUAUUUGAUAUAACUGGAGCAGCAGCCUCUGUAGUUCAGAUACUCGUAAAAUUUGAUAGGCAUACCUACUCAAAGAAAUCAAAUUUCCCCUAGUUCAAAACAACUAAGAUGUAGAGAAGUGAGAGUUUGUAUGGAUCUAUGGUUAGAUUUCAUGGAUGCAGUAAUUUUGACAAUAUUAGUUGUGUUUAUAUCCAUCCAAUUUUGCAUGAUAUCUGUACAUGAAAAUAAAAUAUUUCUGGUUUUGUAAUCAGCUUCCCAGUUGUGGAUCAGAAACAUUUGUACAUAAAUUGUAUCCGUCUCCCCUUUUGAACUAGGACCCAAUUUUUUAGGAUGGUUCUGAAGUUCUGGUCAAGUAGAGAUCAUAUGGGAGGGAGUUCUGCUGCCA